rnacentral:lncRNA from 1 species
ACAGGGGAUCUUUUUGCGAUUAAGGUACCACAUAAUUAGACAUGUAAUUUCUUGCUGACUGUAUUACUCCAUGUCACCCUUAGUUGUUUAAGCUUACUGUUGUCUUUGAUAUACUUUUCUGUACAUUACUGAGUUGUUACUGUUUUAGUUUUUUCGGUGAUUUAUUCAUGUUAUAGCCGGUCUUCUGUGUGCUUUUAUUUAUUGGGAUAGCUUCUUCAUCUCUAUCUUUGUUUUUAUUUUUAAUUUGACCCUGUGGAAACUUUUGGCAUAAUCAAUUUAAUGGUUUCUAAGUACCAUAAUUGAUGAAAAUGAUGCUACUUUGGAUGACAUCUAGCCUGUCUAGUCUAUAAAAUUUAGUGUUUCCAUCUCCACAAACACCCCUAAAACAAAGACAAUAAUGUUUUGGUUUUGUCCUGUAGUUGAGCAUGAAGAGGAUUUGCUCAUUCUUAUUUUGUAUCAUUUGUAACAGGUUCUUAAAAAGGCUGAUAUGAUCCGAAAGAAUGCUGUUGAAAGUAUAUUAGCAGAACGUGACAUCUUGAUUUCAGUCCGCAAUCCUUUUGUGGUGAGCAGGUGUUCUAGUAAAGCGUUUUACCUUGCCUUGAGAAACAUUUAGUUUCAUUCUAACACAAAUUUGAACUGUAUCAGGUUCGCUUCUUCUAUUCUUUUACUUGUCGUGAAAACUUGUAUCUUGUGAUGGAGUAUUUGAAUGGAGGAGAUCUAUACUCUUUGUUGAGGAAUUUAGGCUGCUUGGACGAGGAGGUUGCUCGUAUAUAUAUAGCAGAAGUGGUAUGGGCUUGCAACUUGUUCAGAACUAUUUUGCUGCAUACUUUUUGCUAGUUUAUAAUCUGAGGUCCUGUUUAUCUAUAUUUGAUUUUGCAGGUGCUUGCUUUAGAAUAUUUACAUUCACUUCGUGUGGUUCAUCGUGAUUUGAAGCCUGACAAUUUGUUAAUUGCUCAUGACGGCCAUGUUAAGGUACGUACGUACUGAUUUAUCUUUAUUAGUUUUGUUGCGUUUCAGUGUCAAUAUAAUAGUGGUUAUAUUAUCGUUAGAGUUUUUCAGUUGAAGCAGGAUAGUGAAAUUUGAAAAUCCAUCUCUACUAGAGGUCGUGAUGGUAACAUGGUUUAGCUUUAGUUGGAUGCAUAUUUUUGUUCAAGAUAAAUGAAACACUUUGUAUAAAUUUCAAUUAUUUCACAUUAUUUUAUAGAGCACUAGAACUCCGUCUAUGUCUUACAUGGCCGGUCCCAAGCCCGGAUAAAGGAGGAGGGGGAGGGCGUCAGGUAGUCGACAGCCGGCACUCCAUGAUCACGUCGAAUCCUUAUGAAAAUGAAUCCAGAACAAAAUCGCGCUAAAGCUAGGGCGUCACCCGUAAGUGGCGCGCUGUGUGGCCUGAGCACAGUGAUAAGUGAGCAAGGGUCGCUGUAUAAAAAAUCGCAGACGAUAUAGUGUUGAUAGAUGAAACUCAGGAAGGGGUAAAUGCAAAGCUUAACCUUUGGAGAGAAGUGUUGGAAUCUAAAGGUCUUCGCCUAAGCCGAUCAAAGACAGAAUAUAUGGAGUGCAAGUUCAGUGCAAAUGGAGGCCAAAACGAGUUAGGGGUGAGGAUCGGAGAUCAAGAAAUGCCAAAGAGCGACCGUUUUCGUUACCUAGGAUCUAUCUUGCAAAAGAACGGAGAAUUAGAUGGAGAUCUCAACCAUAGAAUACAAGCUGGAUGGAUGAAGUGGAAGAGUGCAUCCGGCGUGUUGUGUGUGACCGCCGUAUGCCACUGAAGCUCAAGGGAAAAUUUUAUAGGACGGCAAUAAGGCCGGCGAUGCUGUAUGGCACAGAAUGUUGGGCGGUGAAACAUCAACACGUACACAAAAUGGGUGUAGCGGAGAUGAGGAUGCUUCGUUGGAUGUGUGGGCACACGAGAAAGGAUAAGAUUAGGAAUGAGGAUAUCCGGGGUAAAGUAGGAGUAGCCGAAAUUGAAGGAAAGAUGAGAGAAAAUCGGUUACGGUGGUUUGGACAUGUGCAAAGAAGGCCUACUGACGCUCCGAUUAGAAGAUGUGACUAUGGGACAGAGGUUCAGGGCCGAAGGGGUAGAGGAAGACCUAGGAAAACUUUGGAAGAGACUCUAAGAAAAGACUUAGAGUACUUGGAUCUAACGAAGGACAUGACACAGGAUCGAGCACAAUGGCGUUCUAAGAUUCAUAUAGCCGAUCCCAUUCAGUGACUUGGAUUUUCCAAGUCUCCAACCGAGAAGUUUUCCUCACUCGGGAAAUUAAGGGAACACUACCCCAACCUACAUGCUCCACUCAGAAAGCUUCAACAUACAAGCUUCAACAAAAGAAAAUUCAAAGAACUUAGCGAAGAAGGCUUUGGUGUAUUUAACACAAUACGUUGAAAUGAAGGAAAGCUUAUUUAUUGAUAUCCCCGAUAAGCUACAAAUAUGUACAUAUACAUGAGUCAAAAUAAACACACAAGAGGGAGCCUUCACAAAGGUUGCUUAGGAGAAGUCUGAGCAGUCGGUAGAGCCCCAGAAAGAGAAGGCACCGGAGGGGGAUCAUUUGGAGCCUCAGUACUGGACAGAACCCUAGAAGGAGGAGGCAUCAGAGGUUGAUCAUUUGGAGCUUCAUUACGCGGUACAGCCCCAGAAGACGAAGGCAAUAAAUGCCUUUGGAACAAACCCACAAAUCUCUGAUGAUCAAGUAAAACCUGACCAUCAGUUUCCUUCAUCUGGUCAAGCUUCCUCUUCAUGUUUGUAGCAUAGUCAUGUGCGAGCCGGUGCAACUGUUUAUUCUCAUGCUUGAGCCCUUUAAUCUCCUGUUUGAGACUCAUCACUUCAGCCGCCAAUGAUUCAACUUGGCGGGUUCGAGCAAAUAGGCGUUGGGCCAUAUUAGACACAGAACCUGCACACUGAACACUGAGAGCCAGCGAAUCCUUAACAGCUAACUCAUCAGACCGUUUGGAAAGUAGUCUGUUAUCUUUGGGAGUGAGAAGGUUCCUGGCCACCACCGCAGCGGUCAUAUCAUUCUUCAUCACGGAAUCCCCAACGGUAAGAGGACCAGUAGGGGAGACGAAGGAUGGGCGCCAUAUGUUGUCUGGAGAAGGCGGGGCUGCCUCUUCAACAAGGUUCAAGUCAAAACGACGGUCGGAGGGGCCAGACAUUUUCAAAGGUGUUGAAGAGAGAAGAGGUCGGACAAAUCAAGAUCUUAGAAGUGCAAGAAUGAAGCUUCUACUGGUGGAGAUUCAAGUGUGCUUUAGAACUUAAUGCCAGCCCCUAUAAAAAUCUACACUCGACGGAGCUUCAGAAAUCGAAGAGGCGCCUGCUCAGAAAUCGAAGAGGCGUUUGCUUUCUCAAAAGCUGAGCUGCUUAGAGAUCACGAGGGUUGAUCUCAGAAAUCGAAGAGGCUUUUGCUUUCUCAAAAGUUGGGCUGCUCAAAGACCACGAAGGCCGAUCUCAGAAAUCGAAGAGGCGCUCGCUUUCUCAAAAGCUGGGCUCCCUAGAGACCACGAGGGCCGAUCUCAGAAAUCGAAGAGGCACCUAUUUUUCCAGCCUUGUCAGCACCUGUCACACGCACACUCAGCUUUGCGGAAAUUAUGGGCAUUCUGUCGAAGACUUCUGGGGAAGUAGAAAACACAUGAAUCUUACUGUUCAAUCACCCACUUCCCACACGCAACAAUAGCUCAUGGGUACCACAGAUAACUUUGCCAAAGUUCUCUGCCAAAGUUGAGCACGUGAAGCUUGCAGCUCCCACUACAUCGCUCUGACCAAGAAGGGUAAAAGAAUAGCAAAGAAACAGCACUAACAAAGUUUAGACCCAUAAAUUUUGAAGGUCUAGCUACCAUAUUAUUACCCACAAGGGUAAAGGAACAGUACCACUGCUGGAUAAUUGGAAAGUCCCUGUGUGUCAACCUCUGUGCUUCGUGGCAAGGUAGACUAGCAAACAUGCCCAAUCUUUACUCACAUUCGAGAAAACACUCCCAAUAAGAUUGCUUGCUCCAAAAUCGAAGAGGCACCGUCCUCCGAAUCUCGAGAGAGCCAGACUCCCAACAUGACUACUUUAUUAAAAAUCGAAGAGAGGGUAAAGGAACAGUACCAUUGCUGGAUAAUUGGAAAGUCCCUGUGUGUCAACCUCUGUGCUUCGUGGCAAGGUAGACUAGCAAACAUGCCCAACCUUUACUCACAUUCGAGAAAACACUCCCAACAAGAUUGCUUGCUCCAAAAUCGAAGAGGCACCGCCUUCCGAAUCUCGAGAGCCAGACUCCCAACAUGAUUACUUUCUCAAAAAUCGAAGAGACACUGCUCCCCGAAUCUUCGAGAGCCAAACCCCCAGCAUGAUUGUUUUCUCAAAAAUCGAUGAGGCAUCGUUCUCCGAAUCAAUCGAAGAGGCGCUCGCUUUUCUCAAAAAGCUGGGCUGCUCAGAGACCACGAGGGCCGAUCUCAGAAAUCGAAGAGGCACCUACUUUUCUAGCCUUGUCAGCACCUGUCACACGCACUCAGCUUUGCAGAAAUUAUGGGCAUUCUGUCGAAGAUUUCUGGUGAAGUAGAAAGCACAUGAAUCUUACUGUUCAAUUACCCACUUCCCACACGCAACAAUAGCUCAUGGGUACCACAGAUAACUUUGUCAAAGUUCUCUGCCAAAGUUGAGCACGUGAAGCUUGCAGCUCCCCCACUACAUCGCUCUGACCAAGAAAGGUAAAAGAAUAGCAAAGAAACAGCACUAACAAAGUUUAGACACAUAAAUUUUGAAGGUCUAGCUACCAUAUUAUUACCCACAAGGGUAAAGGAACAGUACCACUGCUGGAUAAUUGGAAAGUCCCUGUGUGUCAACCUCUGUGCUUCGUGGCAAGGUAGACUAGCAAACAUGCCCAACCUUUACUCACAUUCGAGAAAACACUCCCAACAAGAUUGCUUGCUCCAAAAUCGAAGAGGCACCGUCCUCCGAAUCUCGAGAGCCAGACUCCCAACAUGACUACUUACUCAAAAAUCGAAGAGAGGGUAAAGGAACAGUACCAUUGCUGGAUAAUUGGAAAGGCCCUGUGUGUCAACCUUUGUGCUUCGUGGCAAGGUAGACUAGCAAACAUGCCCAACCUUUACUCAAAUUCGAGACAACACUCCCACAAGAUUGCUUGCUCCAAAAUCGAAGAGGCACCGCCCUCCGAAUCUCGAGAGCCAGACUCCCAACAUGAUUACUUCCUAAAAAAUCGAAGAGACACUGCUCUCCGAAUCUCGAGAGCCAGACCCCCAGCAUGAUUGCUUUCUCAAAAAUCGAAGAGGCAUCGUUCUCCGAAUCUCGAGAGCCAGAUACCACAGACCACUUUUUCAAAGUGCUCUGACAGAGUUAAAACAUGUGAAACUGACAGCUCCCACUACCGUGCUAUGACCAAGCAGGGUAAAGGAAUAGCAUUACUACUUGUUGUUAGGGAGACGCCUAUAUAUGUCAACCUCCAUCCCCAACGGACAGGCAGACCUGCAAAAAUGCUCAACCUUUCAUCAUAUCUGAGAGGGCACUCCCAACGAAGCCUUUCGAAAUAUUCAGCUUUCUUUCCCCCCGAUAAUACCUCUGCAAACAAGCUAUACUAGAGCAAGAAUAUCUCAUAUCAUCAGGGUUAAAAGCAAGAGUAUCCCAUAUCAUGCUUUUUCCCUGUCUUUUCCUUUGGCCUUGUUUUUACCUGCAAGACAAGGAGAAAGAGAGCAAUCAGUCAGCACUUGGAAUCAAGCUUCCAGCCAGGAACUGACUGCCUGGAACCCCUUACCUGAUUACUUACCUGGCAUUGCUCUCGAGUACUCAUCUUCAACAUCUUAUGUUUCCAAGGAAGAUUCCGCAUCUGCUUGAGGAACAGAUAGGGCAAGUGCGAAGGAUACAAGGAAGCAUGUGGAGACAAGCGUAACAGCACACGUGCCGAUACAUCCAUUACUCUGUCAAAAGCAAAAGUAUCCCAUAUCAGCAGGGUGGAACGUACUCUAGAUUUGAUGGACUUGUUUUGACCCUCAAAUUCUUCAGUCGGCCUUAUACUCUGGAGGAAACCAGAAAACCCUCCAGCUUAGUUCAAGAAUAAGCCUGUGGAAAGUUACUUCUUCAAAAGCAAAAGUAUCUCAUAUCAUCUCUUCUCAUUUUUCUUCUCUUUAUCCUUCAUGCUGUUGCAAGAUGGGGAGAAGGUGAACAAUCAGUCGGAGCUCUGAUUGCUUACCUUGUCUGUCACCUCUUUCAGCAGACCCCCUAGCUCGGCGACUUGGGGGACUCCUACUACAUGGUUUGUAUCGCGCUUGACCAAGCCUGAAACUACAAGUAAGUUUCAAGUGAAAUUGAUACAUUACCUUGUGCAUCUCCACCAGUUAAAGAUACCACCCCUGGAUGGAGGAAAAGUACUUCCAGAGAAGAUGCCACAUCUACCUAUGAGACAGAUAAGGCAAGUCAAGACGACACCACACUCCGAUACUUAGAACUUUCGUGAUUACGAGAUCAUUCUCCCACAAUAUUUCCUAAUGUCAUUUGUACUAAAUCAUUCACUUGUACUCACUAAAGGAGAGCUUGAACCUAUGUACUUGUGUAAACCCUUCACAAUUAAUGAGAACUUUUCUAUUCCGUGGACGUAGCCAAUCUGGGUGAACCACGUACAUCUUGUGUUUGCUUUCCUAUCUCUAUCCAUUUAUAUACUUAUCCACACUAAUGACCGGAGCAAUCUAGCGAAGAUCACAAAAAAGCGACCGUUUUCGCUACCUAGGAUCUAUCUUGCAAGAGAACGGAGAAUUAGAUGGAAAUCUCAACCAUAGAAUACGAGCUGGAUGGAUGAAGUGUAAGAGCGCAUCCGGCGUGUUGUGUGACCGUCGUAGGCCACUGAAGCUCAAGGGAAAAUUUUAUAGGAUGGCAAAAAGGCCAGCGAUGUUGUAUGGCACAGAAUGUUGGGCGGUGAAGCAUCAACACGUACACAAAAUGGGUGUAGCGGAGAUGAGGAUGCUUCGUGGGAUGUGUGGGCACACGAGAAAGGAUAAGAUUGGGAAUGAGGAUAUCCGAGGUAAAGUAGGAGUAGCCGAAAUUGUAGGAAAGAUGAGAGAAAAUCGGCUCCGGUGAUUUGGACAUGUGCAAAGAAGGCCGACUGACACUCCGGUUCGAAGAUGUGACUACGGGACAGAGGUUCAGGGCCGAAGGGGUAGAGGAAGACCUAGGAAAACUUUGGAAGAGACUCUAAGAAAAGACUUAGAGUACUUGGAUCUAACGGAUGACAUGACACAAAACCGAGCGCAAUGGCGUUCUAGGAUUCAUAUAGCCGACCCCACUUAGUGGGAAAAGGCUUUGUUGUUGUUGUUGUUGUAUUUUAUAGAGCACUAGGACUCACGUAGGCACAUCCGAAGAUUGCUCUCAAUCUAUUUCUUUCUUAAAUAAAAAUUUCAGUAGUUUGUGCCUUGUGGGGUUGGAAAGAAUUCAUUUUUAUGUAGCAGUUAAUUGGGAGUUAUAGAUGGUUGUCACUUCUUUCACCACCCAAUUUUAACCUUUUGUGUUUCAUCUGAGCAGUUGACAGACUUUGGGCUUUCGAAGGUUGGUCUCAUCAACAGCACUGAUGAUUUAUCUGGUCCAGCAGUUAGUAGAACAUCCCUUCUAGGGGAAGAUGAACCCGAAUCAUCUCUCUCCGAGCAUCAACGAGAAAGCCGAAAGAAACGUUCUGCUGUCGGUACACCUGACUAUUUGGCACCAGAGAUACUUUUGGGAACAGGACAUGGUUCGUAUAGUCUUUUCUAAGUUUAAGGUGCUAUUAUUUCCUUUAUUGUGUUUUAAAACUCUCCAACCUUAGGUUAAGCUUCAACAUCAAGAAAGAAAUACUAAUUAUUCAGUAAUGUUCAACUAUGGGCUAAAAUGGUUUCAUCAUUAUUCAUUGGUACGGUUUAGUCUUUCAUGGAAGCUGAAACAAUGUUUAAGGGCAACCAACCAUAAUGCUCUUGUUUUCCCUGAUUUUCCCCACACAUCUAGCUGUUCUCUUAUUUGGUUGAUCACUAUUUAAGUAUUUAAGGGCGCAACCAUUGUGCUCUAGUGUUUUUGCCAAAUAGCUUUCUGUUCUGUUUAUUGGUUGAUCAGUUAACCGUUGUAAGAUUAACAACUUGCUGCUGUUUUAUGGUCCACAGGUGCAACUGCAGAUUGGUGGUCUGUUGGUGUCAUUUUAUUUGAAUUGAUUGUUGGAAUUCCACCCUUCAAUGCUGAGCACCCUCAGGUUAAUACGUUGCCUCUAAAAUAUGUUAUAAUAGUAAUACAUAGGCUUGGUGUUUACUCUGUUUACAACAAAAAUUGUUUGUGAUUCCAUAGUUUGUUUAAGUUCUAAAUCGCUUCUUUUAACCAUUUUCUUCUUUUGCUUGUAGACUAUAUUUGAUAAUAUUCUCAACCGUAAUAUACCUUGGCCUGGGGUUGGUGAGAUGAGUCCUGAAGCACGAGAUCUUAUUGAUCAGUAAGUGAAGCAUUAACAAUCUUUUUAUGCAACGUUAUUGCUUUCAAAGAUAUAUUUUGUCAUUGCUUUGCUUAGGAGGAAAUAUUUGUUUCUGUCGAAGUUAGAAUCUCCAUGAAGUUGAUCAUUUGUCAGUUUGUGUGGAGAUCAAGGGAUGUAUCUGACUGGAAUUAAAACCUGUCAAUUAGCCAAUUGGUUGCUCUGUUUUGAUCUAGUUUUGAGAUACUCGUCUUAAUAUUCUUAAACUUCUCCGUACUUUUGCUUAAAGUUAUGAACCCAUCACUUAUGGUUUCAGUUCGCAGAAACUCUGUUCUCAUUUUGCUAAGAAGCCUAGACGUAGAAUACCAAUUUGUAUCAAAUUUGUUAAAUUGUUCUAUGAAUCUGUAAAACAAAUCUUAGAUUUUGACUGAAUUUGUGUUCCUGUUUAAGGUUCAGUAUGUUCAAACAUGUAUAUAUGCUGAUGUCGAGUGAUAGUAUGUAGUUGUGAUGUUUGUUUAGUUGAUGCUGAUACAAAUAGUUUCUAGGUUAUUGACAGAAGAUCCUAAUCAAAGACUUGGAGCUCGAGGAGCAUCAGAGGUAUUUGUUAGUUUAGUUUCUUUAUUCUUUUUCAUUAUUUUUAGUGCGUGAUCUUUCAAACUUCUUCAAUAAACUUAAUAGAAUUGCAACUUUGUGAUACAGGUGAAGCAGCAUCCAUUCUUUAAAGACAUCAACUGGGACACACUUGCCAGGCAAAAGGUGCGCUGCAACAUAUUCAUAAAUCAUAAACAUGUAGAUACAGAUUUUUCAUCUUCGGUUAGGUUGGCACCACCGCACCACUCCCUUAUGACUUUUCCAUUUCUUGCAGGCUGCGUUUGUUCCCUCUUCAGAGAGUGCACUAGAUACCAGUUACUUCACCAGUCGUUACUCAUGGAAUCCUUCAGAUGAACAUGUAUAUCAACCUAGUGACAUGGAUGAUUCCAGUGAUUCUGAUAGCUUAAGUGGCAGCAGCAGUUGCUUGAGCAACCGUCAUGAGGAAGUGGUACGUUAGUUCAAGAAACAAGCGCUUUUAACUACUGAUGCGAAUAUAUUUUGUAUUUGCCGUAUAUCCAUAUAAUUCACAGCACUGACAUGAUCUUGGGCAACGUUCAUUGACAGGGUGAUGAAUGUGGGGGUCUGACAGAGUUCGAGUCUGGCUCUUCUAUCAAUUACUCUUUCAGUAAUUUCUCAUUUAAGGUAUUUCUUUACUUACAAGGCUGUCGUUUCUUUUAUUAUCUCUAAAAUGACCACUCAAGGUGCUUAUACUGUAAUUGAUCUUGAGUUUGUCUUCAUGAAUAGCGUGUUUGAUGCCAUGUUCGAUAGAUUUCCACUGUGAAUGUUGUUGAGCCGUAUUUCAAUAUAAUUUUCACCUUUUCCUAAUAUAUAAUCUUACUAUAUUUUCUUAUGAUCGUGGUCCAGAAUCUCUCCCAGCUUGCAUCAAUCAACUAUGAUCUGCUUUCAAAGGGUUUCAAGGAUGAUCGGUCACUGAAUCCCAGCACGUAGCAAGUUGCUCCCGGUUGUCAAAAGCCGGGAUUAGGGUUCUAGCAGUUAAAUGAUUUGGGCUUGUUUUUUGGGGCCUAAACACCUCAUCGGUGUUUGUAUACCCUGUACAUAUGAUCUCCGAUCGGUUUUUCUCUUUUUCUUUUAUAGUAUGUGCAGUUGAGCAAUUUGGGUGAUGAAUCUGCACCUGCCGAAACUGGUUCGGAAUGUGCUCUUUGCUCUCAUAGGUUACUUCUCCGCCGCAGGGGAGGCGAUUUUACGGUCGAGUAGUCUUUUGUAUCGUGAGGAAUUUGAUGUAUCCUAAUUCAUAUCCCCUGUGCUGGUUGAGCUUGAGUAUUUUUGUCACCAGUCGGUUUUCGCCAUGGCAAUGUGAAAACACAUCCGUUUCUGUUCCAAAUUGCCUUGUAUCUUGUUUUACUCGAUUUUCGAAAAUCUUUCUUGCUUCACACGCUACACAUACGAUGGGUGUUUCCGAGUUAUAACUCAUGCAAUGCAGCAUAAAACUUUCCAAAACUAAUUCAAAAUCGUUAAGUCUUCGUGACAUGUACCACUUUUUUGUGCCCUAUAUGUAAUUUUUAUGAAACUUGGAUGUGGGUGUUCGAAGGGUAUUUUUAAAAUUUAAUCAAAUUGACCUUCAAUCUUAUAUCUAACUAGCUCCUAGCUCCUUAGCCCUCGCUCGCGCAUGUGCUAUAUCAAUCAGUAACAUGUAUCAUUUAAGCUGUAUUUGUGUUUUGAAUUUAACUAUGUUCAGAAUUGAAGCAAAUCGAACAUAUAUCAUAUCCGCUUUUAGUGCAAGAUUGAAAAUCAAAUAGGUGAAUAGGUGUUUCCGUAAAAGAGUUGUCUAGAAGGUCUUGUUGAUAACUAUUACUAUGUGGAUUGUGGACGCAAGUUUCUUAAGACAAAACAUCAAAAAUGUGUAUUAACUUAUUACACAUAGGUUAUUAAUUGUCAAAAUUGGGAAUACAGUUUUGUUAUACAGACAAGAAAAACACUCCCAAAACUUUGGUGUCCUUUCUGGUCCAGAAGCUACCGUUACGAUUUUUUUAUUUAUUUUAUUUUAAAACGUGAGGAUGGGACAGCGCAAGCCUGGAACAAAAAUAUCCCAUACCGGAAAAACCAAAAUUUUGUUGUCUUUUUUUUAAAUUUUUUUUAACAAACGAUGUUAGUUACGAUUAAGACGGGCUUAGUCUUACAAUAUGCUAGCAAUAAUAUAGUUUAAAUUUACCUUUUGCAAGAGUCGAACCUAACACUUUUCACUUACAAGUGACGAAUAAUACUAUUAGAUCGUAAUACUAAGUGGCGCAGUCAACAAAAUUAAGCAUAUUUUUAAAUAAAUUCUGUUAUAGUUUGCUUUGGAUGCCAACUCCCAACAAAAUUAACCAUACCGAGGACCACUGCACCACUCUGUCUGCUUUUUUUUCACACUUCCUUCCCCCUUCACGGGCCUUCCACUUCAACUGCAAUAGUUUGGUCCACCACCAAGCUUUCAAUCGUCACCACAAAACCUCAAUAGGAACCGAACAUGACUGCAACGAUAUCUCACAUCACUCACGCAUUGUUAUAAAACUUUCUUCAUCCUCAUCUUCAUCACAAACCAUCACGUUACUUUCCCUCUUUCCCGAAUUCAAAUUUGUUGUAUCAUCCCACACAAGCAGGGGAUUCUUGCAAAACUAUAUCACGUAACAAGAGAGAUACAAAAACAUCCUCGGUCGUAUGGUAGAAUUUCAACAAAUGAGAAACAGAAAUUGGAAAAUGAUCAACGCAGGUCUGCUUAAUUUCACAAAACUUUGACCAAACCAUGAACAGACAUGAAGCAACCAACACAUCUUAACUUCGAGUAGCUAAAGAGUCGUAAUCAUAACAACAAAUACAGGCAAAGGCAAAGGCAAAGGCAAAGGCGGAAGUAAUAAUUACAGAAAAGAAAACCAUCAUCCACCAACAGCAAAUGGAACAGAUCUCCACCCCAAAAGGGCAGUUAGAAAAACUUGAGCAAUGGGGAACAAAGGGGUGAAUAAAAAUUACAGCAAGGAAUUUCCCUGCAAAUCCAUGAGGGAAGAUGGUCGAGGGGCCGUUGCCCUGAGCAACUCAACUCAACUCAUCGAGAAGACACAUCGUCCAAAUCAUGGACAACCUCGGGCUGCUCAUCUAGCAAGCUAGAACGACGUAGCUCCUCAAUGCGCCUUGUAACUUCGGAGAUUGAAGGGCGUUUGUCAGGGUACUGGGCUGAACAAUCUAUUGCAAGUUGCAAGAGCUGAACCAUCUCCUCCUCGACAUUCUGGUACCUGAGGAGCUCAAGAUCGAAAACCUCUGAAGUCCACUCCUCUUUGACUAUGGACUGAACCCAUCUUGGGAGGUCAACUCCUUCCUCAUUCAAGAGGGCAUGCGUUGGGGGCUUUCCGGUGAGUAGCUCCAGGAGCAACACCCCAAAGCUAUAAACAUCGGCCUUUUGGGAUACCUUGCGAGGAUCAGUAACCUCCGGUGCCCGGUAGCCAGCAACUCGGUUGGGAGUGGAUGAGGGGCCAACAAGGUGCGCUAGGCCAAAGUCAGAAACCCGAGCUUCAUAGGACUUUGUGAGCAGGAUGUUGGAUGACUUUAUGUUUCCGUGGGAGACAGUAUGACCUUGAGAGUGUAGGUAUUCAAUUCCACGGGCAGCUCCAAGGGCAAUGCCAGACCUGAUUUCCCAAUUCAAUGGAGUCCUACCUGCUCCUUUGUUUCCUGUAGAUUAAAGAUAGAACACAAGAUGGUAAAGCUCUUCUAUAUUAUUCUACCAUUGAAAGUACGCAUUGCCUUGACAUUGCUGAAAAGAUGGAAGUUGAAAACUUAUUGAUGUCACUCUUUGAAGAAAACUCAAAUGGGAAUACUGAACCAAAGAUCUAUGAAACGGAUUUGAAAUCAUCGCAAACUUCAGAUAAUUGUUGCAUAUAUAUAUAUAUAUGAAUAUACAGAACUGUUAAAUCAGGCAAAACAAAGUACCAACACAACUGAAAUAAGCAGCAUUGUAUAAAACUCGGAUGUAUCAACGCUAACAGCGGAAACAAGCACACAAAAAUGAGUAACACGGUGUUUGUGGAGACGCAAAAUUUUGUACACCAAAUCCUCAAACACAACUCAAAGAAACCAAUAACUUCUAAUCAUCCAGAUCAAAAAUCGGAAAAGAAAGGGCGAAAAGAUUGAAGCAAACGUCCCGAACUAGAGGAACUGAUGAUGUAUCAGGAAAAAAUCAUAUCCAUCAUCAUCAAAUUUCCAGCACAGAAAUAGAGUAACAACCAUCGAACCGAAAAGGCAGAGCAAUGUGUGAACAAAUAAAGCAAGCAAUCAAAUAGCAAGAAACACUGACCAUGCAAAAGUGCAGAUAAGCUUCCCAUAGGCAUGUAAUCAUAGACAAGAAGCUUCUCAUCUCUGCUGAAAUAAUAUGCCCUCAGAGGCACCAAAUUCUCAUGAUCCUUCGCUCCCACAGCCUCAAUCUUUUCCUUAAACUCGCUCUCAGAAAUCGUCACGUCCUUCAGCCUCUUCACAGCCACCACAGUCCCAGCCUCCAGAACCGCUUUGUACGCUGUCCCAAAAGUCCCCUUCCCCAAAACCUCCGCCGAAGCUCUCAACAAGUCCUCCAGAUCAAACACCCUCGCCGCAUUGCCAAAAAAGGCCAGCUUUUUAGCACCACUAGCGCCACCGGCUUCACUUUUGCCAUUCCCCACCAUCGCCGCAGCGGCAGCAUCCGCCACCGAAUGCCCAUUUCCAUAUCCUCCAUUCUCAGACUCCACGGGCAGCUUCUCGCCAGGAAUCUCGACUUCCCGGUGCUUCACGGUGGCAAUGUCGACGGAGCUCGUCUUCUUGCUCUUCUUCUUUCGGCAGAAAAAGAUCAAAAACAUAACAAUCACGAGAAAAGCCAACACAGAUCCGAUCACAAUACCGGCAAUAGCACCACCGGAAAGCUUUCUCUUUUUGUGGUGGUCAUUGAUGUUUAUAUCCCCUCCUAUGGCAGGAUUGGCAGCUCCGCCACGGUCUCCAGGACAAGCAUUAAGGGGACGCCCGCAUAGAGAAUUACCCAGAAACGAGCUCGAAGAGUAAGACUGCAACUGUUUUGGAACAGACCCGUUUAGCAAAUUGUUGGAUACAUUGAACUGGUCGAGAUUGGGCAGCUUCAGCUCCGGGAUCGCCCCCGAAAGCUUGUUGCUUUCGAGAUACAAAGUCCUGAGCCUGGUGAGAUUGUUGAAACCCAGAGAGAUCUCACCGGAAAAAUUGUUGGAGGCCAAGUUCAGCCGGACCAAGUCGUGCAGACUGUACACAAACUCCGGGAUUUCGCCGGAGAAAAGGUUGCCCUGCAAGUAAAGGUUACGAAGAGUAACGCAGGCAGAGAGAUCUGAAGGCAGAGGACCUCUUAAAGCGUUGAGACGGAGACUGAGAGUGCGGAGACUAGUCAGAUUUCCGAAAAUGCCACUGGGGAUUAUGCCGGAGAGAGCCACGCCGGGAAGACGAAGCACCGUGACGCGGUUGUUCUCACAGCUGACGCCUGUCCACAAACAUGGGCUGGUCUGGCUCACAUCCCAUAGCAGAGUUCGGCCGCCGACGGCGGAGCGCAGGGCUAGCAGAGCGGCGCGGUCAGAAGCCAGAUCUGGUCUUGCAAUGGGGAGCAAAACCAGCAGGGAGAAGAGGAAAAGGGACAGCCUUUGGCUUGGGGAAUGCAUUUUGGUGGAAACCCAGAUGGUGUUUUUGGUGAAUUGGGUAGGGGGUUUGGAUUUCUGGGGUUUCAAAGUUCAUACAUUGUUUUGGUUUAUGGGUCUCAGAGGAGGAGAGAGAGAGAGAGAGGAGAGAGUGCUAUGGGAGCUGCAUUUCCUCUUUUCUUUUUGGCCCUUUUUGUUGGCCUUCUGGUUUCCCUUGAGGAGAGAGAAAGAAGAGAGAGAGAGAGAUAGUACAGGCUGUGAGGUGGACACUAAAAUAUGGAAAGAAAAAAGUAAAGCAGAGAGAGUGAGAAACCCUAGCUGUAUGCAGUGACAGUGAGGAAGAGGGAGGAGUGAGAAACUUUUCAUUGUUACGGGAAUACGGUAAUACAUCACGUGUUUUUACAUAAGUAGUGAAAUUUUUUAUUUUUUAAAUUAUUAAUUUUUAACACAUAAAUCUCACAAUUUAUAUAAUAACAGAUAAUAUAUCAUCUUUUGUUUCGAUUACACUGAAAAUUCUCUCGGAGGAGUGGGAACCUGGCGGGUGGUAGUCAACUGUCAUUUACUAUUUAUCCUUUGCUUUUUUGUCUUUUUCUUUUUUUUUUUACUGGAUAAUUUUUUAAUCUUUUUCUUUGUUUUUUUCUCCCCCUAUUUUGAUUUUACAUGUGUGACAGUUAGAUAGGUUUGUUUGUUUUCUGAUAUUUUGUUAUUAUUUAUUUAAGAAAUUGGCUUUUUGUGUAUUUGGAUUUUUUUUUCUAUGGUGGAUGGUAUUGAGAUCAAAUUGCCAAAUUUUCCCUUAGCUUAUCUAUAUUCCCCUUCAAUUGUUUUAACAUUGUUGCGAGUGUGACUUCAAUACUACAUGUAAUAAGAUAAUCAUAUCUACCUCAUUGUUGUAUAUAAGAAAAGAGUUAUGCUAUCCAUAUACUGAUUUUUACUUCUUAUACAUCUUUUUCAAUUUUCAGUCGUCUGAUCAAAUAAUAAAUCAAAGAAGAUCAAUGAUAAAAAAUUAACAAAAGUGUGUGAGAGAUAAAAAUUAAUACGCAAAUAGCACUUUUCAGAAGAAAACUACUACAUCAUUUUGUUUUGGUCUAUAAGGCUUCAACAAUUUGUCAUCCACCUAUAAUAUGAAGAUCAAUAUCGUGGAGCCAUUACGUUUAACAAACAAGGAGACAUCUAAAUAAGAUUGAACAAGCCCAAAUUAAGAAGAUGAGUUGGAGAUAUCCUUUAGCUACAAAUCUGGCUUUAUGUCGUGAAAUGGAUCCAUUGACAUUCUUGUUUAAUUUAAAAAAUAAAUGCCUCUUUUUAGAUAUAUCAGCCUUGGAUCUUGUCACCAUGAUAGGAUAAGAUGAUGAAUAUGUCAAAAUAAAAGUUGAUAAGGAGAUUUCAUACCAAUGUUUGCGGAAGGCAUUCUAUUAAUCAACAAGUUCGCCGUGGAACAUGCAUGGCACCAAAAUUUGAGUGCUAACAAAGUUGUAGGCAACAAGUUCAUUCUAGUUUUCAUAAGAUGACAAUGUUUGCUUUCAGUCAUCUCAUUUUGUUGUCGAGUGUAUAGCGAUAACUAGAAAUGGCAACAUAUGGGGUAGGCCUUCCUUCAUACAUCAGAAUGCACCUUAUGAAAGAGCUCACUAGCUCUAUUAGGCUAUUAGUAGAAGAAAGAAAUGGUAAACGAGACAUUUUACCAUGUAAAAUAUAUCAACUAAUAAAUAUAAUUUCUAAAAUUAUCAAAAUAAAUUCCAAUAGUCCCACUUGUUGAGUAAAAAAAUAAAGAAACGAUUCUUUCGGACUUAUGCCCGUUGUCAGUUAAAAAAAAAUUCUUUCAGGCUUAUGCCUAGUUGUCAAUAAAAAAACAAACAAAUUUGUAAUGAUUAAAAGCGUAGGCCUGGAUUUUUUUUUGGGGAUUUUGAAAUGAUAUUGUCCUUUUUUGGGGUUAGAAAAUAGAUAUAAUAUAAGUGCACUUUUAAGACCCAUAUGGCCAUUUGUAUUUUAAUCACAAUGGCCUAAUUAUUCAGUCCAUUAGCAACUUGGCACAAUUAAGCUGUUAUUAUCAGGGUGGCAUUGAACCACUUGCAAAUUCAAUUCAACAGAAAAACCAGCAUACCCACUUAGAAAUGCAAAACACUCAAUUAGUUUUCUUCUCCAAUGUCAGUAAGUGGAUAAAAUUAUCGAAUAAUGCUUGGCUACUGAAAGAAUAGCAGCAUGUCAUGUUGGACUUAAUUGAAAUAGAUACGUGCUCAUUUGUUUGGAGUGAUAUUGGUUUAAGUUUUUAAUUUUUUAAUUGCUUAGGCACGUGUCCAUUUGUGAUCGGGCACUUGUUCAUUUCAGCAGGUUUUGCUGCUUUUUUUUUCAGCAACCAAGCAUUAUUCCAAAUUAUCCUCAGUUUAUUGAUAUAACUCAUUUAUGCAUUCAUUUUAGUACCGAGUUGUAAUUUAUCUGUAAAAGAGAUGUUUUGGAUUUUCUGAUUGUUAAGCAUAAGAGUAAUAACAAAUAUGUACUCUUUUUAUUUAAAUAGGAAAGAAAUACAUUACAAAGAGAUAGACCCUUUAAGGAAAGAGAUUCUCAAUAUUAGAUGUGGGACCCAUUCUACAUGGAACUUCAAUGAUUCCAACAUUCUAUUUAGUAAGUCUCGAUUCAUAGAUCAUUUUUGCAAAAAUUUAACUCAAUUCAAAACCAAUUGCCUAUUUAAUCAUCACAAUGAAGUUUCAUUGUUUCUUAUAGAAUAAAGUGUUAGUUAAUUUCUUUGAACUCAAUUAAAUGUCUUAAAUAUUUCCGAUUUGGCUAAUAUUUUGCAAGGAUGAUUAAAGAGGUACAACUUAAAAAAUAAACUGUUUGGAUCGUUGAAAUUCAAUGUGGUGUGAGCCCCAUAACUAAUCCCCAUCUGAAAAAAAAAAUAGAAAUCAUUUUCCUUAAAAUCUCCUACAAAGAGAACCCUGAGCAACUAAAAUUACAAAAAUCUCAAAGCCAAGCUAAUUUCUUCUUAAUAUGUAAGUCCUUUUUUAUUUUUUUGGAAGAAUGGAUAAUAUAUAACCAGGGCAAAGAUGCCAAACUACAACUAAAGCCCACAACGAGGCAAUCAACCAAAACAAACUCGGAAGUGCAAGGGGAAGAAGAAACCCGACACUAAAAGGAAACAACUAGCGUCACCCCUUGCACAACCGGACACACUUAAUGUGGGCAAGGUAGUCCAUCAUUGUUUAGUACAUGAACAAGUGAAGAUGGGGAUCGUUUGACCCAAGUAAAGUCAUACAUCUCCACACAACUCCGCAACACCAAAUAGUCAGCCGCCAUAUUGGCUAAUCUUGGAAUCCAAGACCAGCAGCAGUCAUGGAAGGAAUUCCCAAUUUUCUUGCACUUCGCUAAGGUUGGAAACUCCUCCCAUCUGCCAUUUGCCAAGGAAUCAGAUUCCACAACCACAAGAUUUAGUCCCAAGGAUUGACCCACCUCACAUCCCCGCAUAAUGGCUAACGCCUUAGUAGCCGCCGCACUAGGGGCAUGAAGACGAAAUCUGCAAGCAGCAAUGAAACUACCAACAAAGUUCCUCACCACCACCCCAAUAAAACCCCCUUUCGUAGCAGUUACCCAACUAGCGUUAACAUUGAUUUUGACAUAUGGAUGGCAUGACAUUUGCCAUCUCUCCUGCAUAGGAUUACUAAGACUGCACUGCACCAUACUUCUCUGCAUCAUACUCUCUAUGGGAAUCCAGGAAGCCUUCCUGAAAUCCCUGACAUUUGUAAAAAUUGAAGCCAACACCUGAGAAUGGAUGAUAGGCUUCAGUUGGAAUAGGAAACAACACCUAGCCUUCCAAAUAUGCCAACAAGAGAACGCUACCUAAGUCAGGAUCCUUUCUCUGUCAACUUUCAAACCCUCACAGGCCCUGAUGAUAGCCAAUAUCCAUUGCGUCCAUGUGGUGAUCUCUUCCCGAUUUACCUUGUAGUUUAGGAUUCCACCAAACCAAAUAGUUUCCACCUAUGGGCAAAGGAGAAUAAGGUGUUCAAUCGUUUCCUCUUGAGUGUUGCAUAAGGGGCAGAGGGGGGAUGAGGUGGAUUUCCUGCGGUAAAGGGCUGCCAUAGUAGCCAGGGCGUUAUGCACAAUUUUCCACAUAAAACAUCUUAUUUUUUAAGGGGUUUUAAGUUGCCACACCAAUUUCCAUAACGCCACUGGGAUGGUAAGAGACGAUGACGAUCUAGAAUUUGUCUGUGGGAUCCCUCGAGAGUUCACCCAAUGGUAGCCCGACUUGAUAGAAUAAAUCCCCCGCUUAUCAAAUGGCCAUAUUAACAUGUCCCUGAGCUCGGGGUCACCAAGAUGGGUUGCCAAGAUUGCCUCAUACUCCACUCACGAUAUAAAUGGUUUUAAGAAAUCAAUAUCCCACUCACCACUUACUGGAUUAAUUAAUGAAGCCACUUUGGUGUUGUGACUUACUUUCACUGGUCCAGAAGACCAGGUGUCCACCCGGGAGGGAAGGCAACCACCUAUCACCCCAAACCUGAAUCUCCUUCCUGCACAAGACUUGCCAAUGAGUCCUCCGUAACAAAAGAUCACGCCCCCAUAAGUAGACUCGACCACCCCCAGGAUGCACGUCCGCCCUGUUUAGCAUCCAAGAAAGAACAAUGGGGGAAGUACCAAGCCUUCAGAACCUUUGCCCAAAGUGAGUCCGGUUCAUGGAUGAGCCACCAACAUUGUUUCGCCAAGAGAGCAUCAUUAAAAUCCAUGAAGGAUCGAAACCCGAGUCCCCUCAUCGCCUUGGGAAGGCCGAGAGUAUCCUUGGAGACCCAAUGAAUGUUUUUCCUCUCCUUUUCCUGUCCCCACCAAAAAUUAGAAAUCAAAGUCCAUUUCCUUGCAAAUGGUAGCAGGAAAUUUGAAAAGGUUCAUCGGGUAGGCCGGGAUAAGUCUUUUCGUACACUUUAAGCUGCAUUGGAUACUAUUAUUUGAAAAGGGCAGACUUACCAACAGUAUAAUUGUCCAUGUUGAAGAUAAUCAGCUUACUUUUUUCAAAAGCCAAAACUUGAAGUUUAUGACAAAACAAAAUGUCGAUUUGAGGUUGACGAUUUGGCAGUGGCACUGCUUUGCUCAGGUUAUAAUCUAAUAGCGACGCAUAUUGUAUUUGCCAAAAGUUAAAAUAUUCCUAAUCUUUGUGUUUUGAGUGUUUCAUUUUCUAUUUCUUAGAAAGAUUUUUAAUGUACCAAAAAUACAGCUCGGUAAUGAAAAAUUAGUUAGAAGUUUUUAAUUUUUUUUUUUUAACAAAUUGUAUUAUGACACUUAAUGUAUCAGAUCUUGUUCAACACACUGAAAAAUUUCUCAGUUGAGAUUGAGAUCAUUCCUGGGUUGUCGGAUAUUGUAAGCAAAGGGUAAAAUAAUACACUAACUAUAUUGUAAUAGUCAAGACAUAUUAUUUGGCCAAAAACAAAAUUAAAGUAUAAAAUAUUAUUUGAAAGAUGAGUGUACAAUACCAAAGUAGUACUAAUACUUGUAUAAAAACACCGUAGUACUAUCCAAAAGAAAGAAAUACAUACAUUAUAAUAAUCAAGACAUAAAUCAUGGUGGACAACUACGAACUGAAUUGAAUGGUAGUUUUUUGGUGUCGUACGAUUACACGUGAAUUAAUAAUAAUCUCAUUAAGUGGUAAUUGAAUCUUCUCAGUAAAAAGUUUCUUCAAGUAAUUAAACAUCUGAAAAAAAUAGAAAAAGAAAAAAGAAUUUGUCUAGUUGAUUGGCUAUUUCUUAAUUAACACUUGCUGGUGAUGUAAAACAGAUUAAUUAGUCCUAACACGUUUGAUUUGGUUUUGGUCACUGUGAGCCGUCGGAUGCAUUAACAUGAUUGCCGCAAGAGCCACCGACGAUUCAUACUGUUGGGGUGGUGGGAUGAAAUGUCUUACUCAGGUCCACGUUGGAAGAAUAUAUAUAUAUAUAUAUAUAUAUAUAUAUAUAUUAUAUGUUACCAAUUUUCUUAUUUUUGGGUUGAAAUAAUUAAAUUUGGAUUAAGACUACCAAUUUGCAGGUAUACAUUUCGAAUUAUAUAGUUCGAAUUAUAUAAUUAAAGUUCCCUAUUAAAAAUCUAUUACCAAAGAAUCCAUUUAUUCUUUUCAAAUGAUAUAGUUCGAACUAAAGACCUAUCAUUAUUUCACAAUUUUAAUAGAGAGAACAUAAAAUAUCCCGAUCAAUAGGAAUGUCAUGUUUACAACUUAUCAAAUAUGAUUAUUGUGCCUUUUGGCAGAAUACGUUGAUCGUUAGUCAAAUUCUAACGAACUAACAAACCACAUUCUCAAUGAAGACCUUAGAAGUCUACAAUCAACAAGCUCCCAAGCCCAAUUCAUCGCCAACAGUUCAAGUUGAUCGCCACACAACCUACGCAGGUUAUCUUAAUACGUCAUGUGCUUGCCCAUUAGUUUCUUAGCAAGGCAAGACUCUUUAAAGCAUAUUUCAGGAAUCUCAAAAGAAUAUCCAUCCAUCGGAACACUUUGCUAACAGGUUCAACGAACCUGAACGGCUAAUAGAGUCAACAAACCUGGACGUUAGGGGUUAACUCCUCAAUUCUCUAUAAAUGGCCAAGGCCAGUCACUUUCGAUAAUUAAAAACUCUCACCACUCUUAUUAUUUCCUACAAUCUUUCUGCCUUAAACAUCAGAGGCCCUUUGCCUAACACCACACCGAUGUUAAUCUAACUCCGUUCAUCUCUUUUAUUUAUGUGUGUAGGUUUUCGUCAAUAUGCGAAGUAGAAAGUUGCUCCCACAUUAAUGUCAUUUGAGAGAUUUUACUAUUAAACAAUACAAAGACUAACUGUUAGGGUUUCGUCUGAUAAUAUUUUUGUUUUUAGUUUAUAAUUUAUUUUUUUCUUUAGCAUUCGAUAAAAGAAUGCUAAGAUGUUCAAAAGAUUGUAAGGGAACUGAAUCAUUAACCCAACCAAAUGUUUUCUCAUUGUGUCACCUAUCUUAGCACUGGUUAACAACAUCCAAUCUCAAACGGUAUGAGGGAAAUUUUAUUGAUAAUGAAAAAAAGAAGUUAUAUCUAGUCAAAGGCUAGGGGCCAUAAAUCUUGGCCCUUGUAAUACAAGAAAAAAAAAAGAAAAGAAUGAAAAAAAAAAAGGGGACAUAAACCUUCCUCCUCUAAAAACGGAAAGAAAAAAAAAACUUAUACCAUUACACCAAACUUAUUAUAAUUAAGAUGAUGGUUGAUGAUUUAAAACUAUUACAAUAAUUUAGGAAAUGUGAGAGUUUUGAACUCGAAACGCAUGAGUGCAGACCUGAAUCCCUAUAUUAUAUGAGAUACUCUUAGUAGUUGGAUUGGAUACUGGCUUUAUGAAAUCGUAUUCGAAUCAUAUAUAUAUAUGGUAAUUAAAGAAUAUGAACAUUUGUUGGAAAUCUUAGUACGAGUUGUCAAUUCAUAAAUCAAUACAAAUAACAAUUGGUGGGUCUUUUUAUUUGUUUAAAUUUUUUUGUGUUGGAUCAUUAGGCAGAUAUGGAGCUGUUGAAAUCAUAUUCAAGUAGGAGAGUAGGAUCACCUGUCUAACAAACAAUUUUUAUGGAAGGUGCGGUGGGAGAAGGAUGCAUGCAGUUUAACUUGUCAUCACUAUUUUAUCUAUGGACUGCGUAUGUAUAGACACUCAAGAAACUGAGAGAAGAAAAUAAUAACAUGUUUUAGGUUAAAAUAUAUGUACGAUGGGCUUUUUAUAGAGGAUUUUACUCCACUGUAGCACGAGAGGAUUUUUUGAUCCGUCAUUAGUUCGAUGUUCCUAUUCUUAAUUUCAAAAUAUGUAUAUAUAUAUAUAUAUUGAUGUAUCGAUGCAUAGUUUUAGAUAUGUUGUUGAAUAUUCCGCUCUAUAACAAUAAAUUGAAAUACUCCUUAGGAAGCUUCUCGCAUAUAUACAUCUGCAUUGGUGUUUCAGUCUUUGAUAUGUUGUCAAAUGUCUCGCUCUAUAACAGUAAAACACGGGAUAGCCCUUAGAAAACGUAGAUGCACUUUUCUUGAAGGCAUGUAAAUAUCGAAUAAUGAAACAUUAUGAGGAGUGCCAACACAGCCAAGUUGCUAGCCUUGCAACUAAACCCGACGGCUUACAUAGGGUUUGGGCCGAGAUCUCAAACCGAAUCAUAAUCUAAAUUGAAAUAUAAUUUCGGCCGAAAAGAGGAAAACAAGAAUAAUGACACAGAAAUUAAGUAGCUGUUCGUCAUAAUUCAUGUUGCAUGCUUUCCGUGUCGGCCUGUCUCUCUCUCUCUCUCUCACAAACACAAAAACACCAACACAUCGUCAUCAUCACACAUGCAGACAGAGAGAGAGAGAGAGAGCUGCAUUGGCAUUUGAUAUCAGCUUAAAUUCCUAUCUGCUAUCUUUAAUCUGAUAGCUGAUUGGGAGGCCAUAAUAUUGAUCGAUAUGUGCAUAUCUCUUGCACGUAGCGCUGUACGUGUGCAUUUAUUCUACUGAAUUAGUUGAGGCCGUUGGUCCAAAACAAAGAAAACCGCAAUCUUUUGGUUUGAUUAGUUGGUAAAUACAUUGUCCAUACACGUACGUAUGUAAAUUUACGCCACAUGUGUAGUCAUAUAUGUACAACAGCUAGCUGCAGUUACUUUCUUGUAUGGUUAACUAUAAAUGACUCAUAUGUAAUGAACAAUGUUAGCAUCUCGAUUGGAGUUUCUUCUUUUACGUCAUUUUUAAAUCCUGCAAUGUUGUAUGAUGAUUGAACCCGUCUAUUUAUGACAACAAUCGAAUGGUUAAAUGAUUGAUGGUUUUGGUUUAUUUUUGUUGAAUUGCUCUUUAAGGGGAUGACCUAAAUGAUACAAAACAACAAUAACCAAGCUUUAUCCACUAAGUGAGAUCUGCUGCAUGAAUCCUAGAACACUACUGCGCUUGGUUUUGUACCAAGUCUUUCGUUAGCUCCAUAUAUCCAUAUGUUCUCUUAUAAUCUCUUUCCAAGUCUGCCUAAAUCUUUUAUUACCGCUUUUACCCUUAGUCUCCGUCUCAUAAUUGCAUCUUCGAACUGGAGCAUAUAUUGGUCUUUGGUUUACGUGUCCAAACCAUCUUAACCAAUUUUCUCUCAUCUUACUUUCUAUUGUGAUCACUUCUACUUUACCUCGGAUAGUUCUAAAUUUCUAAUCAUCAAACAACAUUAAAAGAGCAUAAAGAAAAACAAGAAUAUAAAAAGAGAUGUUUAAAGAGAAAAUUGCUAACACCCCCGUAAAUUAUAGGUACCUACUCUCCAUUUUACUCUCAGUGAAACUGACCCUUCUACUACUUAAUUAUAUUAGUAUCCUUGUUAAUUUUCAAAUACUAGCUAGUGCUCACUCUUGUAUUAGCAUAUUAGUAAUGUGUAGGAGGGUUAAUUACUUUGUAAGAAAAUAAAGCUCCAUUUUACUUGCAUUUCAACACUCCACAAACAAAUAUGUUUUUCUUAAUUAAUUAGUUAAGACUAAUUAGGAAUUAGAUUGUACAUUUUCACAAGAAAGUGUUAAUUACAUUAUUAAGAAGAAGACAGAAAAAAGACAGCUCAAGAUUAUUAUUCACAAGAAAAGGUAACCCCUCAAAAUAUUUUUAGAUUUAAUUGAGAAAUCAUGAGAGCAUCUGUCAAUCUACACAUUUUGGUAAUGAUCGACAACAUUUUCUGAUACCAUAUUUACUUUUGUAGCUAGCUUUUUCUGGCUUACGAUGUUCAAGGCUGUCCACCUGCACAUCUCCACUUAAUUUAUAUUCCCUUUUAUGUUACAAAGGACAUUUCAAGGAGAAAACCGAACACAAGAUCUCGGCUGUUUGAAUAAAUACUCUUAAUCACUUUAGCUACAAAUUUCUUACCAAUUAAAUUUGAUAUCUGAAGCACAGUUUGAAUUCAUAUUUCCACUCUAAUCAAGGUUUGCACAGUUGUUGGAAAACUUCGGUUAGACUAACUAAUUAGGGCAACUCUCUCACAUGAUUCGCAAUAAUCUGACUGCUUGAAGGUCUACGAGAACUGCUCUAUGAAUGAUGUGGUUUGAGUGACCUACAUAAUUGUGCGUAUCAGAUAGCAUCAAAAUACAAGAGCUCUCAUACUUUAAAAAAUUUUCCCUACAAAUGGCGUGAUCCGACAUCACACCAUUGAAGUGAUUAGUUGGUAUACAGCAAAUUAUCCCUAUCUGAUGCACACCACAAUUUGCCCUGCCUUUGCAAAAGCACAGAUCUGAUUCGUCUGCAUUUGCUUUACCAAGUGGGCCAACUUACUACUGGAUACAUAAGGGAGGAGGAUUGUCUGCCCUCCAAGUUUCGGUGCCCUUCCAUGCCCUCCUGUUUUGUGUGGUCACGGUUAAGUCACGUUAAUAUUUUAUAUUAUUUUUUUAUAAAGAUAAUAAAACAAAAAUAAAUAAUAAUAUAAAAUAUUAACGUGGUUUAACCGUGACCACACAAUCAGGAGGGCAUGGGAGGGCACGGUAACUUGGAGGGCAGACAAUCCUCCUCCAUACAUAAGACCUUUGUUUAGUUGUUUUAUUAGCAUAAAUAAUCACGUUAGCCUGCACGUUAUAUCAAAUGGAGGAAUUUGGAUCCCGGACCCUACUGUCCGUACUAGAAAAUCAGGACCCUUAGUUUGUGUGAAAGAGAGAAAUCGGAGCCUUUGGUUUGUUAUGAUGUGGACCACUGAAAUAAGUUAAUGAAGAGCGUUAAAUUUAAUUUGAAUGGUUCAGAUUAUCUGAUCGUUAAGCUCUAGACAGCAAGAUCGGGGAAGGAUCUCUGUCCCAAAAGGAAGCCCUACCAACGUGAUGAUAAAAACAUAAACCUUUGUACGGAUUAAGAGGUGUGUUGGAUCGGAAAAGAUUCGGGUCCUCCGACUAUUAUUUGUUCCUGUUGGGGAAUUGGAUAACCUGAAUUAUUGGAUAUGUUGAACUCAUGGAGUUUGGGGAGCUUCAGCUCAAAAAUAGACCUAUAAAGCUUCUUGUUGUGGAGCACCAAAGAAAACACCAGAUUGUUCAAACCUGGAGAAAUCUCGCCGGAAAAAUUGUUGUCUGCCAAGUUCAAUCGCUUCAAGUCGUGGCGAUCUAGAACGCAAACAGGAAAUGGUAAACUAAAACAUAAAGAAAACAGAAGAUCAAAAUGCCAUGAACUUGUCUGGUUGUCCAACAUCAAAGACAAGGAUGCAGCCAGACAUCCCAUGAUAACGAAAUGAACGAAAAUAUCAAAAUGCGAUAUCGAUUUAAAACAGAAACUCUAAUAAAUUCAAAGUCGGAAAAAGAUCGUCAAGAAGAAUCUGCAGUUUAACAGAAAACUAAUAAUAGGGACAGUUAAAGCCACGAUAUUUGCUUUAAAGCUCCAACAAGAUAGAAAAGUAACACAAUAUCUAUCAGAAGCAGUAAAUUUAGAAAAGAGAGGUUCCCUUCCCCUUCUUGUCUCCACCAAUCUCGAAAUGCUUGCACCUCUGCAGAAAUCAGUGACAACAAUCAACCCUUAGCAAAAAAAUAACGGGGUUAUACACAGAAACAAGCAAAUUGCACACAAAAUACACUAACCUUGAUCGGGUGCUGGGACACAUGCUUGCAACCCUGGCAUUGGAGCCUCAGAACAAUCUUCUUGGUAGUUUUUGCCUGUUUAUAAAGUUAAAUGUGAUCAUUAUUGAAAAAACGAACAAUAAGAACAGAGAAAUCAAUCUGCGGAAAUAGAAAUAUCUAGACAUUUGGUUUUCAAUUAUUCUUUAUACAUUCCCAGUAUGAAAAGGGGGCAAGAAGUCAAUCUUUACCUUCUUGUGGAACACUGGUUGGUCUGACCUCCAUAACCUGAUUGCUUACGAUCAUAACGCCUCUUUCCCUGAGCAGCAAGGCUAUCCUUUCCUUUCUUGUAUUGGGUAACCUUGUGCAAGGUGUGCUUUUUGCACUCCUUGCUCUUGCAGUAGGUCUUCUUUGUUUUCGGAACGUUCACCUACAACAUUACCACAUUUGAAAUGAUCCAUUAUAUCACACAGAAACACAAACUACAACAGGGAUUAUGCAAUCUGAAUAAACAAAAACCCAAUUACAAGACGCAGCAUAAGAAAUUACUAACCAACACCAAGAUAAUCACAAAAUAACGGUUUUACACAACGUGUGCAGAUAAACAAUAACUUCGACACAACAAUCUAAUAACCAUAUUCAAGAACCAGAACACACUUAACAAAAUCAUCCUAAAUACAAGCGAACACUUCGCACGGUUCAUUGUCAGAUGCGUAACUUUGAAGUCUAAGAGGCAUCCGUAAACUAAGGUGUGACUAAUGGAGGUGACAUUGGCGGUUGGGCACCUAAAAUAGCAAAUGGUUAUCUUCAUACUUAUUGAGUACUCGAUCACGAGCCAAAGCAGAGGUGCACCGGUUCCACAGCGGGUACCGGACCACCGUGAAAUCCCGGACACCCAUUUUCUAUUUCGGGCACUCAAUAGUCAUCCACAGGAAAACCACCUACAACUCCUAAGGAGUAAGGAAGCACAUUCAAGCAUCAAUUGUUACAGUUUUCUUCUGAGCUAAACUAAAACAAGUUUAUGCUAAUUUUUCAAUGAUUUAAAUAUGGCAUCCAUCAUACAAUCAGGGUAUAAUCUUAACAUAAAUCCCAAGUUUAACCCACAAAAUUAAAGCAAAGAACAGUAGCAAUCAUCGCAUAACCACUAAAUAUUAACAGAUUUAGAUUGGAAAAUCAAACGCAGAAGCAGUAAAUAUAUGAUUAAUAUUGUUGAGAUUUAGAGAGAGAGAGAGAGGUACCAUGGCGACGGCGGGUUCGUAAGGAGAUGACUGAGCGGUAGAGCAGAAACGGGCUCUCGGCUAAACCCUAGAAGAAGCACUUGCGGUAGGUAUUUCAUGGGUCGCCUUUUAGGGGUUUUGUCGAUUCAACUUGGGCUCGGGUCGAGGUCCAUCUGGAUCAGCCACCCUGCCCACUAUUUUGAGUAAUUUUUUCUGGAACACCGUCAUGUAGUAUUACUAUUUCAUUUAAAUAAUUAUAAAUAAUAAAAAUAAAAAUAAAAAUAAAAAUUUAUACAUAUUUUUUAGCUUUUCAUAUACCAUUCUUUAUUCGAACAAAAACAAAAGACAUGAUCAGACAAGAAUCUGAAAGGCGAAAAGAGUGUUUAUCAUUUCUCCACUAUUAUGUACAUCACAAAAACUAGAGUUGAUUAGCGUGUAGUCUCUUUGUAUUCCGAGCUCGAAUCACUCUCCUCGUAAAAACUAGAUAAUAUUCAAAAAAUUUCUCGACAAUCAAGACUGAAAUACAUUUGGACGACAGAGGAGGGACUUAGGAUUUCCUAAAAUCCAAUGUACAAUGUUGUAGGUAAAAACUACAUCAUAGUUAGCAACUUUUAAGACUUUGUAUUUCUAUCAACGUUGUUCUUUUUUGUUCUACGAGUACGAGGAGAACCAUCCUUUUGCUGUAACAAAGUGAGGUUAUCGGCCUUUCCAAUCACGGUACAAAUACACAUUACAACUAAAACAGUAAAAACUGAUGCCAUAUACGACGGAUUUGGCUUGAAUGAACCCCGUGACAAUGGUGGCCUGUCCACGCUGAGUGAUGCAAAUCCCUCUCCCGACUGCCUCUUCCUGCGAAAUGGGCAAAUGGUUAAGAAAGGCUCGUGCGUAUGCAAGAUGAGUUCAAGGAUCGAGGAACGUUUUCUCUUUCAAAUGAACGUAAGGGCAUGUUUAAGACUGAAAGUCAGAACAGUAGAAACGAACCGCGACUGAGGCAUACCCCAAUACGCCCUUUAUCGAUUCCCACAAGGAUACAGAACGUUUAGUGGCCUGGUUUGAAGCACUGGUUCUAUGCUUGCCAAAGUUCCCAUCUCGUAUCCCUGAAAUAAGCACGAAUUUUUCCUAGUCAUAAUUUAAACCUACUAUGGUGUUUCAACUUAGAUAGUGGUUUAUAAGAGUCCCGAACUAUACCAGUGCCUUUGGGAGCAGCUGAAUGGCCUUCUCUAGAUGACUUAAGUGAAGCCAGUUCUUCGACAAGGGCACGUUCCUUAUCACUGUCAUUAAAGUUACAAUAAAUUCCAACGAAGAACAGAACGGAAGGUAUUGAGAUAUCAAGCUGGAUGCCAAGUUCAACUAAUAAGUUUAAACUAGAGGAAAGAAGGAAGCAUAACAUAGUAUAAGGAUUCCAACCGGAUUAUCUUUGGGAUCAGAACAUUGACAGUAAAGUGAUCUCCUCGAGCAGAAGGUCUGUUGAUGUCUGGAACCCCCAUGCGUCGCAACUUCACUGUCUCUCCAGGUUGAAUUCCCGAAGGAAUCUGAAGCUCUUUCAAACCUUCAACAGUUUCAACCUGAAGUUAUAUCACAAUUUCUAUGUCAUACGACUUAUACCAAAUAAAAGAACAUUGAUAUUUCUAGACCUUCACUAAGUGAUAAUGGUAGGAUUACCUUUAUGACGGUCCCUAAAAUGGCCUCGGUAUAAUCAGUAUUGAUUUUUGAGUACAGAUCGAGACCGCACUAUGUAGACAUCACCAGCUUUACCCCUGCCAUAGUGCAGAUGAUAAAGAUAUUAGUGCAGGGCAUGCCUUACUAUCAAGUCUCAUACAGCGAGAGUCUUGAAAAGUACAAACAAAUCGCGCCAAUUCUAUUAAGUAUAACAUAAAAGUGCAUCUCAUUGUUACCAUAGAUGGUCAAACGCCAAACAAAUCAGCACUAGAACAUAAAAGUGCACGCCAUGGGUAGAUCAGAAAACGUUGGUAUUUAUUGGAAUUUGUUUCUGUCAUAGAGGUUGUAUGUUUUCAAACAUAUUGAAUUAACAAAGAACAGGCAUCAACAACUAGACUAAAUGAGGAAAACAGAUUUAACGCACACGUAAAUUUAAAUUGUGCAUAAACCUUUUCUUAUCAAACUUCCCCUCUUCUUGAAUUUGCAUUGUGGAUCCAUCGUUAACACCAGCUGGGAUGAUCACGUUCAUAGUUCUUUUUUACUGCACUUGUCCAUCACCACUGCAUCUUUGGCAAGGAUCAGUGAUUAUUAUACCAUCACCACCACAUUUUGAACAGGUUGAUACCUAUUAAUCAUUAAAUAUCAUCUGUGAAGCAUAUCUCUUAGAGUGUGGUCUUGAAAAAAUUAUAGGAAGACUUCUAUGGUGUCUGCAUUAUGAGGCCAAGAAACUUUUUGCGUAACUGGAGGUAAUGCAGUUUUGAUGAUUUUUAAUGUUAUAAGCAGGUCUCUUUACCUGCGAUAUCGUUCCAAAUGGUGUUUUCUGAGUUUUCAUCACCCCUCCUCUUCCUCCACAACCAGUACAUGAUUUUAUUCCUUUAUCAGAUUUAGCACCUUAGCCGACCCCACUUAGUGGGAAAAAGCUUUGUUGUUGUUGUUGUUGUAUCAGAUUUAGCACCUGUUCCACCGCAGUCAUCACAUGUCUCAACACAAGAAACUUCAAUUUCUCUCUGUACCCAGAAAAUGGAUUCUUCAAAGCUCAAACACAGAUCGCACCUGCAACAUGAAAGUUAAAAGAAAAGCCUAGAAAACAUAAUUUAUGUGCCUCCAAAACAGAUGGGGAAGAUCAUUCAACUGUAACAGUGAAACUACACGGUUACCGAAUGUCAAGACGCUGGUUUCCCCUACUGCUGAAAUUGAAGUUCAUGCCUCCUGAUUCACCCCUUCCACCAAAAAUCCCAUCUGACCCUCCAAAGAACGUAUCAAAAACGUCAAAAGGAUCCACCUACAGAAUUUUGGUGAUUCAUUAGCAUGCAGUUAAACCGGUCAUCUACUUCACUAGGAAAGCAACCAAAAAUUACUAAGAAAAAUGCACUUUCCCAUGUCUAUAUUACUGAGAAGACCAGGAAGAUCUUACCCCUGAUGAACCCAUGGUCGAGGAAUCAUAUUCUCCCUCUAAACCAGCUUCACCAAAGUGAUCAUAUAACUGGUUUGGUAUUGCUGUGCUUUGAAAAAAAACUGUUUCUGCUAUGCUGUGAGAAUAAACUCAUUUUUACUGCUUCACGUGUUCAGUUUUUUUUUCACUCAAAAUUGUGAAAAUAAGCUGUUUUUAAGUGUUUACCAAACACUUUUUUGAGCUCAGCUUUUUUUGAUACCCACUUUUUAUAAAAGCAACUCAAUAUCAAACCAGUACAAAGACCUUUUCCCGCCAUCUGAUAGGACCUACAAAAAUGAUGAAUGAAAAACGGAGCAUGGAUGCAUCAUAUGCAAUACACUCUGGAGGUUCAGAAAACAAGAGUCAAAUCAAUACAUGACGAUAAAAUGAAUGAGAAAAAAUCCCAUCUUUUACUGAAAACUGAUGCCAAAAGAAAAACAGAAAUGCGAAAAUGAAGAGAAAAAUGACAAUGCAGCAUCACUGAAGAAGAAAAACUAGAAAUCAUAAAUCGUAAUACCUCAUACGCAGCACUAAUCUCUUUGAACUUGUCCUCAGCUCCACCGCCCUUGUGCGGAUGAUACUGUUCCAAGUUCCACCAUUUCCGAUAUCAAAUUUCCAUCCGACACAAAAUGUAAUUAGAUUAUAUCAUCUAUAUAUGAGUAUCAUGGCUAAUUGCAACACAAUUGACAUCAAAAUCACCGCCUUCCGGAUGAAAAAACUAAAUCUUUCGCUAAUCGCCACUCAUUCGAACAUAUCAAGCAGCUUUGCUUACAGUGCUAAAUUGGGUUUCAACUUUCAAUGCAUCCAACUUACAAAUUUCUGAAAAAUCUUUUCUUCUGCUUCAAUUUGUAUGCAAAUAACACGCAUUGGAAAAUAAACAACAGAAAGAAGUAGCUAACCUUUUGGGCGAGCUUUCUGUAGCGGACUUGAUCUCCUGCAGCGUGGCAGUUCUGGUGACGUUAAGGGUGUUCGUCGCAGGAAUCUCCUGGCAGACGAGCACACAGCUCCCCUGGGAGAAUGGCGUCGGUUGAGGGUAUCUGUCGUACUUCUGCUUUCUUCUUGAGCUCGCUCGGGCAAGCCUUUGUCGGGCAGAUCUUGGUCGGGCAAGACACACUUCGGGCAAGGCUCGUCGGGCAGUUCUGAAAGAGAAAGACAGAGUUAAUUUGAAAGGGUGCCUUCGUGGGGCCUUAGAUGUAGGCCUUAAGGCUCACAAUCAAGAUUAACUUUGUAAUGCUCAGGCGUGCCACUGCCAUCUUCAGUAUGGCAGAUGUUGAAUGGGUGUUAAGCUUUAAUUGAAUAUGUAUACGCCCGAGAAACCAAGUUAGAUAUAAACAGGUGCCUUUGUGAGGCCUUAGGUAUAGGCCUUGAGGCUUCCUGUCAAACUAAACCAGCGCUUGGAUGUAUCAUAUUUGGCCUUUUAUGGUUGCCAGAGUUUUAUCACUAUUAUACCUUUGAUUAUCUGAAUCCAAGAGGUAGGACGAACCCAAAUGAGUGCCUUUGUAGGGCCUUAGGUAUAGGCCUUGAGGCUUCCCAUCAGAGUUAAUCCCUAUACUCGGACCAACUAGACCGCAACAUGAAAUGAAGCUAAAUAGAUGCCUUCGUGGGGCCUUAGGUGUAGGCCUUGAGGCUUUCUAUCAAAAUUCACUCCCUGCUUAAGCCUUUUCUAUGAAUCAAAAUAUAAUAGCAACGAAACGGAGAAAUAGAUCGAUUACUUGCGCCCCAAGUAACUUCGGACUUCUCGCUUAUCAAGGAUUGUCGUGGAUGGGUUGAGUCCAACAUAGAGUUCUUUUUAUGCCUUGAGGCCAAGGACUUUUAAACUGAUCUUUAAAUUACAUGCCCGCCGGGCUUAAGACUUAGAUCUGAUUUGAACUCUGACGCGAUUCAGAUCGAAUCCAAGUGCUGAAGACUCAUUUUCACUAUGACUUUGCUAGAAAUAACUUGUAUAUAAAGGGAAAUAUAUAACAUGUUAUUGUGCUUUUUAAGAAAAAGAAAGAGACAAAGACAGAGCAAAGAUAGUCGGGAAAGUUUGAACCUUAUCGGCCAAGGCUGAACUUCUUUACAAAAUCUAUCUAUGUAGCUCUGUCAGAGGUCUGAAAGCUUUUAGAGGGUUGACGGGGAGAAGAGGAUACAAAAUGAAUCGAUACCCACCAUGAACGAGGUAGCAGAGCUAUUACAGGGGUUUGGGAAGGGUUAUCCCGAAUGGGAUGAAGGCUUGUGCUGACUACAGCUUCGUUGAAGGCAAAUCUGGCUUGAGCAGAGUUUUGGCUUUUGUUUGUUUGUUUGAGUGUCCUUAAUUCUGUCUUCUCUUCCUCAUUUUAUAGACGGCUUCAGCUUGGGUUCCUGUAGCAAUGGCGGUUGCCCGAAUGCGGUUUGGUGAUGACUCACUAUCUUUUUUACAUGAAUGCCACCAAUAAAGUACUUUAUUGGGCUGUGCAGUGACUGAAUAACCUACCCCCUGUGGUCUUUGAGCAGGUAAGCAGGUGGCCUUUGUAAUUUGUGCCCAGCCGAAAGCCUCUUUCCUGCCUCCUAAGUUUUCCUCUGGGCCUUGGGUUUGGGCCGACUCUCUCUCUGGCCCAAAGUUCAGAUUUUAUCCCAAACAAAGGGUCUUAUAGUAAUCGGUCGCCGCGGCACUGGCGAUUAACCGAGCGCCGCGCUUGGGCUUGGCGCGGCGGAAAGGAGCUGAAUUGGGUUUGAAGAUCGGGUUUUUACUUCUGGUGAAGAAUGUAGAAGCGGCGGAGCUGAGGGCGGAGCUGCUCAAAGAAUAGGGCGGAAGUGGAACCGCAGAGUUGGGAUUUGGCAGGAAAUUGGAGGUGCAGUUGCUUUGGGUCAUGGGCAUACUUCGUUUUUUGAGAUUGAAAAUGGACGGUGGAGAUGGAUUAUGGAAUUGGGAGGUGUCGGGUUUUAGCAGAGGUUUUAGGGUGAAGGGAUUGGGAACUUUAAUAAAAAACAAUUAUUACUGUUUACUUUAACGAAACAUCAUAUUUUUAUAUUAAAAAAAUCAAUUAUGAUACUAUUCACUUUAUCCUUUAUUUUGUUCUUAUCAUUAAAACUUAAAAUUUUCAAAUAUUUUUUAUUAGUUUUCCUGAAAGGAUUUCGACGAAGAAGAAAGAAGAUUGUCAAACUGUCAGAAAUGAGAACGAAACAUAAGUUUGGGUCCCAACUGGUAAAUAUUUUCGGAUACGACAAACAAGAUUGAAGCAAAUGUGAGAAUAAUGAAAAGUAUAUAAAGACCGUUUUACCCUGAUGGAGCACCAAGAAUAGUAGGUGAUAAUUGACCUUCUGGUAUUCAUUUCUACGUUAAGAUAACAACUUACAUGACAUCGGGAUUUUACAAUCAUGUUGUUCAACCUACGUCAAUGCAAUCCUUGUUCCUCGGCUUAUGGCGUCAUCCUUUGUCUGAUUAAUUGAUUAAUAUAUUUCUUUUUAUGAGUUUUUAUCACAAAUGGUUCCUAAUGUAUUGUGAAGUCACCAUUUUAAUUCUUUAUGUUUCAAACUAUAUCAUUGACUUUGUAGGACCCAAAUACAUGACAUGUCAGCACGCUAACGGAAUUCUUAAAGAAAUUAGACGGCAAGGGCAACAUUGAUGAGUAAGCCAAUAAAUGGAGGACGAAAUUGAUGAGUUUUAAAUAUGAAUGACCAAACUGAUGACUUCACAAUACAUUAAGUAUCAUUUGUGAUCAAAACCCUUCUCAUUAUUUUUCAUUUUUGAGGGUGAUGGUAUUGAACUGCAAUCGUGCCAAGGGAGGAUUUCUUUUCGGUUGGACUACCCUAGUAUAGCUCCUGCAUAGUGUUACAUGUGUGAACGACAAGAUUAAUACGUCAUCAAAAUUCGUUUGUGGUCAACUUUAAUUGCUUUGUUUCUACAACAAACCGUAUCAUUUAUUAACUUUUCUAGUUCUCUUGCUCACCAAAUAUUGCCCAUCAACACCAUUUUUCCUACCAUUAUAAUUUUCAUGGUGACAAAUGCAAUUCCAUCGAUUUUCAUUCUUUGAUUAAAGCGUAAACAAGUGAUUUCCGUAACAAAAAUAAACAAAGGUAUGCAUAAGUCAUUUCCCUACGUAUAUUGACUCAGUUCGGAAAUACCCUGGCCGCAACACCAAGGCAUGGUUUGAAGAAUCGUCAUGGAAUCAGUAACACAAAUUCAUCAAAGAAAUAAUAUCGGCGAAUUCUCAAGUUCACAUUGAAAAGAAUUAAGAUCAAUUGAAUUGAAAGAAUGGAAUGUGUAAAUCUACAUGAUGUUCUGUUUCUACAUGUUCUUCUUCAACUACAUUGUACAGUAUUGCAAUCAGUCCCCGUUUGGGUGACUACUUAAGUCGAGAAGAAACAGUCGGAGGAACACAAUAUGUAGAGAUGCCCACAACUGCGAUUCAGCGAAGGCAUCCGACGUCCUCUUUCCUAAUGCGAGCUCUUAUUUCGGAAAACUACUUCUUCCUCCCUACGUACACCGCUGCGGUCCGCCAAAAUUUGAAAAGAAAAAACACCAAAGCUAAGACUGUGUGUCUAUGUACAAGUUGUAUCUUCUUCCUCUCCUUUCGGUUGGGGCUGCAUUUGUCGACAAACUAAUUUCUCCAAAGCUUCCUUCAUCCACCAAUUUUGACAUGCUUCUCUCGCUUCAGCGACUGUCAUCUGCAGAAUACGAAAUGCAUUCCAAAAUUUAGAACUACUAAUAAAUCAAUUCAGCCGACGUAACAAAAUUUAGGAGAGCAUACAAUCAAGCAAAAUGUAUCGCAAUUCCACGCACCCAUUCACGCUUGCGGGAACUUUUCUCGGGCCAAAGUUCCAACUGCUGCUGGACAAGCAAAGGGAACAUGUACCCCUCAUGAAAUGCGCCCUGGCUUUUGCUCUUGUAACGCCACAUUCCCAAUCUAGUCUGCAAGUACAUCAUCCGAACAGUCGAUGAGUAAAUGGAUUCAAUUCAACUCAAUGAAAUUAAACUAAACUACUACAGAACAGGAUUGCUUUAUUGGUAUUUUGCAGAUACUUACUUCAAGAUGGCCAAUCACACCGGCUUCCUCCAGCGUCUCUCUUUUUGCCGCCUCUUCAAUCGACUCAUCCAUUUCCCAACCUCCCUGUAAUCAAUCACAUUGUGAAUGCAUAAACGUUAAUGACAAUCGAAAAAAGAAACCAACAAACAAAAACAAAUGCUUUCUAGUUUCUGUGGUAAAAUGGGACAAAAGUAGUACCUUUGGGAACAACAUUCCUUUCCCCUUCUGUGAACUAAUCACAAGAACUUCCAAUUCCUCAUCAGAUGAAGUUUUUUCGGUUUUCCGGUAUCUGUAUGGUAUGCAUCUGCAGAAUUCCCAAAUCAACACAACAAAAAUUAGAUUACAAACAUACAAAACCCCACAUAUGACAGCAAUAAUUCAUUCAUCUAAUCUUAAAAGACCGCAACUUCACCAAAAUCCCAGUUGAGUUUUUCUUAAAUUCAAGCAUUUGAUCACAAAGACCACAACUUUCAUUCAUUUAACAAAAACCCAAUUGAGAUUUUCUAAGUUUCAAGGCUCUAAGAUUGAAGAAUUUUGAAAUAGGUCCGAAACCAAAGAUGUAAAUUUGAAGAAAACCACAACAGAGAUAUGAAACGUACCCUACAACUUGGCGGCAACCUUUUUCAUAGCGCUGGAAUUGUCUUCCGGUCCGGGAAACUAAAGAAACCAUGUUCUCAAUUUGCAUGGGGAUGAAUUCUCCACCAUUUUUCUUGGAGAAAACGGGAGAAUUAGAAGAAUUGCAAAUGUAAUUCACAAUACUUUUUGAGAGAAAGAGACCCAUCGAUUACUUCUGCAACUUUCUCUACGUGUAGAUUGAAAGGAAAAGAAUAAGAAAUACUUGGAAUAUUUCUUUUCUUCAAAAGAAAUAGAACCCACCAAUUUUAGAGGGAUAUAAAUAAAAACAAAACCAAAUUGGUUAAAUUUGGAAACUGAAAUUCUAAAAAAAGAUUGGCUUUAAUUGUGUGAGCAGAGAGAAGAAGAGAGAGAGAGAGAGGGGGGGGGGGGGUUGAGAGUUUCAGUUCAAAAGCGCUUUUGUGAUGGAAUUUGGAGUCUGAGUGAGUGAUGAACACUUGAGGAUAAGAAAGAAGUACUUCUGCGUUCUGCUUUUGUUUGUUGGAGAUAUACAUAUAUAUAUAUAUAUAAGGGCUUCUGGAAAUAAAGGCCACGGCUUGUUCGUCUCGAAACGACAACGGACGCGCAUGUGGUGGUGGCGGUUGACAAAGAAAUUGACCUUUGCGAGUGAUAUUUAUAGAUGGAAUCCUAUGUUGCUAUAUUUAUUGUAACUUGGUAAGCUUCUUUAUCCUUUUUGGUAAAUCUCUUGUUUCUUCUGUUUUCGGUUUUUGUAAUUGUUUGGUUAAUUGGAGAAGUAAUUCCAAUUGGAGAAGUGAAAGGGAUGGUAAAGAUAUAGUAAAAAGCAAAAUAACCAAACCACCAAUAACAAAAAAAAAAAAAAACUUUACUAUAAAAGCUCUUAAUUUUAUUUGUUUUCAUUAAUUUGAAAAAUUAAAAUUAAUAUGUAACGUUCGUUCCUUACGAUAAUAAAAUGAUAAGUCUAUUGGGUCGUUUUUAUUUUGUUAUUUCUCAAUGUUGACAAAAAAAAAAAUCUUGUUUUUUAUUUUUUAAACAUAUAUUUCACUGUAUUUUCAAAUAAUUUAGUCAAGUUGUAUUCACACAUCGUCUUAUUUUGUGACCAACUCUCCAAACAAUAGUGGAACCAAAGUGACGGUGAUGCAUGUCGAAAACACAUGUAUACAUUUUGCCUAACUAGGACCAGGAUCCUCUCCUGAGCUAAGGAUGAGGAUCCUCCUCAUCAAGGGAUGUGGACCGUUGGAUGAAAAUUCAACGGCUACAAUUAUUAUAACUUUAAAGGGACCCCCUGUUUGUAGCCGUUGAAUUUUCAUCCAACGACCCACACCAAUUGAUGAGGAGGAUCCUCAUCCUUAGCUCAGGAGAGGAUCCUGGUCCGCCUAACUAUGCAGCGAUUGUCAACGCGCCAAAGCGAGAGUUGGUGAUCGAGUGAGGAUGCUCGUACACAAGCACAUCAAAGCUUAAUAUUAUAUUCAGCGAUUGUCAACGCGCCAAAGCGAGAGUAGGAAGAUUUUUCAACUCUUGAUUUCUGAGGAAUUUAAAAAUGGCAUGAUUGUAGAUUAGAACAAAGAAUGUUGGGCGUGUGAAGGAGAAAGGAGGAAGGCUUUGGAUUAUCUACGAAGGUGUACGUGACGCGUUUUACACAACAGUUCAGUCGCAGUUGGUUUUAUAAAGUUAAAAAAAUGUGGGGCUGACCAUGAAACACGACCUUACACGGUUUCAAAAGAAAGGACUGAUGACUGAAGCAGUACAGUGCAGUGGAGUGCAGUCCAGCACUCGGCACUGAUAUUUUUGCCCUAAUUUUUAAGAAAGUCACUGUCGCUGCCCCUUGUUAGGGUUAGGGUUAGGUUAUAGUGAAAGGUAUUUCUCUUGUAUCAAGUUGGUAUUUGUAUAUUAAUAAUUUGCUAUUGGUGGUUGAAACUUGAAGGGAAGGAAAGUGACCUUCAGUUUGUUAAUACAUGAUUAUUAUUUAAUUUUAGGUUGGAUGUCUUAAGUUGAAUACAGUACAAAGCGGAUAAUUUAUUUAUAUACACGAUGUUUUUGUCUUUGAUCUGCCAACUAUGAGGAAGAGUGUUGAAAAUAUGAAGGCCUUGAAUCGUUUGAUCUAAGGGUGUGCGUCUCAUUAUAUGUAUAUGAGGUUUUAUGUACAUAUAUCAUUUAUUUACCAAUUAUUUUUUAAGUUGCAUGCUACAAUUUAUUUUAAUAUUGCUAAACAAAUAUUAAUGUUUUUGAAUCGCCAGAGGCCUCAUGUUGAAAUCCAUGUGCAAACAAUCUAAUUAUCAGAUCGAGCAUGCUAAGAAUCUCUGCAUGCAACGUGAUCGAUUUGAUCUCGAAGCCUCGACGGAAAUUAGUAGUAAAUUACUCAGUCUGAACGUACGUUUUCAAGCACGUUGAAAGGGUGGAUAAAUAUUCAAAAAAUAUGUCCUGCAAUUUCAGUAGUUUGAACUUUGAACACACGCACAAGAAGUUACUAUAGUUGUAUAAUGUUGAUUUAAUCUUUCAACUUUCAAAGUGCUUAAUUAAGCUGUUAACCAACCGGCCAGUACAAUUUGUAUCUGCAAAACAUGCCAAUAGACAACAAGGCAACUCCUCACUCACCCGAUGACAAACGUUGGGAGUCAAACUAGAACUAUACGCAAGUGAUUAAUAUGUGAAUAUGUUUGAAACCAAGUUUAUACAUUAACUUGGUCCUUUUGCUUUUGUUGAAUAUCUAAAAAUCAACGCAAAUUCUUGGUUAACCCUAAUCGUCAAAAAUACUGAACAUCGUCCUUUUCAUUUGGUAUCGAGUCUCACUUUCUCAAUUUUAUUUUUAUUUUUUUAUAAAUCUUUUGGUCGGUCAUGCUUUUAUGGGACUAACAUAUAAGUUAAUAAUCUCUUUAUAGAUAAACGAUUUGUACGUUUUUAAGUGUACAUCAACUAAGAGGAAAAACUUGCGAUAGGAUGCACCGACUACGUCAUUUUAUAAGAGUUCGCUUAGUAAACUAUAGUCUAUUGAUAUUUCUAUCAGAAGUGAGGUGGUGGGUAGAAGUAUUAUUAGACUAUAGUUUUGUUGGUUAAAAGAUAAUUAGUUAAUGAGAAGACUCAUAAGCCUAGUAAUAAAUCAAUCCUACCGACUAUCUUCUCACCAACAAGAUUACUUAAUCUACUCAUACUUUUGUCUGCCAUCUCGCUUAUGAUAUGUUGAGGAGCUAGCUAGAGGGAUCGCACAACUUGCAAUGGUCCACUGGCUAGUGAUGCCAUUUGUGUGCACUAGCAAGGAUUCAUAGGGCUUUAGCUAAAAGGGACAAUUAAUAUUUUCUAUCCGGUUAUUGAUUAGAUUCCUAACUUGUGCUUUAGUCAUCAAGUAAUCAAAUAAUUAGAAUAUCUAUAUACACAUGGUGAGAUCAUUUAGAGUAUAGGUGGGAUAUAUCAGGCCAGGAAAACCCUACUUUUCUCCAGAAAGAAAGGCGUGAAAGAUAUCAUAGCUAGGCUAACUAGCUAGCAUGCAUCUUCCGAGAAAUGUAAAAUGAAGACUAAUAGAAAUUUAUGUGGUUCAUGAAUCGAUGAGGAGGUUGUGAUUUCAAAUCACCAGCAAUGAUAAUGUCAAAAUUAUACCAACAUAAAGAAUAAUAAUAUGAGAAUUACAUCAAAAAGUUGUGAUAGUUUACUAGCAUGGGUUGACAAGGAAGAAGAAGACUAAAAAAGAUGGUCACGCAGCAAUUUCUGGAAAAAGAUAGGGAAUGCAACUUUUUCAAAGAGAGUUUUUAUAGGCAGGUGUGUCCAAGUUUCCAUCGUGUCUUGGUGUCAUUAUCUCUUGGUGUGUCUUGUAGAAUCAGUAGCCUUUCUCCAACAUGCUGUCCUACGCAAGGGCCACAACGCACAAGGGAUAGGCCCUUGGCUUUUGCUUGUGCGAUUGUCAUGCCUUUGUUCACCACAAAAGUAACUAUUUCUUAAUAUGAUUAUCUCAUGUCAAGAGGGCGACUUUAGAUUAUAAUCCCGUAUCAAAUCAUAUUGUUCUGACUGAUCUCUAAACUACCACCAUCUCUCGAGGCAAGAUUGUUGAGUCACAACUUCGGAGUCAACUUCUUCCGGCUAACCUCGUAACCAAUGAAAACUCUCUAUUCCUCCAACUAGGAACCCACUUGCUCCAGGACACGUGUCAGCAACACAACUAUGAAUUCAAAUCCUAAAUCGACCAAAGAAAAUAACUUAUCCCAACUAUACGCCUUUAUAAAAGAAUGUGACAUUUCAUUUUUUGCGUAGUCGUUAUUUAUUAUCCUAAACAAUAUAAAUUUGAAAUCUUAAAACAUUCUUUGCCAACUAAAGCAUCGAACUCUUUGAUUCAUACCACGUUGGUGGUGUUUGAUACUUGCUCUUGUGAGAAUGAUGAACCUUGAGCUUGACAAUGGAGGUUGUAGAAGAAGGAGAAGCAGAGAUUUGCAGAAAAGAGAAAGCACAGAAAGAAGAAGUAGAGAACAAUUAUUUCUGUAUAUUUCAUUCACUAACUGUCUGAAUCAUUACAUGAGUUUCUGUUUAUACUAGUUUCGUACACGUUAAGUAAACUCAAUUAUAACAAACUUAACAACUUAUCACCUAAUUUGACAAGUGGCAGCAUCUUGACCAUUGAUUUGAACCUGAUUUUUUAUACCUUUACAGCUGUUUCCUUCUUUAUAGAUUGUCGAAGCACCUAGUGCAAUUGUCAUUUUUGCCCUUUACGUUCUCGGCCUUUCCAUUUUCUGUGAUGAUAUGAGUUAAGCCCAUUGGUCCAGAGUAUGACUUUGUGGUUCAAGAAGGAGAACUAAUUAAAUUAUUCAUGCGUUGUUUUCCUCAUUAGGUGUUUUAGCCCAAUGGAUUACAAUGUUUAAUUGGCAAGAGGUCCAGCCCUAAUUAGAGUGGGAUCACUCUAAACCCACCAAAUGAGAACAAGUCAUCACUCAGUGCUCAAGUUAACUUAUCGCAUGUCCACCCAAUCUCUGUUUGUGUUUGUUAGAAUUCUUAAUCAAGAGCUCGUUUGAAAGUAUUUAAAAUGAUUAAAAAUGUUUUUUGGUAAAAGGGUUUUUAGGAUAUCAAAAACACUUGAAACACAUUUUAGAAGAAGUACCAGUUAUGUGUUUCUUGCAAAAAACACUUUAAUUGAUUUUCAUAGUUCACUCAUUUCUAUUAAGGAUUAGUUUCAAAAUCACUUUCAUCAAAAAACACUUUCAGUCAUUUUAAAAACACUUCCAAACACUAUAUAAUAAUAUUUCAUGCAAAUGUGGGUUUGUUAAAUUUUCUCCAAUAGUAGGUUUAAUAAAACAAUAUGAUACUUUAGUUCUCUUCAUUUACUAUCAUAUAGGUUUUGGAACCAUUUCAAUUCCCACAUGUUUUUAUAUUUACCAACACAUAUGAUUUUCAUGAAAAUCAAGAAUCAGAUUAACUAGAGUAGAGAGAGUAGUUGAUCUUAUUCCCUUUUCUUGUUUUUUUCUAUUCCUAAAUAGCCCAAUUUAUUAUCUAUCUCAUCCUUGUUAAAUAAACGAGUCAUAAGUUUUCACAAAACCUUUUCCUCAUCGUCACGUCACCAAAGGAAAAAAAAAAUUAAUUCCUUCCUUUUCAAUUGUGUUCCCUUUCAUUCCCCAUUUACAAAUUAGAGAAACAGUUUUAAUGGGAGGUUUUUGUAUAGAUUCAACGAUAAAUAUAUGGAAGUUGGCCAAUAGCCAUAUAAAGUCAGAUGGUAUUUAAGGAUUCAAAAUGACAUUGGAGGAAAAAGAAAAUUAAUGAAAAUGAGUUGAAAAUUUUGAGUUUUAACGAAAAUGACAAAAUAAAUGAUAAAAUGAAUAGUAUCAGGAUUGACCUUUUAGUAUAAAAAUAUGAUUUUUCGUUAAAAUAAACAGUAUUAAAUUUUUUUUGUUAAAAUUCCCGAAGGAAAUUAGGUAAGCUUCAGUCGUUGUUUAUUUGAGGUCGGCUGACCUAACAUUUCAACAAUUAUUUCUUCACGUCAAGUCUUUUGAUUGAGCCUAAAAUUUGCUCUCUACCUAUUUUCAAGAAGAAUACUUAUUCGCUUACAUAAAGAAAAAUACUUAUUCGCCUACUUGGGCUACAUGUAGCUUUCGCUGAAAAAUAAAAUUUUAAGUAGUUCAAAUUCGUUUUUGAUGAAAAUCGAACUGAAAAUCUCUUACUUACAAAUAAAAAAGGGAAAAUUAGGUUCCCAUCCUUCUUUUUGUUACUCCAUUGAUUAAAAUACUAUUCAUUUUCAAUUUUUGAUCAAGGUCCUUGGGUAUUAAUAACAUCAUUAAUUAUUUGAAUAAUAAAAUAUUUUUAUUUUUAAAUAUAAUCAUUUAGUGUUAAAAAUGUUACAAUUAGUAUAUUUAUAUUUAUGGCUAAAUUUUUUAUCAUAUAUUUUUAUUUUUAGUUUGUACCUAUUUUUAAUUUGCAAAUAUUUUUUAAUUAGUACCAAUUUUCUUUUCAUUUUUAAUUUGUACCCAUAUAUUAGUUUCUUUUUGUGCCCAAUUUUUUAAAAUUUUAUUUGUGUUUGUACCCAUGUGUAUACCAUCACGCGCAUUGUAUAUUUGAUCAAUGAUAGAAAAAUUACAUAUGGUAUAUUUAUGUUUUAUGCCUAAACUUUGUAUCAUAUAUUUAUAUUUUUAGUUUGUACCCACUUUUAAUUUGCAACAUUUUUUUAAAAUUUGUAGUAUUUUCUUUUUUAGUUUUAUUUUGUACCCAUGUAUUAAUUUCUUUUAGCACCUAUAUUUAAAAAAAAAUCAUUUGUACUCAUAAUUUUUUAAUCUUUUAUCUGUACCCUAAAAAUUCAUUUGUAGUAUUUUCUUUUUAGUUUUAUAAUGUACCCAUUCUUCUUUAUUAAUGUACCACUUUGUUAUAUGUGAAAUGUACCUAUUUUUUUGUAAAAUUUAACACUAUGGAUACAUUCUUUUGCCAUUUGUUAUUUCUUAUGUUUACAUAGUUUUUAUCCAUUUAUUAAAUCAAAAUGUUUGAAUUUUUUUAUUGUAACCGUUUCUAAUAGUAUUAUAAUGAGGGAUUUUAAAUUUAUAUGAUUAUAAAUCUCAUAAAAUAUCAAACAAUUAAUGUCAAAACUAUAAAAAUAUAAAUAUUAAUAGUAAUAUAAUGAGGUAUGCAAAGUCAAGGGACUUUGAUCAAACUUUGAAUAUUAUUAAAGUUUUAAUCAAAGAAUGUUAAGGAUUAGGGACCGCUUCCAAAAUAUUCCAAUAAAAAAAUCUACAUCUAGAUCAUAAUACUAAAUGGUUGCUAACGCAAUGUUGGGCAUGUUACUCAAUCCGAUGUAAUUAAUAAUCAUGCAUUUUGCAGGACGUGCACGUGUCAACAUCUUAUGUCAUUAGGGUUUUACAAUUCGAUACGAAAAGUUGAAAGAUAAUGGGCCUAUCCAUAUCUCCAGAAGAAAAUGAUGGCCCUGCAGCGUGCACAUUGAACGCGUGGCAUAAUCUGCGUGUUCACGGCGACGUAUGUCGGCUGCCCCGACCAACAAACUUAACCGCCCCAACCCACCACGUCAGAGGCCACGUAGGCCUCCACUCCCUUACGAGUUAAACUUACUGGAAUUACGGAUCACCACCUCUCCAACAUGGAAAUUAGACUUUUGCCCUCAAAUAAACGGAUAUGGCUGGUGUCAAGAGUUGGAACUGUUGAACCGUGCUUUUGAACGUUGACUUUUAGAUUAAAAAAAAGAACGUUGACUUGACUGCAUGGAUAGUUGGAAUUCGAAUUGGCUUCGACUAAAAGUCUAAAACCACGUUUUCCAGUCCGGAUAUAAUACAAACACACUAAAGAACACAUAAAAAUAUCAUCAUAGUUAUUUAUGGAAUGAAACUUGUGACUCAUUGAGUACUAUUGCACUAUUUUGAUAGACCAUUAGGGAAUUGAUUGGCGUUAUACAUCAUCUUAUGAUAUUUGAACGUAUUCAUACCUAACAUACGUUCGUAAUUUAAGUCAAUUUCACGUUUUUGAGCUGAAUAGUUGACAAGGGAAUCAAAUUUUUACUAAUCAACUUUGUGGAAUAAACGUUUUCUUUAAGUGGUGAUAGAGGAACAUAAAAAUGUAAACAUUUUUAAAUGGUGAUUGUGGUAUUCUUUUAAAAUCAUGGGGAAGGGAUGGUAAUUUUGACAAGCUAAGGACCAGUCAAAAAAUAGAAUCUCUUGCCCCCUAGAAUGUUUGGUAAACUUGUUUGGCAACAUAGAAUUUAAUAUAAAUAUUUUGACCUUUGAAAAUUCAUUGACGUUCAAAUUUUUACACCCAAAAACCUAUUCGGAAAAAAUCCCAAAAGGAAAAUAUCUGAUACGCUUUGCAGUUGCACCACGAAACGUUAUCCUGAUUGAGUGAAUGCAGAUAUCAUGGCAGAUCAUAAAUUGAUUUUGCUUCCCAUUUCGGGAAACAUCAAAUUUAGUGAAUACUAAUUAUCCCCGUCGAAUUAUGAGGAUUUAGAUUAGCAACUAAAUUAAAAAUAUUAAGAUUAGCUUGAAAUAUAUUUACAUUUAGAGAGCAAAUAGUUAAACCUGAUCUUGUACUAUGGAUGGUAGUCAAGGGAGAGAAAAUUACAUACAACUAACAGUAUAUUGUGUGGAAGGAAGUAUUUGAGUAAUUUAAGUAUUGUUAUGCAUUUUAAAUUUAUUAUAUGACAAUGUAUGAUUAAUUUAUAAAACUGUUGUAUGGUGGCAUUUUAAACAAAUCAAAUAUUGUCAUGAGUUUUUUUUUUUCCUUUUUUUACAUGACGAUGAAAGAUUAACUUGAAAUACUUCUAUCACGUGGCAUGUGCAUGGUGUGAUGAAAUACACAGGACCUAAACCCUAUGCGUCAACAAGGUCCAAUAGAGUCGACUCAAAACUAAUCCAAAAGUAGGAUAUUUUCCACCAAACUUCCUUUUCCAUCUUCCGUCCCAUCCUACGUCUCAUGCCUCCCAAUUUACUAUAUAUACCCGCACACGCAAUACCCGCAUACUCCUCAUCUGCCCCUUAGACUUUUAGAUACAUACAAAACAUAUAGAUAUACACCAAACAAAAUAGGACAAGUAUAUACUUCUGGGAGGAAGAGGAAGAAGAAGAUGGAGAACAGAAACAGCAACAACAGCAGAAAGAUGGAGGAGGGAUUUGAGGAAGUGGGGUUUCCAGUUCACAGCCAAGUGAGGAAGAUCAAGCAAGAAUCCGACAAAACCAUCGACUGGUUGCCGGGAAAUCCGGAGAUGAGAAGACCCGUCUUUAAAGAGAUCACCAGGCAGGUCUCUCGGUCUCCUCUCGGAAUUUCUUGCAGGCCGAUCUCCGUCGGCGACUCUUAAGAUUUAGGAGUAGGCGGGCUUUGAUUUCUGGGAACUGAUGGGAGGAGAUGAUGGGGGUUUUGGGGAUCUUUUUUGCAUCUUUCUGCUCUUGCUCCCCUGUUCUUGUUUUCUUUUUGGAUCUGGUACUUUUAGACGUGUUCCCUGUGUAAAUACAUCUUUGUAGUUUAUUAUAUUGUAGUUAUGCAGCUAUGCUUGCGAAAUGAUUUCUGCUCUUUUAUUUAUUUAUUUUUUUCUCUUUGCAUCUUAUUUAGUUAUGUUUGUUAAUUUUCUUUUAACGUGAUAACUAUAUCGAUCAUAAGAAAGUAAUUUUCAGUUUUUAUUUAUUUUUAAAUAAAAUAAAAAGUAAAAAGUAAAUAAAAAGUAAAAACAAAAUAAUUAUUAAACGUCCUUUUACAAAAAAUAAAAAUAAAAUGGUUAUAAACGGCUCAUUAAUGUAUUUUAAAAACUACAAUUGAGUAAGAAUAUGCAGGAAAGAAGCUGAUAUUCUUAAUUUUCGGCUCCUUUUGGAAUUUGGCCGUCUGGUUUUGAUUGAUUUCGUAUAAUAUCAAUCAGUCCUCCGUAAUAUAUUUGUUCUUCUCUUGACUGUAGAAAUCGGUUUAUCAAAGAUUUGAACCAAAAGGCCUACCAAUCAUGUUAUGUCAUGAAAAGUGAAAACCCUGACGAGAAGAACUUUAUCGUAACAUAGUGUUGUUGGGGCGGUAUCACUAUUUUAUAAACCAAUUACGCAGUCGAAAUCAAAAGUUGAGAUGAAUAAUAAUACACAAUUGGUUUGUGCUACUGUUAUGUUUGGCUUUGCACUUUGGUAAUACAUAGUUCUCUUGGUUUUUGGUAUGAAUUUAGGUUUAAGUAAAUUGUAGCUAUAAUCCUUUAACUUUAACUUAAUUGGAGCAAUAGUCUCUUAACUAAAAAUUCAUUACCAUUGGUCCAUCAACUCAUCAAAACGUAUAUCUAUGGUCCCUCAACGAAAAAUCUAUUAUCAUUGGUCUCUCAACUUUAAUUAAACUGGAGAAACGAUCCUUUAACUUUAACCCAAUUGUAGCAACGGUCCUACCAAUAUAACUUGUUUUGACAAAAUUUUUGACAUAGUUGACAAAAAUGACCAUAAUUACACACUGUGAUGAGUUGAGAAACCCUAAUUAUAUAAAUGGUUAUUUCAACAUAACUUAUUUUGACCAAAUUUUGAUGAAAUUGAUGAAAAUGACUAUAGCUAAAUAUUUUGAUAAGUUGAGGGACCAAUAGUAAAGAUUUUUAGUUGAGGGACUAUUGCUCCAAUUUAAUUAAAAUUGAGUGACCAUUACUACAAUUUACUCUUUUAGUUCUUUGUGUGAAGAGUCACGGUUGGUGUUUGUUCUAUUCCUAACCAACCAAAGUUGGUGGUAUAAAAAUAAUAUACUAUUACAUGAGUAAUCCAGAAAGACUAAUCUUUUGGCAAAUUUCGAUUGAUUGUAACUUUAAAGGUGUUAUUUAUUUAUAUAUAUUUAACUUAGUUUUAGUUGAAAAGGCAAGUUGCUGAUAUUUCUAUGUUCUAAUUGUUUAAUCGUUUCGGAUUGGAUGACCAAGGCUAAACCAGUCACAUUCAGGGCCAGGACCCUUUUUUUCCUAUAAAGUAUAAACCCCUUCAUUUAUAUUGACUUCAUAAGGAUUCGACGUGAAAAAUAGAAUGUCGGUUGUCGAUUACUUGACGUGCUCUCUUCCUUCUUUAACGGGUAUGAAAUCAGAUGCGUAAGAUAAACUUACACAAACAAAGUUACAUUGACUUAAUAAAUUAUAAAAAUGGAAUUCAAUUAUGCAAGAGUUUCUCAUGAAUAUGCAAAUUCACAUUGACAUUUUCCCCAUUCACAUUCAAAUGGAACGCACAAUGAGAAAGAUAAGGGAAAAGACAAAUAUGCCUUCGAAACAAAGCAGUGGUAGUGUAUUUAAGUACCAUUCGACUUCGGAUAGGUACAAUUUUUAAUACACACGUACAUACGGCCUACUCUUUGUAAAAGUAGCUUAAUUAUGUUAAACCCUUUCUCCACUUCUUCCUAAUUGUAUAGAGAAUAACAAACAGAAAUACAACAACUUUUCAUUAACCCCUUCCUUCUUCGUUACAUCAGCUAUUUAUCCUCUCAUUCCCAACUAACUACUAACACCCACGCACACGUGUCAUCAUUUUAUUAAGCCAUUUGGCAGCUACUAGGCCGUAACCUAUCAAAUUAGUUGGAUGAUAUUUCAUGGCAUGUUCAGUAAUUCCUUAAGUCCCUGCAUAAGUGACAUGGCCAGUAAUUUAGGAAUUCUUUUGAGACCAAAAUAUUUGAGUCUCAAAUUGUUUUGAGAGCUCCCUUACGAGUGACAUGGUCAGUAAUUCAGUAUGUCCUUACAUAAGUUUUUCUCAUUGAGGUCAAGCUAUUUCAUGGCGCAUCUAUGCAUUUCAAUAUAUUUUGAGAGCUGGUAAUGGCGUUUAGUCCUGCACUCAAGGUCUUUUGUUUCCUAAUCAAUAUAGUUUGUAUUAAAAAACUGCAUCAUUUAGGGGCUCGUUUGGUAUAUAGGAUUGGAUUAGAAUAAUUUCUCAAUUUAAAGGUAUGUUGAGCGGAGAUAUGAAAAAGAAAAAAAUUGUCCAACUAGAGGUUAGAUGAUGAAUUACUUGUGGAGAAACUUAUCUCUGUUUCCUUUUCAAAAUAGUAAGAUUAGAAUAAUGAUUGCCUUUUUUUAAUGUUUAAUCCUCUUCUAAUUGGAAUGAAAAAUCCUUUGCAGUCUGUAAAAUUCGUAUUCAUUAUUUUUGGAAACAAACAAAUUCGCUUUUGCAAAUCUCAAUAGAACCAACCAAAUCACCUUUCUCCUCCACCUCCUCGUCGCAUGAGAGCUGCUGCAGUGGUAACAGUACUGCUGCUGCAUGAUGCACCCACAUCAAUGUGUAUGUGUGCACCAUCCCUGAAUAGCUGCAAAGCCUGCAAGACUUUCUCUAUGCUAGUUUUCGUCUUACCUGCAAUUUUGGCUACUCACAUGUAUACAGAAGAUAUCAUCAUAUGUAUAUAUAUAAUACAUGUAAUCUUUUAGAAAUUUUGAGUGCAGUAGACCAAACGAACAUGGAUACACUUUUAAUACUUUUUUAUUUUGCAAGGAUCCUAUGCCCAACAUGAAUAACACACGACAAAUGCAUAUUAGACAACUUUCUUUUUCUUUCGUACGUUUUGCUGGAAGCCAAACAAAGAGACCCUUCAGGAAAGCUUAUUCAUUUUUGCUAGGAUUCUAUACCAACAUGGAACAUGCGUAUAUAAACACCUUCGUUUUUCCAUUGUUUAACUAAAAUCCAAAGCAAUAACACCUUAAGGAGAAACCAACCCUUCUCACACAACCUUCUUUUCAAUUCAUCUCACACUUCUAAUACUUUCUGGUUUGCUAGGAUUAUCUUUUACUAAACAUGCGCAUAUAGACAACAUUAUAAGGAUUUCCUUAAUGCUCACGAAAAAUAUUUCGAAAAAAUAAAAAAAUUUGCAUUUUUUACAGAAAAAGUGAAUUAACACUCAUGGUUUUCAGUAGGUUUUGCAAAUUCGUACAUAAAUUACCGUUCAAUCCAUUUAUUUUCACCUUCGCCUCACUAAAGUUUUGAAAAUUAAGGUGAGACUUUCUGUUGAGAUUCUUGAGUUUAUCCCAUUUGACAAUGUUCUGGCCUCACUACUAUAUUUUUCACUUAUUGUUUUAGUUUUCAGCUUAAAUACUCUACUAAAUAUACAUUUAUUGCUCAAUACAUCGUAAAACUGCUUCCAAAUUCCUUAAAAAGUUUAACUUAAUGCUCAGGAAAAAUAUUUUGUGAAAAUAAAAUAUUUGCAUUUUUGUCAAAAAACAUGGGUGUUAGGCGGGCUCAACGCACACAAAACGAGGCGAACUCAACUCGUGCAAAACAAGGCGAGCUCCGCUCACAAAAGACUGGGUGGGCUUCUGGCAUGCAAAAUGAAGUAAGCUCGCGCAAUGAAAACGAGGUGAGAUACGUCACACAAAUCGAGGCCAACCAUGCGCACGAAAAACGAGGUUAGCCCCUUGCACGCCCGAACAACGAGGACAAAAAAAGAUGGGCUUCUGGCACGAAAAUUAAUGCGGACACCUCAUAUGUAAAAAGAGGUGAACCUAGGCAUACAAGACAAAGCGAGCUCCACGCACACAGAACGAGGUGAACUCUCGGGUGCUCAGAAAACGAGUCGAGCUCCAUGCACGAAAAAUAUAUUUUGAAGAACAUGAAUAUGAUAGUUUGUAACUUUGUUGUAGUGGUAAAAGAAAUAAAAGAAAAAUUAACAAAAAUGUUUUGAAAUUCAAGAUUAUGAAUCAUUUUUGAACAUUUUUGUUAUUUGUUUUUAUUUCUCUUACCAUUACAACAAACUAUCAUAUUCAUGUUCUUUAACAUAUAUUUUUCUGUACAAAAAUCUAUUAUAACUCGGAUCGAUUUAAAAUCUAAAUUUAAAGAUAUUUGGGCUGUUUUUUUAGUUAAUUUUUCUUUUAUCUAAAUCCAAACUACAUACUAAUAGAACAUUUUUGUCAACCAAAAGAGGGUGAAAGAUUAUUUAAUAAAACAAAAAUUUUGCUUUUUUUUUAAGAAUCACCUAUAGGUAAUUUUAACAUCUCUAAUUUAAAAAAAAAUUAAAAAAUAUACACUAAAUAUAAAUGUUAACAUCUCUAUAUUUUUCAUUUAUUUUUUUACUUUUCAGCUUAAAUAUUAUACUAAAUAUACACUUGUUGCUCAAUAAAUUGUAAAUCCGCUUCCAAAUACCUUGUAAAGAUUUCUUUAAUGCUCACAUAAAAUAUUUCAAGAAAAUAAAUGUGGAUUAAACACUCACAAUUUUCGGUCAGUUUUUUCAAGUUCGUACAUAAAUCAACAUUCAAUAUAUUUAUUUUUACCUUCACCUAACUGUGAAGUUUUAAAAAUUAAGGUGGGAUUUUCCGUUGAGAUUCUUAAAUGUAGAACCCCAUUUGACAAUGUUAUGGGCCUCACUAGCCUUGGAAUGGGGCACGAUUUGGCUUCAUAUGGCGCCUAGGCUUCAAUUUGAUUAGGCAAAUUUUAUUGUGCUAGAAGCAGUUUUUCAAUUUUGAGGGAGGAUUAUCAGUUUGCCUAAGCCAUGAGGCUCCCAUUUGACAUGCUCUAACAAAAUAGAAAAGAGUCUUGAUCUUGCUUUUUAUUUGUGUAACUACAACUUGCCAAAAAAACUAGAAAGAGUUAUUUUUAUUAAAGAAGAUCAAACGUUUGCAUUAACUAGUGACCUACAAGAUCAAAAGUUGUACCUCAUAAGAUAAUCCCACUUAUUGAUAUCUCAUGUGGGAUUUGAUGACAUACUAGUCUUUUCCUUAUUUCUAGCAAAGUAUAUAUAAUAUAUACCUGCCAAAUUGAAAGAGCUUGCUACUGAAAACGAUGAGAUAAGCUCCUCUGUUUGCAAUCCAAUUUGAUUCUUUCAUGUAAUUGUGCAAAACCCUAGUUCCAUAUAUACUCGAUAUGAUUCUUACAUUGUAUUAAAGAUACAUAAAAUGAUAAACACAACCACUCGCACACUCUAAUUUAAUUUUAACAGUUGAUUUUGUUAGAUUUAUUCAAUUGAUAAUACACAGACAACAUAAAUUGGGUGACAUGAAACACAUGUGACCAUUAGAUGUGCAACUUGGGUCGAGUCAACCCAAAUCCGCCGGUGCCUAACUCGAUUUCAAACCCGAUCAAGUGAGUAAGAACGAAAAAACCCUGCCCAAACCUGACCCGACUUCAACCCGAUCAUUUUUUGGGUUGGUUCGAUGUCUUUCUUACCCAUGUUAACCUAAACCCUACCAGAUUUUGUGCUCGAAUUCACUCAUGCACAAAUUAACGAUUCCACUUCAUAUUAUAUAAGUUAUGUAUGAGUUUUGUAAUUGAAGUUUAUUGUCGGUUUUAUAUGGAUAAUAAAUGAUAAUGUUACUUUUACAUUUCUUUUGGUUGAAGCUUUGAUAUACGUCUUGUAAUUUAAUUGAUUAAAAACGUUAGAAAUAGUCUCCAAGAUGUUUUCUAUAACUUUUGUGUGGAUGGUGAUGUGCACAUGAAAUUUUAACUAAUAUUAACGUUGUUUGGUUUAAAAUUUGAAAAAUCAUGCAAAAUAAAGUGUUAUAAGAUUGAACUCAAUAAAAUUGGGCAAAACCGAACCCAACUAGAAUAAACCCUAACCAUACUAAACCCGCAUGGAGUCAAACCCAACCAAAACCCGAAUUGUGAAGGUUGGGUUGACCAUCCAACAUGUCCAACUCGUCUGAGUUGCACCCCUAAUGGUCGUCACUUCACACGUAGGCCAACCUCACUCUAAUAUUAUAAAGAAAGUUGAGGUUCCACUAUAAAACCAAUUGACAAUAUAGAAAAUAGCUAAACUCAUUGUAAGCUCUAGCAAUGUUUAAAUCCAUCACUUAUAUGAGACUUUGUCGUUCACGUUCUUAUAUUAGAAACACAUUAAAGAUAAUCAGCACAACGCGUUUGCAAUUCAAUCACAUUUUUUUUUUUAAUCAAAUGGAAUUAAUAGCUUUUUUUAAUUGUUAAAAGCGCAUUUAGCCUAUCAAAAGCAGUCCCAAACAUGGCUUUGACCAAUAGUCUUUGAUAUGCUUUUAACAAAAGGACUUCUAAGAAAACGCUUAUGAUUUAAAGUAUUUUCUAUCAUGAUUUCUAACAGAGGAUAUGACACAGAACCGAAUAUAAUGACGUUCUAAGAUUCAUAUAGAAAAAUGUUUUGUUGUUGUUGAUUCUUAAAGUGCCCAUUCCAUUUUGCGCCUUGUUGCUAUUGGGUCAUGGAAAUGAGAUUGGAUGUAGACCAGUACACAUAUGUUUGGGUCAAGUGAAUAAAACGGGGGAGGCCCGGGAGUGACCUGCACACAAAGGGAACGGUGGUGGGCCUGGCGGCCGGAGUGGUUCGUGGUGAGCACGCAAAUACUUGGAGACGAGUCAGAGGACUAUAUACAAGUGGCAGUAAAUGAAGGGUCAGGUCAGAGUCUGCGAUUUCGGUGACGAACUACCCUCGCUGCCUUCCCCUUUCCUGUUUCCUUAUCCCCCAAGUCACACCCUCACUAUAAAACCACUCUCUCUCCUCUCCCCCUCUCUCAUCCCGUUUCUUCUCCGGGUCGGUUUGUGUCGUCUCCGAGACAAACCCAUCUGAAAAAUAUCCACCUGCUUAGGGACCCGCCGCACAACACCAACGCACACACAGAGGGAAGAAUAUUUUCAAUUUUUCUGUUGUUGUUGUUUUUCACUUGAAAUCCCAGAAAUAAAAUCUAGAAAGAGGGAGACUCACCGGAAGUGCGGGAAAUUUUCUCUCUGCUUCUUAUCAUCUGGGUGGGACAAAUCCGAUCAGGUAAUUACUUGAUUAAUUUAUUUUGGUUUCUCUUUUUAUUUUUUUUUGGACUUCGAAUCGGAUUUUUAGUUGUUUCGAUUAGGGUUUCUGUUUUUCUUGUUGGGUUUUCAGAAAUUGCUGGAAAGUUUUGAGCUUGAUUUGAAUUAUAUUUGAAUGUUUUUUUUCUUGUUGGGAUGUCACAAAAUGUUGGAAAGUUUUGAGCUUGAUUGGAAUCAAAUAUGAAUUCGUUUUAGUUUAGUGAACCCAUGAAUGUUUAGUGUUUUGUUUGUUGAAAUUUGUUAAUUAAUUUAACUCCAAAUUGAAUUCAUUGAUUGCAGUUACAGGUUGGUUUUCUGGGCGUGGAUUUCUUUGAGGAGUUAUUUUGUUCUGAUUCGAUCUCCUAUUUCGGCACACUGUCGGAGAAUAGGAGGUCUGAUAGCCUGGAGGUUUCGCAGAAUAUGAGUUUUCGUGUCCAAAAUGAGCGAAGGGAUAGGUCCAGGUUUCCUGCUCAGCCUGCUACUCAGCCUACUCAGCCUGCUCGUCGAGAGUGGGUGCUGAGAGGUACCGACCCUACCACUACCACUGCUGCUGUUAACCCGCCACCAAGAGUCUACCCGAACAACCCGAAUGUCAAUGCCAACCAGCCUAAUCCAAGAUUCAAUCCAAACAACCCGAACGGCAAUGUUAGCCAGCCUAAUCCAAGAUUUAAUCCAAGCAACCUGAAUGGCAAUCUCAGCCAGCCUAAUCCAAGAUUCAAUCCUAACAACCUGAAUGGGAAUGCUGGCCUGCCUAAUCAUAGCUCUGUUCCACCAUCAGAGAUUCGGCCACACAGAGGAGGAAAUAAUGGCGUUAUUAAAGGCCAUAUGGGCCAGUCAGUGAACCAUAGAAGGGAGAGGGGAAGGAGUGAGAAUCAGGAGGAAAAGGGAUUGAAGGACUCGAAUUUGCCCCAGCUUGUGCAAGAAAUUCAGGAUAAGCUGACAAGGGGCACUGUCGAGUGCAUGAUUUGUUAUGAAAUGGUGAGGAGGUCUGCACCUGUUUGGUCCUGCUCAAGCUGUUACUCAAUUUUCCAUCUGAAUUGCAUCAAGAAAUGGGCUCGAGCUCCCACUUCUAUUGACAUGUCUGCGGAGAAGAAUCAGGGGUUUAAUUGGCGGUGUCCUGGAUGUCAGUCUGUCCAGCUCACAUCUUCAAAGGAGAUUCGAUAUGUUUGCUUUUGUGGCAAGAGGACAGACCCGCCUUCAGAUUUGUAUUUGACACCGCAUUCGUGUGGUGAGCCUUGCGGGAAGCAACUCGAGAGGGAGGUCCCAGGCAAUGGUGUGAGUAAGGAGGAUCUUUGCCCUCACAUUUGUGUCUUGCAGUGCCACCCAGGUCCAUGCCCUCCGUGUAAAGCAUUUGCCCCACCACGUUUAUGCCCUUGUGGAAAGAAAACAAUCACAACGAGAUGUUCUGACCGGGCAUCUGUUCUGACUUGUGGUCAGGAUUGUAAUAAGCUGCUUGAUUGUUGGCGUCAUCGCUGCGAGCGGACUUGCCAUGUGGGUCCUUGUGAUCCUUGUCAGGUUCUGGUUGAUGCUUCCUGCUUUUGCAAGAAAAAGGUGGAGGUUGUUCUCUGUGGAGACAUGACUGUUAAGGGAGAGGUGAAAGCAGAAGAUGGUGUUUUUUCAUGUAGUUCCACCUGUGGAAAAAUGCUUAGCUGCGGUAAUCAUUCCUGCAGUGAGGUUUGCCAUCCAGGGCCGUGCGGAGAUUGCAAUUUAAUGCCAACUAGGAUUAAGACAUGCCACUGUGGGAAGACAAGCUUGCAAGAGGAACGACGGAGUUGUUUGGAUCCGAUUCCAACCUGUUCUCAAUUAUGUAGCAAGUCCCUCCCUUGUGAGAUGCACCAGUGUCAAGAGGUGUGCCAUACUGGGGAUUGCCCACCUUGUUUGGUUGAAGUGACCCAAAAAUGUCGUUGUGGGUCAACUUCUCGGACUGCGGAAUGCUUUAAAACCACAAUGGAGAAUGAGAAAUUCACUUGUGAUAAGCCUUGUGGGCGGAAGAAGAAUUGUGGAAGGCACAGGUGCAGCGAGAGGUGCUGUCCUCUUUCUAAUUUGAAUAAUGCUCUCUUGGGGAAUUGGGAUCCUCACUUUUGCUCUAUGUCCUGUGGGAAGAAGUUAAGGUGCGGUCAGCAUUCUUGCGAAUCGCUUUGUCACAGCGGCCACUGCCCUCCCUGCCUUGAUACAAUCUUCACGGACUUGACCUGUGCAUGUGGGAGGACUUCAAUCCCUCCUCCACUGCCAUGCGGUACCCCUCCCCCAUCAUGUCAGCUCCCGUGUUCAGUCCCUCAGCCUUGUGGGCAUACAUCCUCUCACAGCUGCCACUUUGGAGACUGUCCACCAUGUGCGGUGCCUGUGGCAAAGGAGUGCAUUGGUGGGCAUGUGGUCCUCAGGAACAUUCCUUGUGGGUCGAGGGACAUCAAAUGUAACAAGCUCUGUGGGAAGACAAGGCAGUGUGGUAUGCAUGCUUGUGGCAGGACUUGUCACCCGCCUCCCUGUGAUACAUCUUGUUUGGCAGAACAAGGUUCAAAAACUUCUUGUGGACAGAUAUGUGGUGCUCCUAGGAGAGAUUGCAGGCAUACAUGUACUUCACUUUGUCACCCUUAUGCUUCUUGUCCUGAUAGCAGCUGUGAUUUUCCUGUCACAAUCACUUGUUCUUGUGGCCGGAUGACAGCUAGUGUUCCUUGUGAUUCCGGUGGAAGCAAUGCUAGUUUCAAGGCCGAUACUGUUUAUGAAGCUUCCAUUGUUCAAAGGUUGCCAGCACCACUGCAACCAAUUGAAUCAACCAGCAAGAAUAUCCCGCUCGGACAGAGGAAGCUUAUGUGUGAUGAUGAAUGUGCUAAGAUGGAGCGGAAACGGGUUCUUGCAGAUGCUUUUGAUAUAACUCCUCCAAACUUGGAUGCGCUCCAUUUUGGUGAGAGUUCUGCUGUUUCUGAGUUGCUUUCAGACCUUCUUAGACGCGAUCCCAAGUGGGUAUUAUCUGUGGAGGAGAGAUGCAAGUACUUGGUGCUCGGCAAGAGUAGAGGUGCUACAAGUGGUCUCAAGGUUCAUGUUUUCUGCCCGAUGCUGAAGGAGAAGAGGGAUGUAGUUCGGAUGAUCGCUGAAAGAUGGAAGCUUGCAGUUCAAGCCGCUGGCUGGGAGCCCAAGCGAUUUAUUGUGGUUCAUGUUACACCUAAAUCCAAAGCCCCCGCUCGGAUACUUGGGGUUAAGGGCACAACAACAGUGAGUGCACCCAAGCCUCCGUCUUAUGAUCAUUUAGUGGACAUGGAUCCCAGGCUUGUAGUUUCAUUCCCAGAUCUCCCUAGAGAUGCAGAUAUAAGUGCACUUGUAUUGAGGUUUGGUGGGGAGUGUGAGUUAGUCUGGUUGAACGAUAAGAAUGCACUAGCCGUAUUCAACGACCCUGCUCGAGCAGCAACUGCAAUGAGGAGGUUGGAUAAUGGUGCACUAUAUCAUGGCGCUAUUGUUGUUCACUCCAAUGGCAGUGCAUCUAUGGCGGCAUCAGGUUCUAAUGCUUGGGGUGGAUUGGGGACAUCUAGGGAAGGAGGAGCUUCUGCAGUGCUGAUGGGUAAUCCGUGGAAGAAGACUGUUACACGAGAGUCCGGUUGGAGGGAAGAUUCAUGGGGCGAGGAAGAGUGGCCUGGCAGUUCUACAGAUGCGCCGGCAAACGUGUGGAAUAAAAAAGCACCAAUUGCUGCCUCAGUAAAUCGAUGGAGUGUACUGGACGGUGACACGGCAUUGGGCUCAUCCGCUUCAUCUCUCAGAGUUGAGGACUAUAGAAAACUGUCUUUGGGUCCAUUGAAUUCGGCCUUGGACUCGAAAGCGAGUGGUUCGAGUUCGAGUUCCACUUUUGAAGGGCAGCCUGUUGGAGUUAUUGCAGAAACACCUGAAGUGGUUGAUGACUGGGAGAAGGCUUAUGAAUAAAGAUAGAAUGGAGAAACAGAUGAAAAAAAGUUUAGGACCGACGGCUUUGCGGGAUUUGUAGUAGUUUUAGUAGAUGUUCUGCCUUUUGUUUUCUUUUGUUUUGCAUUUGGGGGUGAUUAAAUUUUGUAGCCCAAAGAAAUGUUAGUUAGCUCCACGUUUUUGUAUGAGUGACUUUUUGGAUCAAAUGGAAACCAUUUUUCAUUUUAAAGUUGUCUUGGUGGGCUGCUCGUUGUUGCAUUUUUGUUUUAGAGAUGGUUUGUGAAAGUGGAUGACAUACAUCUAAUCCAAGACUUCUCAUUCUUUCUCGUCAUGUAACAAAACAUUUUCAGUUUUGGAUCUAACAAUGAAUGAAGAUUGAUACCAUUUAAAUAAAAAAUUUGGGAAGUGAUGCUACGAUCAUGUUAUUUGUGAGACAUCUCUUGCCAUAAGAUCCUACAUAGGGUGAGAACUGCACUAAUAAGGUUGUCCUAUCGAAGUUUAUCUUUGCACAAAGGCAGAUGAAUUCUAAUAUAUAACUGAGAUAUAUCACAUUUUCAGUUUUGGGUUUAACAAUGAAUGAAGAUUGAUACCAUUUAAAUAAAAAAUUUGGGGAGUGAUGCUACGACCAUAUUUGUGAGACACCUCUCGCCAUAAGAUCCUACAUAGGGUGAAAACUGCAAUAAUAAAGUUGUCCUAGCGAAGUUUAUCUUCGCACAAAGAUAGAUGGAUUCUAAUAUAUAAUUGAGAUACAUCUCUUCAAAUCCCUCGCUGGUCCUACGUAGUAUGAAAAACUGUCUUAUUGAACUUUUUUUUGUUGAUAAAAAGAUUCUAGCAUAUGACUGGAUAUAUAUUUGCUCUCUAUCUCUCACUUCAGAUGGCUCCGUAACUCCCAAGUUCCUUUCACACCGCACCAAUAGGCAUAUUUUUAUAUUUGAUGUUGACCGUUUGAUUGGUUGUGGUUUCGAACCUUCGAGAGUCAAGAAACAGAUGAACAACCAAAGUUGGACAAACUACAAGUCCACUCCAAAUAAACAACAGAAGAUACGAACAGGCGAAACUCCAAAUAAACAACAGACGAUACAAACAGGCGAAAUCAAUCACACAAAACGAACAUGUCACAUGUGGGAGGUUCCUCCCUCCUACCCCAAACCCACCUCCCAAACGGAAAGGCAUGUGAGAUGUGGAUGUGUAUGUGAUUUUCUCUAAUAUUAAUAUCUCGACACGGGGUAUUACGUUUUUUUUCUAUUCGUAGGUAGGACUUAAGAUCGACUAUCAGAUAAUGAGUAGGUACUUAAUUUAAUAUGACCGGUCUAUUAUGCAGCUUAGAUCAUAUCUCCUAUUGAUUCGUUCUAAUGAAAAAAUAUAUGACUGAUUAAAAUUUUCGAAUAAAUUAUUCAUUAAAAAUCAUAGGCGUCACUGUCAAACCGGCAUUCCAUCUCAACUACCGGUGUAUAUAAAUAUGAAAUAUUAUCAUCCCCUCAUUACGAUGUAAGUUGUAACAUCACUCUCUCUCUCUCUCCCCCUCCCUCUCUCUCUCUCUCUGUGUGUAAAUUGGAGGUUUAAAUUCUGUAUUGUGAACUCCGUGUGUGAAGCAUUGUGUAAGUCGCUUGGCAGUUGGCAUUCUCUCUCUCUCUAGUUUCUUAUAUAUAAAAUCUGCACAAUAACGUUUGUUUAGUAUCCAUCGCUUUAACUUUUUGUUUUCAAUCUGUCUUUUGAUCUCAGACGUCCAUGGAACCUCAGCUCAUUGCUCCUAACCAGUUCAAGGUAACUUUUUAGCUAAAAAACUUGUAUGUAAUUUUUUUUUUACUUGAUUUUAUUGGAAAAAGUUGUCUGGUUUGUACUAAAUGGCUUUAUGAACUAGCUGAAGCAUUGAGCCAUGAUCUCACUCUACCAUCUCCGUUUCGGGUUGUUGUACUCACUUGACUUGCAUUGAUCUGAUAUUUCUGUUGCUAGUAUUUUUUUAAUCCGUUACCAUGAAAUUGAAAAAAGAAAAAAUAGCCAAGAUCCAAACUUUCAAUGUUAUCUACAGAAUACUGCUUAAGACUGUGUUCUCGUGCAUUUACUGUCCGAAUCGGAGUUUUUUUUUUAUCAACGGAGAUGCGGAUUCAAAGUUUCGAACUUAGGACAAUUUUCAAUAGGCUAGAAUCCGUUACUUGAACGAAACUAGAUCUUGUGAAAUCAAAUUGAAUAGAGAAGAGAAGUAUCACUAGACAGUGGUUAAUAUCUGUCUAGAUUUGAUCGAUUGGAUCUACUUACACUAUGUUUGGAUGAAGACAUUUAAGAUUACUAACAAAUUUUAAAUGAUGGUAAUUGAAAUGAUGAGAAUUUAUUUUCUAGAAUUUGUGAAUUUUCUUGUUUGGUUAACCUAAAAGAAUAAUGGAAUUGAAUACGGACAUUGUUAUUUUUAAACUCUCAAUCAUAGAAAUUGGGAAAUAACGCAUAUUUACAUAGAAUUUAAACUUGGUAAUUGGAGGUUCCAAAUUCCAAGUUUUUUUUCACGCGAAAAUUCUAAAUUUCUAUGUUUAUGAAUCCAAACAAAGGAAUUGGUGCAUGUAAAUUUAUAAAUUCUGACUUUUAUCCAAAUUCCAAGUUUAUUUCCCUCAUCCAAACAUAGUGUUACAGUUCCCAUUCUGAUUUUGCGAUCAGUAUACAUCACCUAAAUUUUGAGUUGAUAAUAUGCAGGAGACAUGGAAACACACACUUCUGUUGUCAUUUCAGAGCCUUGGAGUAAUAUAUGGUCAAAUGAGUACUGCUCCCUUAUACGUCUUCGGGACAUUGACUGCAGAUGAUAUCACAUCAGAGGAGACCGUUUAUGAACUAUUCUCCUUCAUUUUCUGGACUAUUAACAUCAUUUCUUUACUCAAGUAUGCAUUUAUAGUAUUAACAGCUGAUGACAAUGGAGAAGGUAAUGUUCUAGUUUCGUCACAAGUGCAAGAAUUUAUUUUCGAGGAUUUCCCAUUAGAUUAACUUUUUACUUUGACUCUGUUGUAGGUGGUACUUUUGCUUUGUAUUCACUUCUGUGUAGGCAUGCCAAAGUUGGUUUGCUUCCAAAUGAAAGUAGUGCUAAUGACGUUAUGCAUUAUGAGACGGGAAGUCCUUUCAAGAUAAAGGCAGAAUCAAGGGCUCGAAGAGCCAUAGAAAAGCUUAGAUGUGGCCAUUAUUUGAUGCUGUUCCUGGCUCUUUUCGGUUCCUGCAUGACAAUUGGCAUUGGGGUGCUUACCCCAACUCUUUCUGGUUUGGCAUUCCUCAUUUUUUUUUAAUUAUAAAUUAUACUGGAAAUUUAUAAAAAAGUUUACUUUCUGCAUCGAAUUUAUGCCAAAUUUGAUCAUAUGUACAGUUAAUAUCAUUUUAUAGAUUAAAUGAUUUGUUCUGUUCUUUUUCUUAACCAGUCUAUUCAGUUUCAUCUGGAAUUCAAAGAUCAUUGUCGGAUAUUUCACACAGAAGUAAGAGCUGCCUGUAAAUUCAGUUACAGAUAUAUAUAUUUCUUUCAACCAUCCUUUAAUCGCCAUAUAGCCAGCCACUACUCUGACACAAAUGUAUCUCGUGGCUCUUAAUUUCUAACCAGUUUCAGCGUCGGAAAAACAAAGGGAGGCCAUAUCUAGAGCUUUAGAGAAAUGUGAGUAUUCUGUCAUCAAGUAGAUACAUCCAUUGACUUUGUUCCACUUUCUUGCUUGUGUUGUUUCGUAGUCAGUGACCUAAAGAAGGUUGAAUACUUUUCCCAUGAUAACUAACAUCACACCUGGAAAUUAACAUAUAGACAGUAAAUAACACAUUUCUGAGCCAGUCAAUCGUGCUAGCUAAAGUUUAUCCACUUCCCACGGCAUCUUCUAUACUGGUCACGAUUUGGAUAUCCUAUUUGUUUCAGAUGUCCCGGUUUCCACUGCAUCUGCUAUAUUGGUGUGCCUCUUCACACUACAGCACUACGGGACUCGUAAAAUUGGGUUUAUUUUUGCUCCAAUUAUCGUCGUUUGGCUGUUCUUUAUUGGUGGAGGGGGUGUAUAUAACAUUUUCCACUGGAACAAAGAAAUUCUCCUUGCUACCUCCCCCAUGUACAUGUACAGAUUUUCAGGAAUAUUCACAGCAAAAGUUGGAGGUCAUUAGGCAGCAUUGCUUUAUGUGUAGCAGGUUUUAUUCUAUUCCGCUUCAGCCAUAUAUUCCCAUGAGCUUCAUAUAAUGCUUUUGUUUUAUUUUGGAAUCAUAUGUUUUCACUAGACCUAGUUUUUCAUCCAGAAAUACUGUUCACUUUUGCAGGAUCGGAAGCAAUGUUUACAUCUCUAGGUCAUUUCAGAAGGAAAUCAAUCAAGGUUUUUGAUACAUCUCAUAUUUUUUCAAUCAUAUCUAAAAGUGUAGUUGGCAAUUGAAAUGAACUUACGGACGGUGUGUCGUGCUGCAGAUGACAUUUGUAUGCUUCAUAUAUCCAGUCCUUGUUUUAAGCUACGCCGGUCAGGCUGCAUAUAUCUCCAAAAACUUGGAUGUUAGAGAUUUCAAUCAUCUCAGUCAAUCCAUACCUAGUAAGUUGUAUGAUUUUUUUAUUUACUUGUUUUGUCUGCAAUUUUUGAGAUUUCUAACAUGUGGAAUGGAUUGUGUAUGAAAAUUCCAGAACAAAUGCGCCACUGGUUUGUAGCAUUUUCCCUUCUUGCUUCUGUUGUGGGAAGCCAGGCAACCAUAACAGCAUGUUUCUCCAUUAUAAAUCAGUGCCUGGCACUUGGUUGUUUUCCGAGAGUAAAAGUUAUUCAUACAUCAGAUAAGAUACACGGGCAGGUCUACAUUCCUGAUAUCAACUGGCUAUUGAUGGUUCUAAGCCUCGUUGUUACGAUUGGUUUCCAUGAUAUUAUCAAAAUUGGUAGCGCGACAGGUAUUUAUUUCCCAACUAGCUAUCUUCUUGUACUAUAGUUAACUAGUACAAAAAUUCCUGACAUGUUUUAUGUCGGAUAAAUAUCAACAAUCAACGAUAAAUUUAUAUAUGCUAAUAAAUAAUAAUUGUGAAUAAAUAAUUUAACAUAGAAUGAACAAAAUGAAAUAAUAUUAGGCAGACGAAUUGAAGAUCGAGGCUUGCGUACCGUAAUGUCCUUGAAACAGAAAUUUCAUCCCUACUCAGUGCUUGUAGUUCUACAGACGUGUGCUUCACCAGAUUCAACGAUCUAAGUCAAAAUUCUAGUACCAGAAAACUUGACUUCUGGCGAAUUUCUUUGUGGUUCUCUCAGUAAGAAUGUUUGGGAUUGUAGAAGAAGAAUUUUAUUUUUCUGUGUUCUAAAUGUCAUGUAGAUAGAUGUAUAUAUAAUAGGUUUAUGCCUGUUCGCAAUAGGUAUGAGAAUGUGAUGCUUCUCUUCAGAUGGGUGUUUUGUUCUCUAACGUUCUUUCAUCACUUCAAACUUCAUCUGAAAGAUGAGUCUGUUGAUAUAAAAAAUAAUUAAUUAAUCAAAUCCAAAAUUAAUUAAAAAAUUUAAUUAUUAGAGCCUGACCCCCAAGGCCCAUGGCCCUUCUUUUGAUAAUUAAUUAUUAAUUAGUACACCCAAAGUCUAAUCCUAAGAUUGAGCCCAAUUUUAUUCUUUUUGGUCCAUUACUCUAAUCACUUUUUAUAAGGAACAAAACUUUAUAAAGUGAAGACACCUUUUGGUAAUAACUAAUGUGAGACAAUGAAAUUUCUACUCAAAAUUUCCAACAUUUUAUUCUCCCCAGAAAUGCUUGUAACAACAAUUGGUUGUCUAAUCGAUGUUAGCUAAAUCUUCCACAGGUUUGGCUGUAAGUUCUGGAAUGCUUGUAACGACUUGUCUCAUGUCACUAGUAAUUGCGCUAUAUUGGGAGAAAAGUUUGUUUGAGUCGGUCUGCUGUCUAAUAUUCUUUGGAUCCAUCGAGGUGAUGUAUGUAUCGGCUUGUAUGUUGAAUUUUCACAAGGGAGCUUGGUAUUUGGUUGUCCUUUUGGCAAUGUCCCUGACUAUCAUGCUUUCAUGGCAUUACGGAACCAAGAAGAAGCUCGAAUUUGAUAUACAAAACAAGGUCUCUGCAGAAUGGCUUAUAGGCAUUAGCCCGGGCCUCGGAGUUACUAGGGUGCCCGGGAUUGGUUUCAUUUAUUCUGAUAUAGUGACAGGAAUUCCAGCUUUCUUCUCACACUUCAUUACCAAUCUUCCAGCGUUUCACCAAGUUUUGAUUUUCGUGUCCUUCAAGUCUCUGCCAAUGCCUUAUGUCCCUCCAAGUCGGAGGUAUCUUGUUGGCAGGGUUGGCCCGAGGAAUUUUAAGAUAUAUCGCUGUGUUGUGAGAUAUGGAUAUUGUGAUCCUAUUAGGGACACUGAUAAUUUUGAAGAACAGAUUAUUAGUUCGAUUGGUGAAUUCAUUUGCAUGGAAGAAAAUGAUUUUGAUUUCCAAAAUUCAUCCGAAGGAAGAAUGGUGGUUAUUGGAAACCCACCAGCUGAUGGAACCGGAAGUGCUUUGAUUCCCUUGAAUGAUACAAAUUCAUAUGAGAUGGAGUGCGUAAGUAUGGCGAGCAACGAAACUCGGUCUCCAUUAGGUGAUGCAAUCGAGAGUGGUUUUACGCCGGUGAUGAGAAAAAAAGUCCGGUUCAUGUUGCCUCCGAAUAGUCCGCAAAUGCACGUAUCUGUGAGGGAGGAGCUGCAAGAACUGAUUGAUGCUAGGGAGAGUGGGACUGCAUACUUCUUAGGGCAGGUGCAUUUAGCAGUGCGUGACGGAUCAGACAUUCUAAAGCGAUUGCUGAUCAUGACUUAUGUGUUUCUUGAUAAAAAUUGCAGAGAGCCUCCAGUUGCACUCAAUAUUCCUCAUGCUGCUCUUGUUGAGGUUGGCAUGGUCUGUUGCAUAUGAAUUGUAUUGCCAGACGCCGUGCGGGCAGGGGAUCGAGCAACGAGUUGUACAGAGAGCGAGAGGAGAAAAAGAGGACAGAAUCUGCGAUCGGAGGAGAUAUAAGAACUGCUAGUUUAAGUUUCUACCUUGUACUACAAGAUGUCAGGAGUAAAAUCUAUACUGCAUAUAUGAACAAGUAUUUGUGGCCAGGAGUAAUGCUACGUGCAUGCCUAGCAUAUCCUUUAAGCGGUGGAUCGGGAAGAGAUCCUUUCCGGUCUCUCCCACCAAAGUUAAAGUCCACUCAUCUGAAUUUUGAAAUUUAAUCCAACGGCUAUAAGGAAUCUCUUAAAAAAUUAUAAUAAUUUUAACUGUUAAACAAAAUUUUAAGGAUCCGGAUGAGUGAACUUGGUGGCUUUGGUGGGAGAGAUCCAGGGAUGAUCUCUUCCCCGGUGGAUCACAUUCACCUGUUAAAUUAUUUCUCUUGAAGCAUUCAACGCAAUUGAUCACUGACAUUUUUACUUUCUGUAUAAGACCAAGUUAUUUAAUACCAAAUUAGAAUAGCUAAAAACCCAACAGGAUCCUCUUCGGAUCAUUUUUACGAUAAUUCUGAAGAUCUGUAAAUUGUGUUCGUUUAUCGUACAUUGUGUGAUUAGUUUUUGUCAAAUAUUGUUUAUGUUUAUUUUUGAAUAAAAAUAUUUAAAAUAAUUUCUAGCCGCAUGAUAUACGAUAAACAAAUAAGAUUCACAGAUCUCUGAAAUCCUCACAAAGAGGAUCCGGACUAGAACACUUCCAAAGUAAUAAAAAGGAAGAAAAAAUUUAUCCUUUACGAGACUUUGCCUGUCGUGUCAUCCUCUACAUAAUUAAUUGAUUCAAAUUUACUGCCAAAUAUUUUUGGUAAUAAAAAUUUGACAAUUAUUUUAAAACAAAACGGUGAACUCAUUGAACGAUCCACGAAUUUGUUUUCAUAACUUUUUAUUAUUGAUAAAAAAAAAAUUGAUUGAAAUUUACAGCCAAACAUUUUUGGUAAUAAGAAUUUGACAAUUAUUUCAGAACAAAAACGGUGAACUCAUUGAGCGAUCCACGAAUUUGUUUUCAUAGUUUUUUAUUAUUUUAUUAACAAUAAAAUUAAGUAAGUUGAGGUUUCACUAUAAUAUAUCAUAAGUAAUAUGAGGAACAAUAUGAUGGAUGAUUAAACUCACUAUAAUAAAAAAUAUAUAUAUUUUAAAAGGUUUAAAUUUCCAUUAGAAAAAUUCAAAUAGAUCCAUGCAGGGUGAGAUAUAGUUGCCCCAAAUAAAUAUGAACAAUGACAAUACAGAAAAGAUAUACAGGAAUUUGAAAUUUGGAAUCCUCGCCAUAAACUCAUGCAUGCCUAUUGUCAUUGUGGCUAUAUUGGCCAGGUGAAUAAUAUGAUAGAUGAUUAAUACAAAUUACUAGUGUAUUAAUACAAAUGAAAGCCAUAUUAAUUAUAUAUUACACUAUUAGUUAUGAAUGGGGGUCCUCCUUCUAGCUGGGGUGUAAUCCAUGACCAGGAACUCCAAAUCUUGUCCAGUUAUGAGAUUUUUCUCUCGUUUUGUUUUGAAUGAAUCUGGAUGAAUGGUCUUGGCGGCUUCGUCUUGAAUAAGAUCUGCACUUUUUUCGUCGACCCCUAUAACUCCUGAUGAUGCGUUGCGUGAAAGUUAACAAGGAAAAUAUUAUCAUAUCAUAUUAAUUAAAGAAAAAGAGAAUUUACCAUAAUCUAAUUAAGUAUAAGGAAAGUAAAACUAGAAUUUGAUGAGAGUAAAAUGAACAUAUGUCUACCAUCAACAACGACGAUUGAGAUGAUGAAGAUCAAAACCACGAACGCAAAAACGCGCUUGUUUAGCCCUAACACCACCAUUGCAACUGUUUGAAAAUCUAGGAAAUUAUUUGAAAUUGAAAAUGUGUUUAUAAGUUCUUGGCAAAUAUUAAGGUAUGUUUCUGCAGCUUGUGUACCUUCCUCUUCCGCUGACUUAAUGAGUUUGCUUCCUAUGUGUGUGAAGGUCGUGACUCUAAUUGGAUAUAUAUGUGAAUAUGGGGGCAGCUGGAUGAUGGAGUGUAAGUUAACGUAGGCAUAAGCAAAGCCAGAGGUUUUGAGCAUAUGAUGUCAAAUUAUAAUAUCAACUUCAGUCAAAUCUUCGUACGGACAUAAUUGUCCCAACAGUAACGUACUAUUGAUUUUUUUCUUCUCAUACAUGUAUAGCUAGUUUUCUUGAAUAAUAAUAUUGAUGACAUAAUGUGCUUGCCAUAUACAAUUUUUUUUGUCAAAGCUUGCCCAUUACAUAGUAUAGUAAAAUCUUGUUGUUCCCUUAUGUUGUACUUUUAUGUGUAAGUAGAAGCGAAUUUUAACAAACUACGUAGUAAAUAUCAACAUCAUAGGCGAACACGAAGAAUUAAACAAUCUCAAAAUAAAAACACAAGAGAUUUACAUGUUCAGCGUAAAAUCUAUGUUAUGGGUGAAUCACGGCGAAGAAUUUCAUUAAAUUAACAAAUGAAGAUUACAAAGAAGUGUUUAACUCUCACAAUCAAAAUCUCACAAAUUACAAUGCCUAAACCAAACAAAUAGAGAACCCAAAACAAACGAAGUAGUCUCCCCCCAAAUUAUUCUAUAAUUCCCAAACUCAUAAAUUGAUUCUCACCAAAUUGGCAUUCAGGAGACUGGUUCAGUGUUGACCAGUUUAGCAGAUUCAGACUUACUAUUCAUUUUUUUCUCAACGAAGAGCAUUGCGACGGAUAUACACAUGGGCUUCUUCCAACUAGGGAACACUAACAGGAUCCUUGCGCAAGAUUUCACCUCGAAUUUUUUCAAAUUCGGAUUCGAGGCCAGCCAAAAAAAUAUGCAUUCUCUGGCGUUCAAUCGAUUGUCUGUACGCGCGCUUUCACAUAAUCUUCAUCCUUCAUAGUCACCUUGUCACGGCAGUUCGCAUGUUCUUCAAUUAUUAUUAUUUUUUUCUGUUUUUUUUCAAACCUAGCUCAUGAUGUCAAGUUAGAAUUCGUAAAUGCUUUAAUACUAUUCUUCUCACUAUGAGGAAAUAUAUAUAGUUGUAACCCUAAUCACAAUUAAUCUAAGAAUUCUAUUAAGAAAAGGAAUCCUCAAUAUAAUCAAUUAUAAUAAUCACAUUCCUAUUCUACUAUAUUCUAACAAAAUAGAAUUCCAAAACGAAAUAGGUAAUACAAACCAAAUUUUCGCAUCAUUCUAAUUUUGAGCUGUAAAACAACACUUUAUAUUUCUGCUUUUGGUGGCUUCUGGUCACCAGCUGUAUGGUAUAUAUGCGUAUAACUAAAACUUUGAAGCCUUAAUUAGUUACUUACGUACCUGUACUUACGUGCUUCAUAUACAUAUUUUCUCCCAUGCAUUAUAGCCAGGAUUAAUUUGAGAUAUUAUACGUAAAUAGUAGAGGAGGGCGAUAAGCCAGCAUGUACAUAUAUAUGCAGGUGGUUGCAGUUGAUCGAUCGAAUUAUUUGUGAACGAACAUAUGCAUAAAUAGACGAUAAUCAUUCAGUUUAUUAUUAGAUUAAGAACUAGUUGGCAUUAGACCAAAAACCAGUUGGUAUAUGCUGAUCAACUUUCGAAUGCUUAUCCUAUCAAUAGCAAGAAAAUUUAAAAAUUAUUUGAGGAAAAUUAAUCACAAGUUUCUGAUAAAUUGGCACUUGGCACAAAUAAUUGGGAGGCAUGGUGGCGCCAUAUCAGCUGAGCUGUAUGUAUAUGAUCCAUGAAGGAUACAGCCAUGUCAGAGAGAGAGAGAGAGAGAGAGAGAGAGAGAGAGAGAGAGGAUGGGGUGCAUCAGUUGUGCUCCAACCACAUGGUCUCCAUCAGGAGCAUCACGUGAAGUACUUAUAUAUUUCCUUACCGUGUCCAUGAUUUGGCUCCUUAACAAGUACUCCUAAUAGUUAACCUAAUGAAGGGUCGCACGCGGCAAGCACAUGGGGCCUUGUUGCAAGGCGAAAUUAUUUGAGGGAGUUUUCACGAAACACUUUUGGUAUUGUUUAAUUUUAACGAAAAAUCACAUUUUUACAUUCUAAAGUUUUUUUUUUUUUUAACUUUUCGUUAGUUUUUCUAUUUUUUUAAGGGUGAGCUAGCAUUCUUUUAUCUGUAUAAAGUGACUUGUUUUGUUUUAGGAGUUGUUAGAGUAUAGAGUAAUUUUUAGUUCAAUGGCAUGAGUUAAUUUUCGUUAAGUGGAUGAAUUUCAUUAGAAUAUAGCACCAAAAAAUUAUUUACUAGAAUAUUUCACUAGAUUGGAGCCCACUCUAGCUUAAGGUGGCUACGCCCUUAUUUUGUUUGUAACUGAGCUAUCUCUGUUAAAAAAUGUGUUAAAAAGUGAGUCAAUUUUGUGCGUUUAAAUAUCACUGUUGAGUUGAUAAUUUCGAUUUCAACAUUUAUAUUUUUCAACAAAAUAAACUAGAACAUAAAGUCUAUCUUUAAUGAUUAGUCAAUAGUCAUGCAUGUUAGAGCAUCUCCUAUAAAUAUAGCUCUUAAAAUAUAAGUUUGUUGACGUACUUGCAGUUCUACCAAAUUUAUCGAUCUAGAUUUUUAAAAUUUGAUCAAACAAUUAAAACAUGAGUCUUCUUAAAAAAUUAUAAUAAUUUUAACCGUUUGAUCAUAUUUUAAGGACUUGAAUUGGUAGAUUUGGUGGAAGGGAUCCGGAUCCCUUUCCCUUGCAGUCAAGAGCUACCAACUAAACUUCUAUCUAGAUAUAGGGUAUAGCCUUAGCCUACCCAUCAUCGUCUUAUGUCUAGUCAUUUAGUCACAAUCAUCCCCAUUUUUUUGGGGUUAGUUUUCAGCUUGUCAAUGCACAUUGAAUCGAUCAAAUUAAACCUUCCAACAUGGAAGCGGCAUAACUGCAGAAACGCACAUGUAUAUGUUGUUUAUUGGCACUAUCUGUGUGUUUGUAGAUAAGAUUUGGAUUGCAAAUGGCCCGCCAUGCAGCGACGUCGACACAUUAAUAUAUCAGACUAUGGAAUAUUAAUAUGAAGAUUAGUUAACCCUCGUGAAUAAAUUAAUUUACAUCUGACUAACAGAGAUCGACCUGGAUUAAUCUCUUCAACAAAUACAUGGGCUUGGUUUGAGCGACAUUGGGCUUCUUAUUAAGCUUCUUUCACAGAAGGAUACACCUGUAGUAGCUAGGCCAGUCUAAUGUUCGUGGGAAGUCGCUGAGCAAGAACAUUUGCGUUUGGAAGCUUCUCCCACCCCUUUAUCAGUUAAAGCGGAGCAAUGCAUGUGUUUGAUUUAGGGUUCACACACACUGUUCAUUUACACUCAUCUUCUCGUUUUCACGCCUUGAUUCUCCAUUUUUUGUUUUACUCGUUGCCGAAGUACGAAAACAAUAUGAAGAAGUACUGCCAAUUUAUAAAUGUCGCUCUUUUUUAUUUAUAAUUUUAUAGUGUUCAUAAAUUAAAUUUUAUGAAAAUAUUGUAAGUUUUAAUUCUCAAUAUGGUAAGUAUCUUAUAUAAGAAAAUAUUUUGUAAAGAUUUUUGGGUACACAUGUGUUUGCAUAUUUUCUUAGACUUUUUUUUAGGGGUGUGCUAUCCACACACCAUUUUUUACUUCUCACACACCCCUUGUUAAUUUAUGUCCGUUGAUCUUCUUUAUUUCAUCCGAUCUGAUGGCCGAAAAUUAGAAGGGUGUGUGAGAAGUAAAAAGGGGUGUGUGGAUAUCAUACCCCUUUUUUUAUUAGCACCCCACAUAAUGUUGAAUACACUUCACAUUAAAAUUUAAUUUAAAUGACUUAUGCACCCUACUAUGCAAUGACAAUUUCGACCUUAUAAGUUAAAAAAAAAUCUAAAUACAUCCCAAAUUACUUUUAACGUAUUAUUUAGCUUAUUCAACUAUCAAAACACUCUCACCUCCAUUGUAGGACAAAAACCCUAACCAAUGAAACUACAAACACGUUGACUGAAACACAAGAUCGACGUUUCAGAAGCUUCACAUGAAGUAAGACUUCAUAUUUCAUUAUUUUAGUGAUUUCAACGACAUCGAUAUUUAUUUAAGCCUAGUUUUGCUUCCCAAAAUACCUGUGUUAUUAAAGCUAUAAGUGGUAGUUUUCUGUUCCCUUCUAUUGUCGCCAUUUUACGAUGCUCCACCUCCUCGGUGGAUCACCAUUACUUGACUUUGAAAUGGUCUUCCUUGGCUUUGAGAUGGCCAUUAUUUUAAGACCACAGAAAUGAAAAUAUGUCUAAAUUUUGGAAACCACACUUUGGAAAUGUAUGGAAUUGCAAUAGGUACUAACUACUAACCAAUUGAAAUGGUCUUUCUUGGCUCUGAGAUGAUCAUCUUAGUUGCUCAGAGAGGGUUUUGAGCUUGUCAAUAGGUACUAACUACUAACUAAUUCAUGUUGCAAAAUUUUGUUGCAUACUGAUAGUGAAAAAAUGUAUAACUUCUGUAAUGAGUUCAUGUUGAUAAAUGUUGAGACACUCAAUAAAUUAGAGCGUUCCCCGGAGAGGCUAAUGCUUGUCUAAGUAUUUUGAAAUUGUUGUCGGUGUAGGAUUGCUCGAAGAACUCAAAGAAAAUGUGUACAAUGUAUAUAGAAAAUGUGGGGUGUAUGUAAAAAAUAUAAGGUGUAUGUUAAGAUUAUGGGGUGCGAGGGUAUUAUGGAGAAUUAUGUGGGGUGUUUUAAAAUAAUUUUUAAAUGAAAAAGUAAUUGUGGGGUGUUAAUAUAACAAGCCAUUUUCUUAUGUGCCACUAAUUCAUUACAAUAUAUUUAGGGUAAAUUACAUAGUAGCCCCUCAGGUUUGAGCUCUAUUACAAUCGCAUACAACAUCUUUAAAACAUUUCACUUUCAUACCUCAUGUUCUAUUUUAUUUCAAAAUAAUACCUCUGUCACAUUUUCCAUCCAUUGAUCCGUUAAGUGCUGACGUGGCUGACACAUUUGUGCCAUGUGGCUGCCAAAUGUGUGCCACGUGGCAAAAUUUUUUUUUUUUUAAAAAAACCUUAAUCUUCUAAAUUAAAAAAAAAAAAACCAAAAUACUUGAUUAUCCCCUCCUCCCCCCACCCCCCCCCCCGGCCCCACGCUCCCUGCAAAACGCAUAUCCCAUUAUCCCCCCCCCCCACGCUCCCUGCAAAACCCAUAUCCCAUUAUCCCCCCAACCUAUUAUUCCCCAGAUCCAAUUAUCCACCCCCAUCCCAUAAGACCCUCGUACCUGCAACGCAUCCCAUUUCCUCGCAACCCCCCUCCCCGGAUCUUCAUCUUCUUCCGCAACCCAGAAAGAAAAAAUAAAACCCCUUUCAGUUCGUCUUCUCCCCCCUCUCUUCUUCCCCUGACCCCUAUCUGCAACCUAGAAAAAAAUAAAAAAAUAAAAACCCAGAUCUCGACCGCCAUCGUCGGGUUCGUGAGGUGAAAAUAGGAGAAAUGAGUGUGGAUUUAAGGAGUGGGUGUGUGAGAGGAGGGAAGAGGGUGGGAUGGGGGCUUAUGGGAUCUGGGUUGUGGGUUCCAGGUACGAGGGGCUUAUGGGAUUUGGGUUCGCGCGGGCGCGGGGAUGGGGUGGUUGGGGGUGGAUAAGGGGAUCUGGGGAAUAAUGGGUUGAGGGGAUAAUGGGAUAUGGGUUUCGCAGGGGGGGGAUAAUCAAGUUUUUUGGUUUUUUUUUUUUUUUUUACCUUCUUCCAAGGUUCAGGGUUGGGGGGAUUCGCAUGGUUCAGGGGUUAGGGGAUAAUGGGUUUCAAGUUUUCUGGGUUUUUUUUUUUUUUUUUUUUAAAUUUAGAAGAUUAAGGUUUUUUUUUUAAAAAAAAUUUUAAAAAAUAAAAAUUGCCACGUGGCACAAAUGUGUCAGCCACGUCAGCACUUAACGGAUCAAUGGAUGGAAAAUGUGACGGAGGUAUUAUUUUGAAAUAAAAUAGAACGUGAGGUAUGAAAGUGAAAUGUUUUAAAGAUGUUGUAUGCGAUUGUAAUAGAGCUCAAACCUGAGGGGCUACUAUGUAAUUUACCCAUAUAUUUAGGUACGAACAUUUCGGUACACUAGGUUAGUAUAAUAUGUUUAGGUACGGAUAUUUCGGUACACUAGUUUAUCAUAAUAAAUUUAGGUACCAACAUUUCGGUACACUAGUUUAGUAUCAUAUAUUUAGAUACGGAUUUUUUCGGUACACUUAUGUUUUUGCAUAUUUUCUUAUGUGCCAAUAAUUCACUACAAUAUAUUUAGGUAUGGACAUUUCGGUACACUAAUUUAGUAAAAUAUAUUAUGAUACGAACGUUUAGCUACACUAAUUAGAGGAAGUAAAAUAAAUAUAAUGAAUUAAAAUGUGUAUAAUAAUAAAUAAUUUUAAUUUUAAUUAAUGACAUUAAAUAAAAUAUCUAUUAAAUAUUAAAAAAAUAAUAUAAAUUUGAAUUAAGGGUAAAUUACAUAGUAGCCCCUCAGGUUUGAGGUCUAUUACAAUCCCAUACAACAACUUUUAAACAUUUCACUUUCAUAUCUCACGUACUAUUUUAUUUCAAAAUAAUACAUCUGUUACAUUUUCCAUCCAUUGAUCCAUUAAGCGCUGACAUGGCUGUCGCGUGGCAAAAAAAUAUUUUUUAUACAUUAAAAUAUUAUAAUAUUAACCCUAUUAAAAUAAAAAAUUAAAAAAAACAGAAAAACCCAAACCCAGAAAUGAUUCCCCGCAACCCCAUAUCCCACCCCUACCCAUCUCUUCCUUCCCUUCCGUCCAUGCCCUCCACCCCCUACCCAUCUCUUCCUUCCCAUUAGAGUUGAAUAAAAAGCUCAACUCGUUUUGAGCCUCUCUUACCAAUAUCACAAAUAAAACGAGUAAAAUAAACCCUAGAACCCUAAUCAAAUCAAUUCCAAACUCUUAUAUGAAAUUUUGAGGGAAUGCAAACACCAAUUCAAUCACCAAUCGAGACCGAAAUGCACAAACUUAAACAAAUCCAAUUACAGAGAGAGAGAGAGAGAGAGAGAGAGAGAGAGAGUUGAACCUUGCAUUGGCCGUCGUCGCCGCCGCGCUUGCUUCGUUCUCCUGAGAUGAUGACGUCAUGAUGGUGUCGGUUGGGAUGUUCCGGUCACCGGACGGCGACGGGGCCGGGGCGAUCUCCAUGAGUUGGGUCGGAUCAGGUAAAGGGUGGGUCGGAGUCUAUGUUGGGUAUUGCCGAUCGGUCCUCGGUGGGGGUGGGGUAGUUGGAGAAAGGGUCUGAUAACAUGACGGAAAGGGAUUGGUGGUGUGUGAUGUUGUGCGCUUCGGUGAGGGUCGUGAGGAGUGUGAAUGUGAGGAGGAAGGCGUCGACGGAGCUACAUUGUGUGGGUUUUGGAUCUGGGAUUUUGGGGGGUUUGGGGUUUGAGAGAGAGAGAGUGAGGAGAGUGGAGAGUGAAGGAGGGUCGGGGGAAUGGGUUGCUGGGUUUUAGCUUUUUUUUUUUUUUUUUUUUUUUUUUUUUAAGGGUUAAUAUUAUAAUAUUUUUAAUGUAUAAAAGAUUAUUUUUUUUUGUCACGUGGUAGUCACAUCAGCACAAAUGUGGCAGCCACGUCAACGUUUAACGGAUCAAUGGAUGGAAAAUGUAACGAAUGUAUUAUUUUGAAAUAAAAUAGUACUUGAGGUAUAAAAGUGAAAUGUUUUAAAGUUGUUGUAUGAGGUUGUAAUAGACCUCAAACAUGAGGGGCUACUAUGUAAUUUACUCUUGAAUUAAGUACACAUCCGAGGACUAAAAUCAAUAUCCAAUCUAACACCAGGUUUUUAUUGAAUUUUAAUCUUCUAAGAAUUAAAAUUCAAAAACCCUUUAAAAUGUGGAGUAUGAAGAUUAUUAACAUUACGACAAACCAUAUGUAUGUUGGAAAAGUUAAGUAGUUAGCCUUUUGGUUUAUUAUAAUUUAAGGGUAAUAUUGUAUGUUGCGUCUUAGCGUUUUCUUGUAGGUUAAGUAUUUAGAUCCCUUGCCUUUUAGAAUUAGGGUAAUUUUUUUUAUAAAUAGGAUGUUUUGUAAUUUAGUUAGACGUAAGUCAUAUAAGAUGUAAUAUCUUUGAGUUAUAUGUAGCAUUUUUGGCAAUUCUAUAGCGUUUCUUUGUUUUUAGUUAGUAAAUUAACAAUCGUAGUUUUGUAUCUGAUUAUCCGUCUGUAUUACUCUACUUUUCACUAUAUAUAUAAUGUGACAUGCCCUUGACCUAGUUUAUUAAAUUCUCGCAAUUAUAACAGUGUACAAUCAAGAAUCUUCCUUUGUUAUAUUGGUACUAAUUGUAAUUGUUGAAAAAUGUAAAAGGUUUGGUGGAUGAUUUGUCUGGGUACGUACGUAUAUAGUCAGAUAAUCUAUGAUACCAAAUAUAUCAGAGCCUUGAAGAGUCAUUUUCGUAUGAGUGGAUAAACAGUAGUGGAAACAUUCUCUUCUCAAAUAAAUUUGGCAAGCAACGAUAAAAGAAAACACCCAUUAUGCAUGAACAGUUAGGAAUUUGGAUGUAUUGCUUGAAAAAAGUGAUACAGAUUGACUAGUAAAAAAGGAAAGUGAUCUAUAUAUAAAGGCGGAGAAUAUUACAGUCUGGAUGAAUAUGAAGAAAAUGCACUAACUAGGUCCCCAUUGCUCGGGAAACUCCUUGAUGUGUUACUUUCUUUCAUGUAUAAAGACAGAAAAAGAGAGAAGAGGGAGAUAGAGAAAAGGCCAAAAAAAACCAGAGAUUGAUACCUUUCAUGCAUUCGAAUCAUCAGUUUUAUAAUAUAUAUGCAUACAUGAGUCAUUCCAUUUGGUGAAUUCCAAAAAAUGAGAGCGUCUCUGUACUCUGCGCUACUCUUUAUACGUGAGCAGAAAUGGUAAGGAAUGAUGUAAUGGUCAAACAUUAAUUAGGGUUAGGGCAGAGAGGCUGUCUGACUCUAAUAGCUAUAUAGUUAAUUAGCUAGUAUUUACAGUUGCAGGGUUGGAACUUUCGGAAGAUUAUAAUAUGGAAGAUGAUUUGAGUAGUUCUAGUCAAAAGGAGAAGGAAAAAGAAGCAAAUAUUGAAGAUCAUGAGAUUCUCAAAAAGAAAAUCUCUACUCAUCCUUUAUAUGGUUUGUUGGUUGAAAAUCACUUGGACUGCUUGAAGGUUCUCUCUCUCUCUCUCUCUCUCUCUCUCCACUCCCCCCCCCCCGGUGCUCCUCCGGCCGUAUGUUUGUGUGUAAAUUGAUAUGUUCAUUGGAGUGAAGGCUUUAGGGCAUCCAUCCUAGCUCCUGCAUAAAGAACACUUUCUGAUUAACUACUUAUUAAUUAGAUAAUACUUCUUGUUUAUAUUCUUUUCAAAUUUUCAGGUUAGUGGAAUCAACGGUGAACUAGAGGAAAAUGAUGGCUGCAGAGAUAUAAAACAGCUUGACUACAACUGCAAAGCAAAUUUAGGCGUGCUUGGACAUUCUGACCUCGAUCACUUCAUGGUGCGUAAUUAAGAUCGAACCCUGAAGGCUAUUAUUUCACAUUCAUUAAUAAUAACCCAAAACCCUUGUCCCUUUUAUGCAUUAUGUUAAAAAACUAAUCAAUUAAUUAACUAAUGCAUGCACAGCAAGGCCUCGCUAUUGGUAUCUCAGAUUGGAUUGGAAUGGAUAUAUAAACUACUAAAUUGACAGUAGUUAAAAGGGAGAAAUGGAAAUGUUGUGUACAACUAGAAGGUGAAAGAUGAAUUACAAAUGAAAGAAACUUAUCCAUUCCAAUCCCCCUUAAAAUGGUAGGAGUAGAAGAAUGAGUUUCUUACAUGUCUAACGCUUUCCAAAUGAAAUAUCAUUCACUUCUCUCUUAGUUGUAUUUGAAAUCUAAGAGCUAUUUGUUCCAAUCCAAUCUUAGAGGCCAAAUGACACCCAAGCGUAUUCAAGGAAGUUGCUCAGCACAAAAGGAAAAAAUAAAGGGCAAGAAAAAGAGUACUACUCAACCAAAAUUGAUAUUCACCAACUUGCUAUUAGUUCUCUUUUCCAAUAUUACUGGAAGUGGUCUCAAAUUCAAAUCCUUCUUCCUGUUGAUAGUGAUGCUACUCAUGCAUGCCGCAGUUUCCUGAAAGACCACGCAAUAUGUGGAGGAAGCAUGUGUGUGUGUGUAUUCGCAUAUUCUUUUUCUAUUUCAGUUAAUAACUUGUGUAGGGUUGCAUCGAUUGAUGCGUGUGGUGGUGAUCGAUGACAGGAAGCAUAUUGCUUGGCACUUGGGAAGCUGAAAGCAGCAAUGGAGGAACCUCAGCAGAAGUCCAUGGAGUUCAUAACUAACAUGCAGGUGCAACUUGAGGAUCUCACAAACAACUCCCAUCUGCCUGAUCAACCUGCACCCGCCUCACUUUCUGGUUAGUUUGAAUGACUUUUUUGAAGCUUCAAUAACAGCUUCGUAAAAUUAAUACAUGAAUACUAAUUACUAACUACUCUUGUUCUGAACCUUGAAAUUAAUAUCACAGGUGAAAGCUAGAGAUGACUGUAGCACAAGGGCCAUGGGACAAAGAUGAAUUCUGCAGGGUUUAAGAUGUGCUUUCAUAACCAUUAAUAUGAAUAUUGCAGAAUGGUAUCUGCCACCAUUGAUCCUUUUUGUGAGUUGUGACAAUUUCAAGAACCUGUAAACAUGUGUUAUCUGGUCCUUAAUCAAACAUUAGAUAUCUAGAAGUGAAUUUUAGGCAUAUGAGUCGGGAAAAAAGCACUUGGGUCUUGAAUUCAGAAUAUUUUCUUUUUAAUUUUUCACCUUUUGUGGCUUAAAUAGUCAUUUCAUAUAGACCUUAUGAAUCGUUUAAUAUUAAAUUUUUUAGUAAUGCUAGGCAGACCAAUUUUUUGAAUGCAUUUUUGCUCACCACUCUAUUUAUGAUCUGAGAUUUGUGUAUAUCCACUACACAGAUCUCGAAAUUUAAACUCAUCUACUUGUUAGCAAAUAUAUAUUACUAUUGACGCGCCCAAAAAAAAACAACAAUUAGAGAUUAAUUAAAUCAUGAUUCUGUUUAAUUAGCUUUGAUUAAAUUGGAAAGCAUCAGAAGAAGUUUAUACAUUAUCAGCUUAAAUGUUCAUGCAGUGCAGCUUAUUUCUUCAAAUAUCUAAGAACAUCCCACUUUAUUUCAAUUGGUUUGGUUGUCCAGCUUAGUUGGAAACCAUGCUCUCGGUCUCUUUCACGAAACCGUCUCCUGUCCAGUCUUUAUCAGAUUGCAAUCCUUUCCGGAUGGCUUUCCUCUGUUUGAUUGCUUCCUGUUGUCUUGUUACUAAAUCUGUAUGUGUUGUAAAGUAUUCGAGAGAAGCCCUGCAAAUUCAUCAAAAAUAUCAAAAUAAAAUACGAGUGAAAUUCAUUUUUCACCUCAAGAAAUGUUCUGUUUAGAUUUAACAUUCGUUCUUCGUAAAGCACAUACCCCCUGAAAUCUUCAAUGGAUGAGAAAUUGUGCUGUUUCAUAAAAUCCUUCAGCUCGGAACAAAGUUUCUUCACAACACCAUAUCCGUGCAUCAUGACCCCGGUGCAGACCUGCAAAUGAAACUCAAUAAUUUCAAAUGCGCAUUAAAGCUCCACUUUUGUAUAUGCUAAGACCUUUCCAGUGACUUCCACCAGUCGUGCUUUCCAAUCAGUUAUCAUGGCACGUUGCUUAAAUAACAUUUGCAGCAUGAUAGAUUAAGUUUCCUGAACCUGAACUAGUCAUUAGACUCUUCCUAACGUAAAUUAGCAUUCGAGAGGAAAUCUUAUCUCCAUAGUUCAUACCAACAAUGACAUCUCCGAGAGACAAAAAAAGCAUCUGUAUAUUUCUAAGUCAAUUAUGAGAUGCAUUAUUCAUUGUCAGGUUAUACUGAGAGAUCCUGAGAUCCAUUCUACAGUGGCGUUGAAUGUCCAAAGAGUCGGUCACUCCACCUAACUAUAGAAAUCACAUCAUUUUAAUAUACAGAAACUACAACAAUUAGUUCUCAACCUACCUGAACAGUAUUUGCUCCAAGAAGAAUGAACUCAGCAGCAUCGCCACCUGACUCAACACCCCCAAUACCAGAAAGCGAGUAAUCUGUAUCACCAAACUCUGAUUUCAUUAAUUUUGCUAUGUUCAUCACUUUUGCCAAUGCAAUCGGAUGAACUGCUUUAGCCGAAUAGCCCCCAGGAGUUGAGUAUCUGAGAGAAAAUUUAGGCAUGUUUCCCUGAGAUGAAUGACAAUUCAAACCGAACAAUAUGAAUUUCUGGUUUUGGCAGCAUACCCCUCCACACAAGGCUCAGGCCGUAAGGUAGUUAGAUUGAUCCCCAUUACACUCAUGAUGGUAUUAAUAGCUGCCACGCCCUCACAUCCUGAGCUCAGAGCCACUCGAGCUGGCUAUAAACAAAACGAUAACGGAUCUGAGCAAGAUCACAAUAGAUAUAACUGUCCAUGAAAGUGAUAAACAUCUCGUAACAUGCAUAUAAUAGAAAAUGUACAUAAAUACAACAACAACAACAACAAAGCCUUUUCCCACUAAGUGGGGUCGGCUAUAUGAAUCCUAGAACGCCAUUGCGCUCGGUUUUGUGUCAUGUCCUCCGUUAGAUCCAAGUACUCUAAGCCUUUUCUUAGAGUUUCUUCCAAAGUUUUCCUAGGUCUUCCUCUACCCCUUCGGCCCUGAACCUCUGUCCCGUAGUCACAUCUUCGAACCGGAGCGUCAGUCGGCCUUCUUUGCACAUGUCCAAAUCACCGGAACCGAUUUUCUCUCAUCUUUCCUUCAAUUUCGGCUACUCCUACUUUACCUCGGAUAUCCUCAUUCUCAAUCUUAUCCUUUCUCGUGUGCCCACACAUCCCACGAAGCAUCCUCAUCUCUGCUACACCCAUUUUGUGUACGUGUUGAUGUUUCACCGCCCAACAUUCUGUGCCAUACAACAUCGCUGGCCUUAUUGCCGUCUUAUAAAAUUUUCCCUUGAGCUUCAGUGGCCUACGACGGUCACACAACAUGCUGGAUGCACUCUUACACUUCAUCCAUCCAGCUCGUAUUCUAUGGUUGAGAUCUCCAUCUAAUUCUCCGUUCUCUUGUAAGAUAGAUCCUAGGUAGCGAAAACGGUCGCUUUUUGUGAUCUUCGCUAAAUUGCUCCGGUCAUUAGUGUGGAUAAGUAUAUAAAUGGAUAGAGAUAGGAAAGCAAACACAAGAUGUACGUGGUUCACCCAGAUUGGCUACGUCCACGGAAUAGAAGAGUUCUCAUUAAUUGUGAAGGGUUUACACUAGUACAUAGGUUCAAGCUCUCCUUUAGUGAGUACAAGUGAAUGAUUUAGUACAAAUGACAUUAGAGUACAAAUGACAUUAGGAAAUAUUGUGGGAGAAUGAUCUCGUAAUCACGAAACUUCUAAGUAUCGGAGUGUGGUAUCAUCUUGACUUGCCUUAUCUGUCUCAUAGGUAGAUGUGGCAGCUUCUCUGGAAGUACUCUUCAUCCAUCCAGGGGUGGUAUCUUUAACUGGUGGAGAUGCACAAGGUAAUGUAUCAAUUUCACUUGAAGCUUACUUGUAGUUUCAGGCUUGGUCAAGCGCGAUAUAAACCAUGUAGUAGGAGUCCCCCAAGUCGCCGAGCUAGGGGAUUUGCUGAAAGAGGUGACAGACAAGGUAAGCAAUCAGAGCUCCGGCUGAUUGUUCACCUUCUCCCCAUCUUGCAGCAGCAUGAAGGAUAAAAAGAAGAAAAAUGAGAAGAGAUGAUAUGGGAUACUUUUGCUUUUGAAGAAGUAACUUUCCACAGGCUUAUUCUUGAACUGAGCUGGAGGGUUUUCUGGUUUCCUCCAGAGUAUAAAGGCCGACUGAAGAAUUUGAGGGUCAAAACAAGUCCAUCAAAUCUAGAGUACGUUCGACCCUGCUGAUAUGGGAUACUUUUGCUUUUGAUAGAGUAAUGGAUGGAUCGGCACGUGUGCUGUUACGCUUGUCUCCACAUGCUUCCUUGUAUCCUUCGCACUUGCCCUAUCUGUUCCUCAAGCAGAUGCGGUAUCUUCCCUGGCAACAUAAGAUGUUGAAGAUGAGUACUCGAGAGCAAUGCCAGGUAAGUAAUCAGGUAAGGGGUUCCAGGCUGUCAGUUCCUGGCUGGGAGCUUGAUUUCAAGUGCUGACUGAUUGCUCUCUUUCUCCUUGUCUUGCAGGUAAAAAACAAGGCCAAAGGAAAAGACAGGGAAAAAGCAUGAUAUGGGAUACUCUUGCUUUUAACCCUGAUGAUAUGAGAUAUUCUUGCUCUAGUAUAGCUUGUUUGCAGAGGUAUUAUCGGGGGGAAAGAAGCUGAAUAUUUCGAAAGGCUUCGUUGGGAGUGCCCUCUCAGAUAUGAGGAAGGGUUGAGCAUUUUUGCAGGUCUGCCUGUCCGUUGGGGAUGGAGGUCGACAUAUAUAGGAGUCUCCCUAACAACAAGUAGUAAUGCUAUUCCUUUACCCUGCUUGGUCAUAGCACGGUAGUGGGAGCUGCCAGCUUCACAUGUUUUAACUCUGUCAGAGCACUUUGAAAAAGUGGUAUGUGGUAUCUGGCUCUCGAGAUUCGAAGAACGAUGCUUCUUCGAUUUUUGAGAAAGCAAUCAUGGUGGGGGUCUGGCUCUCGAGAUUCGGGGAGCAGUGUCUCUUCGAUUUUUGAGAAAGUAAUCAUGUUGGGAGUCUGGCUCUCGAGAUUCGGAAGGCGGUGCCUCUUCGAUUUUGGAGUAAGCAAUCUUGUUGGGAGUGAUUUCUUGGAUGUGAGUAAAGGUUGGGCAUGUUUGCUAGUCUACCUUGCCACGAAGCACGGAGGUUGACACACAGGGACUUUCCAAUUAUCCAGCAGUGGUACUGUUCCUUUACCCUUGUGGGUAAUAAUAUGGUAGCUAGACCUUCAAAAUUUAUGUGUCUAAACUUUGUUAGUGCUGUUUCUUUGCUAUUCUUUUACCUUUCUUGGUCAGAGCGAUGUAGUGGGAGCUGCAAGCUUCACGUGCUCAACUUUGGCAGAGACUUUGACAAAGUUAUCUGUGGUACCCAUGAGCUAUUGUUGCGUGUGGGAAGUGGGUGAUUGAACAGUAAGAUUCAUGUGCUUUCUACUUCACCAGAAGUCUUCGACAGAAUGCCCAUAAUUUCCGCAAAGCUGAGUGUGCUUGUGACAGGUGCUGACAAGGCUAGAAAAGAAGGUGCCUCUUCGAUUUCUGAGAUCGGCCCUCGUGGUCUCUGAGCAGCCCAGCUUUUGAGAAAGCGAGCGCCUCUUCGAUUGAUUCGGAGAACGAUGCCUCUUCGAUUUUUGAGAAAGCAAUCAUGCUGGGGGUCUGGCUCUCGAGAUUCGGGGAGCAGUGUCUCUUCGAUUUUUGAGAAAGAAAUCAUGUUGGGAGUCUGGCUCUCGAGAUUCGGAGGGCGGUGCCUCUUCGAUUUUGGAGCAAGCAAUCUUGUUGGGAGUGUUUUCUCGAAUGUGAGUAAAGGUUGGGCAUGUUUGCUAGUCUACCUUGCCACGAAGCACAGAGGUUGACACACAGGGACUUUCCAAUUAUCCAACAGUGGUACUGUUCCUUUACCCUUGUGGGUAAUAAUAUGGUAGCUAGACCUUCAAAAUUUAUGGGUCUAAACUUUGUUAGUGCUGUUUCUUUGCUAUUCUUUUACCCUUCUUGGUCAGAGCGAUGUAGUGGGAGCUGCAAGCUUCACGUGCUCAACUUUGGCAGAGAACUUUGGCAAAGUUAUCUGUGGUACCCAUGAGCUAUUGCUGCGUGUGGGAAGUGGGUGAUUGGACAGUAAGAUUCAUGUGUUUUCUACUUCUCCAGAAGUCUUCGACAGAAUACCCAUAAUUUCCGCAAAGCUGAGUGUGCGUGUGACAGGUGCUGACAAGGCUGGAAAAGUAGGUGCCUCUUCGAUUUCUGAGAUCGGCCCUCGUGGUCUCUGAGGAGCCCAGCUUUUGAGGAAGCGAGCGCCUCUUCGAUUUCUGAGAUCGGCUUUCGUGGUCUUUGAGCAGCCCAACUUUUGAGAAAAGCAAACACCUCUUCGAUUUAUGAGAUCAUCCCUCGUGGUCUCUAAGCAGCCCAGCUUUUGAGAAAGCAAACGCCUCUUCGAUUUCUGAGCAGGCGCCUUUUCGAUGUCUGAAGCUCCGUCGAGUGCAGCUUUUUAUAGGGGCUGGCAUUAAGUUCCAAAGCACACUUGAAUCUCCACCAGUAGAAGCUCCAUUCUUGCACUUCUAAGAUCUUGAUUUGUCCGACCUCUUUCUCUCUUCAAUACCUUUGAAAAUGUCUGGCCCCUCCGACCGUCGUUUUGACUUGAACCUUGUUGAAGAGGCAGCCCCGCCUUCUCCAGACAACAUAUAUGGCGCCCAUCAUUCGUCUCCCCUACUGGUCCUCUUACCGUUGGGGAUUCCGUGAUGAAGAAUGAUAUGACCGCUGCGGGUGGUGGCCAGGAACCUUCUCACUCCCAAAGAUAACAGACUACUUUCCAAACGGUCUGAUGAGUUAGCUGUUAAGGAUUCACUGGCUCUCAGUGUUCAGUGUGCAGGUUCUGUGUCUAAUAUGGCCCAACGCCUAUUUGCUCGAACCCGCCAAGUUGAAUCAUUGGCGGCCGAAGUGAUGAGUCUCAAACAGGAGAUUAGAGGGCUCAAGCAUGAGAAUAAACAGUUGCACCGGCUCGCACAUGACUAUGCUACAAACAUGAAGAGGAAGCUUGACCAGAUGAAGGAAACUGAUGGUCAGGUUUUACUUGAUCAUCAGAGAUUUGUGGGUUUGUUCCAAAGGCAUUUAUUGCCUUCGUCUUCUGGGGCUGUACCGCGUAAUGAAGCUCCAAAUGAUCAACCUCUGAUGCCUCCUCCUUCUAGGGUUCUGUCCAGUACUGAGGCUCCGAAUGAUCCCCCUCCGAUGCCUUCUCUUUCUGGGGCUCUACCGACUGCUGAGACUUCUCCUAAGCAACCUUUGUGAAGGCUCCAUCUUGUUUGUUUAUUUUGACUCAUGUAUAUGUACAUAUUUGUAGCUUAUCGGGGAUAUCAAUAAAUAAGUUUUCCUUCAUUUCAACGUAUUAUGUUAAAUACACCAAAGCCUUCUUCGCUAAGUUCUUUGAAUUUUCUUUUGUUGAAGCUUGUAUGUUGAAGCUUUCUGAGUGGAGCAUGUAGGUUGGGGUAGUGUUCCCUUAAUUUUUCGAGUGAGGAAAACUUCUCGGUUGGAGACUUGGAAAAUCCAAGUCACUGAGUGGGAUCGGCUAUAUGAAUCUUAGAACGCCAUUGUGCUCGAUCCUGUGUCAUGUCCUUCGUUAGAUCCAAGUACUCUAAGUCUUUUCUUAGAGUCUCUUCCAAAGUUUUCCUAGGUCUUCCUCUACCCCUUCGGCCCUGAACCUCUGUCCCAUAGUCGCAUCUUCUAAUCGGAGCGUCAGUAGGCCUUCUUUGCACAUGUCCAAACCACCGUAACCGAUUUUCUCUCAUCUUUCCUUCAAUUUCGGCUACUCCUACUUUACCCCGGAUAUCCUCAUUCCUAAUCUUAUCCUUUCUCGUGUGCCCACACAUCCAACGAAGCAUCCUCAUCUCCGCUACACCCAUUUUGUGUACGUGUUGAUGCUUCACCGCCCAACAUUCUGUGCCAUACAGCAUCGCCGGCCUUAUUGCCGUCCUAUAAAAUUUUCCCUUGAGCUUCAGUGGCAUACGGCAGUCACACAACACGCCAGAUGCACUUUUCCACUUCAUCCAUCCAGCUUGUAUUCUAUGGUUGAGAUCUCCAUCUAAUUCUCCGUUCUUUUGCAAGAUAGAUCCUAGGUAACGAAAACGGUCGCUCUUUGGUAUUUCUUGAUCUCCGAUCCUCACCCCUAACUCGUUUUGGCCUCCAUCUGCACUGAACUUGCACUCCAUAUAUUCUGUCUUUGAUCGGCUUAGGCGAAGACCUUUAGAUUCCAACACUUCUCUCCAAAGGUUAAGCUUUGCAUUUACCCCUUCCUGAGUUUCAUCUAUCAACACUAUAUCGUCUGCGAAAAGCAUACACCAAGGAAUAUCAUCUUGAAUAUGUCCUGUUAACUCAUCCAUUACCAACGCAAAAAGGUAAGGACUUAAGGAUGAGCCUUGAUGUAAUCCUACAGUUAUGGGAAAGCUUUCGGUUUGUCCUUCAUGAGUUCUUACGGCAGUCUUUGCUCCUUCAUACAUAUCCUUUAUAGCUUGGAUAUAUGCUACUCGUACUCCUUUCUUCUCUAAGAUCCUCCAAAGAAUGUCUCUUGGGACCCUAUCAUACGCUUUUUCCAAAUCUAUAAAGACCAUGUGUAAAUCCUUUUUCCCAUCUCUAUAUCUUUCCAUCAAUCUUCGUAAGAGAUAGAUUGCCUCCAUGGUUGAGCGCCCUGGCAUGAACCCGAAUUGGUUGUCCGAAACCCGUGUCUCUUGCCUCAAUCUAUGCUCAAUGACUCUCUCCCAGAGCUUCAUUGUAUGACUCAUUAACUUAAUACCUCUAUAGUUCAUGCAAUUUUGUACGUCGCCCUUAUUCUUGUAGAUAGGCACCAAAGUGCUCGUUCGCCAGUCAUUUGGCAUCUUCUUCGUUUUCAAAAUCCUAUUGAAAAGGUCAGUGAGCCAUGUUAUACCUGUCUCUCCCAAAACUUUCCACACUUCGAUUGGUAUAUCGUCUGGGCCUAUUGCUUUUCUAUGCUUCAUCUUCUUCAAAGCUACAACCACUUCUUCCUUCCGGAUUCGACGAUAAAAAGAGUAGUUUCUACACUCUUCUGAGUUACUCAACUCCCCUAAAGAAGCACUCCUUUCAUGUCCUUCAUUGAAAAGAUUAUGAAAAUAACCUCUCCAUCUGUCUUUAACCGCGUUCUCUGUAGCAAGAACCUUUCCAUCCUCAUCCUUGAUGCACCUCACUUGGUUUAGGUCCCUUGUCUUCUUUUCCCUUGCUCUAGCUAGUUUAUAGAUAUCCAACUCUCCUUCUUUGGUAUCUAGUCGUUUAUACAUAUCGUCGUAAGCCGCUAACUUAGCUUCUCUGACCGCUUUCUUCGCCUCUUGCUUCGCUUUUCUAUACCUUUCACCAUUUUCAUCGGUCCUCUCCUUGUAUAAGGCUUUACAACAUUCCUUCUUAGCCUUCACCUUUGUUUGUACCUCCUCAUUCCACCACCAAGAUUCCUUUUGGUGUGGGGCAAAGCCCUUGGACUCUCCUAAUACCUCUUUUGCUACUUUUCGGAUACAACUAGCCAUGGAAUCCCACAUUUGGCUAACUUCCCCCUCUCUAUCCCCACACACAUUGGGUGAUUACCUUCUCUUUGAAAAUGGCUUGUUUUUCUUCUUUUAGAUUCCACCAUCUAGUCCUUGGGCACUUCCAAGUCUUGUUCUUUUGUCUCCCUCUUUUGAUAUGUACAUCCAUCACCAACAAGCGAUGUUGAUUAGCCACGCUCUCUCCUGGUAUAACUUUGCAAUCCUUACAAGUUAUACGAUCCCCUUUCCUCAUUAGAAGAAAAUCUAUUUGUGUUUUUGACGACCCACUCUUGUAGGUGAUCACAUGUUCUUCUCUCUUCUUAAAGAAGGUGUUGGCUAAGAAGAGAUCAUAUGCCAUUGCAAAAUCCAAGAUAGCUUCCCCAUCCUCGUUUCUCUCCCCAAAACCAUGGCCACCAUGAAAACCUCCAUAGUUGCCUGUCUCCCUGCCCACGUGUCCAUUUAGAUCUCCUCCUAUAAAUAACUUCUCCGUCUGAGCAAUUCCUUGCACCAAGUCUCCAAGGUCUUCCCAAAAUUUCUCCUUCGAACUCGUAUCCAACCCUACUUGAGGUGCGUACGCACUAAUCACAUUGAUAAGUUCUUGUCCUAUUACAAUCUUGAUUGCCAUGAUUCUAUCUCCUACCCUCUUGACAUCUACAACAUCUUGUGUCAAGGUCUUGUCCACGAUGAUGCCAACACCGUUUCUCGUUCUAUUUGUGCCCGAAUACCAAAGUUUAAACCCUGAGUUUUCUAGAUCCUUUGCCUUACUACCAACCCACUUAGUUUCUUGUAGGCACAUAAUAUUUAUCCUUCUCCUCACCAUAACUUCCACUACUUCCAUAGAUUUUCCCGUUAAGGUUCCUAUAUUCCACGUUCCUAAACGCAUUUUGCUCUCUUGAACUCUACCCUUCUGUCCUAGCUUCUUCACCCUUCCCCGUCUAAUAGGAUCAAAGUACUUCUUUUGUGUGUCCCGUGUAAAGUUGAUAGGAGCAUAUGCUCCCAAACAACUUUGAGUGGAGUCGUUCGAAAAGAAGUUUCUACGGCCCCCUUGCUCAUUUAACACUGCAUCCGGGUGCCGAUGGAGAUACAGCGACCCUUGCUCACUUAUCACUGUGCUCGGGCCACACAGCGCGCCACUUACGGGUGACGCCCUAGCUUUAGCGCGAUUUUGUUCUGGAUUCAUUUUCAUAAGGAUUCGACGUGAUCAUGCUAAGACCUUUCCAGUGACUUCCACCAGUCGUGCUUUCCAAUCAGUUAUCAUGGCACGUUGCUUAAAUAACAUUUGCAGCAUGAUAGAUUAAGUUUCCUGAACCUGAACUAGUCAUUAGACUCUUCCUAACGUAAAUUAGCAUUCGAGAGGAAAUCUUAUCUCCAUAGUUCAUACCAACAAUGACAUCUCCGAGAGACAAAAAAAGCAUCUGUAUAUUUCUAAGUCAAUUAUGAGAUGCAUUAUUCAUUGUCAGGUAAUACAAGGAGUCAACACAUCUUUAGGAAUGCAAGAGAAGGCGAAAGCAAGUUAACCUGUGUGAUGUCAGUAAUGUUAGGAGUCAUCUUUGCCCAAACAGGAACUGUGGCUUUGGCAUUGAUCCAGCCACAGACUUCUUCCAGAAGUGCACAGUCUUGACCAACCGCAGCACCCAUCCUGCGCUCUGGCAUACCAUGAGGACAAGAAAAAUUGAUUUCAAGGGCAUCCUGAGGAAAAAAAUUCUGGUGUUAGAUGGAAGACAAUCCAAGAUCAAAGUACAAAAGUUAUAACAGAAAUUUAGUUAAGUACUAUAACUUACAACUCCAGUUUGCUCAACACGGUCAAUAAGUUCCUCCCAGCCAGCUUUAUUGUAUUCCUCCAUAAUUGAAGCAAUCAGAAUCCUAUCUGGAUACUCUUCUUUUAGUUGCUUAAAUUCUUUCAACAUAAUUUCAAGAGGUCGAUCACUGAUCAGUUCUAUGUUCUGCCACCCAAUAAUUUGCCCUUUGGCAGAGCCAUUUCCUUCUACUCGUAGCCGAGCAUAUCGAGGAGUGACAUUUUUUACCUUUUCUGCAUCUAGUGAUACCUAUCAAAACAUAAAUUAAGAUUGAAUUGAAAAAUUGCAAUGUGAAGAGUUUCCACUCACAUGCACGCAAAACAGAAUACCUUAACCAACUAUUAUCUGUAGUUCCUAUCUUUAAGAUCCCUUUCUUUGCAUGAUACCCAGUCAACUGGUUCAUAGGUCAUUUUUUUCAUACAAAAAGGCUAAAUGCACAUAUUUGUCCACUUUACUAUCAUCAAGUUUGGUUUUUUGGCUCUUUAAAACUAAGUACUGAUUUGGUACUGAGGUGCUUUUUUAUAAAAAGUGGGUAUAAAGAAAAGCUGAGCUCAAAAAGGUGUUUGGUAAACACUUAAAAACAGCUUAUUUUCACAGUUUUGGGUGAAAAAAAGCUGAAAACGCAGAAAAAAUGAGUUUAUUCUCACAGCACAGUAGAAGCAGUUUUUUUUCAAAGCAGAACAAUACCAAACCAGCGUAUAUGGCUUUAACUAAGAGAUGGCAUUGUAGAUCAGCAAAUGGGCUUUCACUUUCGACAAUUUUAGCCACAAAAAUAACUAAAUCUUAAUACUUUUCGGUCGAACACAUCUGCUAACAGGACAUUAUUAGCAAAUCACUUAAACGAUUUUGCUAAAAUGGCACCAACUACAUAAAAUCGAAGAUAUCAAACACACAUAAUCAUCCAAGUUUCAUUCUUUACUUCAUCAUACUACCACCCAAUAUCUCUGCUAAUCAUCAUUCUAAAAUUUCUUUUCCUGGACUUUCUCGGUAACCAAACAGCUGAAUUAUGAAAAAGCUUAUAAUCAAACAGUCCAACCUUGCAAAUUCACAAUCUUUUCAUCCAAUUCAAACUCAGGAUCCAAACGAAAGAGAAAGAGAGCAACAAGACAUACAGUUUUGGCAAUCACAGCACCCCAGCCUUCAUCAAAGGCCCUCUUCAUCACCGUAUAGUUAGUCCCGGGCGGACCCGACCCGAUAACGAACGGGUUGGGCAUGUGCAACCCAUUAACAGUAACACUAAGAUUAGGUUCCGCCUUGCUCUCGGAGGCCAACACCCUGAACCCAACUCGGUUGGGCCGAAUCAAACCCAGCUCAGGACGAGUCCUUCUGGAAAACUCAGCAACUGGGUUGUUGCCUUUGAUCUGCGUAAAGCUUAAAGACGCCAUGGAUCAAGAAUUUGGGUCACUCUUCUGCAAGUAAACUGGAGGAAUGAAUAACAGGAAGGAGCAGAGGAAGAAGAACAAGACGGUGAUGAUCGAGAUUGAAUCCGAGUUAAAAAUAUUCAGUUGGCUCUAGAAAGAGGGAGAGAGAGACGGGAGGUUGAAGGAAUCGGUUGCGUCUUGUAGCGUUUGAUCGACUUGGAUUGAAGGUGGAAAAUUGGAAUUUUAUAAUUCGUAGAGAGAAUGCAUGUGGAUGGUGACAGACGGGAUUGGCAGUGGCACUUGGUUUGUUGACAUUUUCGGGAGUUAUUCCAUUCAUCGUAAAGGCCUGUGGUGGUAGAUAAAUCCAAAUGGAUUAGAUAAGAAUUUCUAUUUGUCGUGACACUAUGGGGAUGUAUUUAAUUGAGAUUUUAAGCGAUUUUAAAAUAUAAGUUAUUAUCUGAAAUUGAAUAUGUAUUCAAUUCGGAUUUUAAGUCAUUCUCUGAAAUUUAAUGUGUAUUCAAUCAGUAUUUUAAGAUAGUUUAUUAAAAUCCUUUGAAAUCUAGGUGUAUUCAAUUAAAAUUUUAAAGAAGUUUAUAACAUUCCAGGUGUAUUCAAUUAUAAUUUGAAUUUAAAGAAUUUGACAGAGUUAAGGAAUCAGAGGGAAUUAGAGAGAUUUUAUAAUGUAUUUUAAGCAUCCACAAAUCCCAUAUAUUCGGAUGAGAUUUCGAGGAAAUUGAAUCAAAAUUUUAGAUGAAAUCUCUACAAAUCAGUUAAACUCUAUAAAAAUUUAUGAAUUUAUAAAUCCAUUAAAAUCUCUCAAAAUCCUAAUUGAAUACACCUCCCCUUAGUGUGAAUGUUACAUACGAAAUUAUACAAGGAAACAACUCAAAUUAAAUUUUUGGGGGCAACCAUUAAAGGUUUUAGGUGAAAAGUCUUAGUGUGGUAAGAUUUUCUUUUGAUACAUAUAAGGUUGUGUCGGAUCAAAACAUUUAUAUCUAGAUAUAUGUUUGUAAUCUCGUUACAACACAUAAGAUCAAGAGUGAAAGUAAUAAUAUCAAUAUCCCAUCUCUCCAUUUACUUGCAUCUUUUAUAUGAUACAAUUAAAAAAAAAACAAUAUGAUACAUUACACCCAUUUCACUUAUAUCUCAAACAAAAGUUAUCUCUCUCACACUUUUGUCUAUUUAUAACAAAUUUCUCUUUCUUACUGCAUUACAUGUUAAGAAUUAUAAAGGGAUGUGAACUUUUUCUCUGAGUUGCAAUUUGUCACAUGAAAAACAAACGGAAAAGAUACUUUUUCUUCUUCUUUUCAUUUGGUUUACAAGCAACUCUAAAUAGAGUUGGCAAAUAGGUCAUGUUUGUGUUAUGAUCAUUAUCUUAAUGAAUUAUAUCAUGUCAAAUUUGUUACCUUAAUAAAUUUUUUCAUGUAAUUCUAUAAAUAUGAUGCACGGAUACAACAGUUCUGUCACGCAUUGCGUAUCAGAUAUACGAGUGGAUACAAUAUGGUCGGAUACGUAGCUAGAUCAACAAAAACGGUGUUUGACGGAUGAAUAUAGGUAUUACGACGAUUUGGAUACAGAUAUCCCCGCAAUUAAUUGCCUUUGAUGCAAUAUGGCGGAAAAAGGCCUUGGGAUGGAGAUGACACAAUCUGGUGGAAGGAGUAUUAAACUAAACAUGGUAAAUACCAAUAUCAAACUAAACAUGGUAAAUACCAAAAAUAUAUAUGACAAUACUUGGGAAUUUCUUAUAUAUUUAUUAAUCUCCAAAGUGGAGUAUAUAUAGGAGUUACAAUUGGUAUUACAUAUGUACUUCACCAAUGUGGGACAAUAAACUACUAUUUAUAAUUUAACUAAUAUAUAACUCGCAACACUCCCCCUCAAGUUGGUGCAAAGAUGUCACGCAUGCCCAACUUAUCAAGUGAGUUGGAAAACCCACUAUUAGACAUAGCCUUAGUAAGAACAUCAGCAAGUUGAUCUUCAGAUCUCACAAACGGAAAUAUAAUAAUUCCAGCAUCCAAUUUUUCCUUAAUGAAAUGUCGAUCAAUCUCCACAUGUUUUGUUCGAUCAUGUUGCACUGGAUUAUGAGCAAUCUUAAUAGUAGUCUUGUUAUCACAAUGAAGUUUCAUAUCACCCUUGGGUUUAAACCCAAGAUCUCUCAACAAUUUUUUCAACCACAACAACUCGCAUACACCAUGAGACAUACUACGAAACUCAGCUUCUGCACUUAACCUAGCCACCACUUUUUGUUUCUUGCUUCUCCAAGUAACUAAAUUACCACCCACGAACGUAAAGUAUCCAGAUGUAGAUCGCCGAUCAGUAAUAGAACCUGCCCAAUCUGCAUCUGUAUACCCUUCGACAUUCAAAUGACCAUUCUUGGAGAAAACCAAGCCUCUGCCAGGAGCCAUCUUCAAGUACCUUAAAAUAUGGGUUACUGCAUCCAUAUGAGCUUCACUAGGUGAGUGCAUAAACUGACUUACCACACUAACUGCAUAAGCAAUGUUAGGGCGAGUGUGAGAUAAAUAAAUUAAUCUCCCCAUAAGCCUCUAAUAAUGUUCCUUAUUAGUAGGAACUUGAUCUAGAAAUAAGCCCAGACGAUGAUUCUGCUCAAUUGGAGUAUCAACAGGUUUGCAAUCUAACAUACCUGUUUCAGCUAACAAAUCAAGAACAUACUUCCGUUGAGACAGAAAAAUACCAUGCUUGGAUCGUGCAACCUCGAUUCCAAGAAAAUACUUCAAUUCACCUAAUUUUUCAUCUUAAAUUCAGUAGCUAGGUACUUUUGAAGGCGUUGUAUCUCAUUCUGAUCAUUACCAGUCACUAUCAUGUCAUCAACAUAAAUAAUCAAUGCAGUUAGCUUACCAUUUUGUCGCUUUAGAAACAAAGUAUGAUCUAAAUGACUUUGGAUAUACCCAAACUUCUUCAUUGAACUUGCAAACCUCUCAAACCACGCUCUAGGAUAUUGUUUCAAACCAUACAAAGCCUUUCGUAGCCUGCAUACUACACCUUUUCCAAGAGAUGUUCCAAUACCAGGUGGGAGAUCCAUAUAAAUUUCCUCUUAAAGAUCAUCAUGAAGAAAAGAAUUCUUAACAUCAAACUGCAACAGAGACCAAUCCUGGUUUGCUGUUAAGGACAAAAGAACAUGCAUAGUAUUAAGUUUGGCAACAGAAGCAAACGUCUCCUGAUAAUCCACCCCAUAAGUUUGAGUAUAACCCUUAGCAACUAAUCUGGCUUUAUACCGGUCGAUAGAACCAUCUGCUUUGUGCUUAAUAGUAAACACUCAUCUACAUCCAACGGCUUUCUUCUCGUUUGGUAAAGGAACCAAAUCCCAAGUAGAAUUAUUUUCCAAAGCUUCCAUCUCAACUUUCAUGGCAUUAACCCACUUAGGGUCAAACAAAGCAUCUUGCAAUUUUGUUGGAAUUGAUAGACUAGAUAGCUGACAUAUGUAAGAUGCAUACGAUUUGGACAAACGAUGAGUAUACAUAUAAUUGUUGAUAGGAUAUUUGGCUUUGGCAUGCAUAUCAGGCUCAUAUUGUACUUUAGGGUUUCCACGAUUAGCUCGUGGAGGCAACUGAUAAGUAGAAGAAUCGUCAGAAUUUACCUCAUGUAUGCCACCAUCUUGUACCAAACUGUUAAAAGAAUCAUCACUGGAUGAACCAUCAUCAGGCAACUCAUUAGACAUAUCAGCAGCAGACAACCGAUCAUCAGAAUGUAAUUCGUCAAACAUACUAACAUGCAACUUGCUGGGCACAUUUGAUCUGUCAUCAGUAGAAAUAGUUUCGGGAAUGACAGGUGACCGAUCACUAUCUGUAGCAGAUUGAUCAGUAUCAUGCAACAUAAUAGGUUAUGUUCCCAACUUUGCCUAUAACACAUCAUCUAUACCAUCUCUUCGAAUCUGCACUUCACUCCCCCUAUCCCCAUGAAGUGGAGAGUCGAAAGAGGGCUUCACAAAAUACGAAACUUCCUCAUGGAAGGUGACAUCUAUGGUAAUAUAAGUUUUUUGAGUCGGAUGAUGAUAACACUUAUAACCUUUUUUAUUGUUAACAUACCUAAUAAAGACACACCGGAGAGCACAUGUAUCAAGUUUACUCCGCUGAUGAGAGUAGACAUGCACAUACGCAAUACACCCAAACACUUUCGGAGGAAGCUUUGAUACAGAAACAAGAGAAACAUGUUUUUGUAGCACAUCAAGCGGUGUCUGAAAAUCAAGACCUUACCUGGAACACGAUUGAUCAAAUACACAGCAGCCAAAACAAUAUGACCCCAUAAUAAAUGAUUAGGAACACAUUUAUCCAACAUCAAGGAGCGAGCAACCUUUAUUAUUUGACGAAUCUUCUGUUUGGACACACCAUUUUUUUGGGGUGUAAACGGAGUAGUUGUCUGGUGAAUAAUACCAUGAUCACGAAAAAAGCAUGCCAAAGUGUGAUUCACAUAUUCUCCUCCAUUAUCAGACCUUAACUUUGGUAUGAAACUGAGUAGACACCAUUGUACAAAAAUCUUGAAGAAGUAACGGAACAUCACUUUUAUUCUUCAUCAAGAACAACCAAGUUAACCGAGUACAAUCAUCAAUAAAAGUAACAAACCAACGGAAUCCAUUGGACGUAACUUUCGCCGGACCCCACACAUCAGAAUGUAUCAAAUCAAAUGACAAAGUAGCUUUAGAAUCACUUACGAGAAAGGAAGCAUGAUGACUCUUAGCCAGGACACAUGUUUUACACUUGAACUCUGAAUCAUUACAAGUGCGAAACAAAGAAGGAAAUAGAUGUUUCAUAUAACUGAAUGAUGAAUGUCCCAAUCGUCGAUACCACAACCAAAUUUGAUGUCUAUCAUCCACUUUAGCACUUAAAAAUUGAUGAUUAUUUGAACCGGAAACAACAGUAUCCUCCAUAGUCAAGAUGUACAAACCUCAUAUUCUUUUACCAGGACCAAUUAUCUUCUGAGUUUGAAUGUCUUGAAAAUAACAAUACGUAGGGUAGAAGUGAGCAGAACAAUAUAAGGUAUCAAGAAGUUUUCCAACCGACAAAAGAUUGCACUUAACAUCAGGAACAAGUAAAGCACAGACCAGUGGUAAGGUUGGAGUCAGAGAGAUAGUGCCUUCACCCUUCACAGGGGAAAGUGCUCAAUUUGCAUUAGUAAUAUACGGAUCACGAACAUAAUCACAUAACUCAUCAAACACUCUAGGGUCACUAGUCACAUGAUCAGUGGCCCCAAUAUCAAUUAUCUAUUUAUUUGUUCCACCAAGAUGCAUAACAACACUAUGAUUAUAUUGAGCCAUUGAACAAAAUCACGAACAAUAAAGGCACAAAAGAUACGCAGCAGAAUGAAAACUAUUUACCAGAACACUGUAGCAAUCACUGUUCACGACAAUGUAGCAGAGACUAUUCACGGGACUGUAGCAAUCACUGUUUACGGCAUUGUAGAGGAUCGCUGUUCACAAGCAGACCAUUGUUCAUGCACUGUAGCAAAGUGUUGUACUAUAGCACAACACUAUCCACUUUUUUUUUUUCACGAAGGAAAUCACGAAAAAUAUGGCACAAAAUUAAAGCACACAGGUCACCAAGAGUGAACUACUUUGAUGCCAUAUUAAACUAAACAUGGUAAAUACCAAUAUUAACUAAACAUGGUAAAUACCAAAAUAUAUAUGACAAUACUUGAGAAUUUCUUAUAUAUUCAUUAAUCUCCAAACUAGAGUAUAUAUAGGAGUUACAAUUGGUAUUACAUAUGUACUUCACCAAUGUGGGACAAUAAACUACCAUUUACACUUUAACUAGUAUAUAACUCGCAACAAAAAGGCCUUGCGAAGAAGAUAACGUGAUCUAGUGGAAGAAGGCCUCGCAGGUAGAUGAUGCGAUCUGGUGAAAAGAGGCCACACGAAGAAGAUGACACAAUUUGGUGGGAGGUCGACAUGCCGUAUGUCUUCUUUUCUUUUAAAUUGGUAUUUUUUCAUGUCUUGUCGUAUCUUUGUGUUUGUGUAAAGAAUGUAUUUUAUGUCAAUCCAUUACCUUAAAAUUUUAACACACUAUGCACUUGACGGCAAUGUGAUGCAUGUUUUCCAUAUCACUGUCAAAUGUGUGCAUUACAAACCUUGAUAUUUUUAAUAGAACGGGUUCUUAUGACUUUUCAUCCAUAAACACUUUAUUAAAAGUAAAAUGAUGUUUUUACUAUGCAAAAAUUAAGGUGAAAUUGGAUGAGACAAAAGUCUAUAUUUCGAUAAGAAUUGAAAUCAAAACUUGUUCGAAGACAUAAAAGUUAUUACUUAAGGCACGGUUUGGUUUUGGGAUCCCAAACCACUCCUUCCAACUGACCAAAUCGGUGUACUCAAAUCCCAAGCCGCCAUUGGCUGGCGUGGCCACCUAAUUGUGGGAAAAUGAUCAUCUUCGGAUUCUCUUUGUAGGGAUUCAGGGAAUUGAUUAAUCAUAUUUGUUCAUCGUACAUCGUGCGGUCAAUUUUCGUUAGAUACUAUUUAUAUUCAAUUUUAAAUUUUAAAUUUAAAAUGAUUUCUAAUCGCACGAUGUACGAUGAACGAACAUAAUUAAUUGAUCUUCCGGAUCCUCACAAAGAAGAUCCGGGGAGGAUCCUUUUCCGAAGAUCCAAAUACCAAUCUUACACAUAAGCUACACAUAGCAGGUAUACUCUGGUAGCUCUUUUUCUGUGUCACUUUUGUUGGAGAUACUGACGUAUCAUAUUAUUAUAGUAGCUCUAGCGUGUGCUGGAGCCCAAGGGACAGGCUUGCGAAUAGUGGCAGAGAGCUCGAGUAAGCAACCCCAGCUUGUGCUGGUGAGGGAGCCUGAGCAGGCCCUUGGGAGAGGCCCGACACGAGUUGCCAGCCCAUGAGCCCGAAGGUAAUGUGAUGCAAGGUUGACGUCACCUAGACGUCAUCCACUUUUUUAUUGUCGGAAAAUGGCCUGCAAUGGCUGGGUUUCUUCGCCGGAUUCUGGAAAUGGGGAAAAACAAUAUGCAUGCAUGUCAAACCUUAGUAAUUUCCAACUAAUUUUCACAUGCAAAGAGGCAUUUAAGUACCUGGAAUGGAUUCAAACUGAACAAGAGCUCCAGAACCCACAAACUUGCCAGAGUUUGCUCCGAUGAGGUGACCAAAAACUGGGCAAGGUUUUAGAGAAAUUGCAGGGGAUUAAACCUCUGAUUUUGAACUGGAAAAACACCACAAAUCUUGUCCCAAGCAACAUUAAGACAUAAUGAAACAAGAUUUGCAUAGAGAACCUCACCUAGGUUUGAGUUUCAGAUCUUGAAGCUCUCGGCUUCAAUGGUGGUUUACACCGUGAUGGUCCGAUGACACGUGCAACGGUAUAGCUAGGAUCCUUUAGUCCUAGGGAUUAAGGUUUCAUGGUUUUGGAGUUUGAUUUGUUUAAUUUUCAAAGAGGAAAGUGGGUGAGAGCUCUCGGAGCUCUAGAAAGAGUGAGAGUGUCGAGAGCUUAGAGAGAAAGAGGAACUUCAGAAAAAUGGAGAGAAGUGAGAAAGAUGAGUGGAAAGAGAGUGAGUGUCGUGACUCGUGAGGGAGUGGAGAGAGCACGAGAAUUCCAAGCAAGUUGCAAAAAAUACUAUUAUUUUAUUUACCUAUUACCAGGGCUAUUCAAGUAUAGGGGUGGAGAUGCAAAAUGUAAUUACUGUUCAUUAAGGACAAUUACUGUUCACUAGGUGGAUUAAAUAGUGGAUAGCCCUGGGGGGGCCUUUCCCAUAGUGGAACUGCUCUUAUUAUCAUCAAAUUUCAAUUAACCAAACUUGAGGUUGCUGGCUGGUUCAAUUUUCUGACCUAUUUUUCUGUCAUUUAUCUUCAUUUUAGCAUGUACAUUCUGAUUUCGCUAAACUCCUUUAAAAUCCCCGAUUUCUUCCUGAUACAUGCAAUUAUAUUAUCUAUGUUUUGACGGGUUAGCUAACAGUUUGCCAACAACAAUCAGACUAUAUUAACAGAAGUUUGUCAUAUGAUCUUUGAGUGAUGCCGUAUUGCAUUGGCCGAAUGUAGGAACUCGACGCUCACCUUUCUUCUCCAGGAUAAAAUUUCUUCGAACUAUUACUUGACAUUAGAUUAGUUUGUUGCGUGAAAAUUGUGAUGCUUCUAACUUCUAAGCAUGACCUAAAGAUGACAGGGUGUUAUUUUCGCAUUCUCUUGCGAUUUUGUAUGCACUUCUUUACUUAAUUCUAUCCUCUAAUUCUCCAUGACUCUGUACUCUAGACGAGCGCAUUCCAAUUCCUAUGGACUGUUAGCAUAGUUUUAUGGGCUAGGUUUCCAUUUGGUCCAUACUCAUUAGGUUAUCGAAUACAAAUGUAGACUUUUCUAUACCUAUGUGCUACGCCCUGCUGUAGAAAGCAUGAAUGAAAUUAUUGUUUAAUUUUCUUUUUUUUUUCUUGCAUUUUCUCUUUAAGCUAUGUCUGAGUGAAAAUGAGAAGAGUGCACAAAUUAAUCAUUCUCCAUUAGCAAUUUAAGUGUUUAAUUAAUUGUAAUAUAUAGUUUAAUUUGUUGUUGCAUAACAUCUCAUUUAGAGCAUGUUUACAUACACAGAGAUAUAAAAAUCAAAAUUACUUUAACUUUUGAGUUUCCUAUGUUUAUAAGAAUAUGGUAUGAAAAUCAUUUCACUUUUAAUUAACUUUCUAUUGUAUUUACUAACACGUACGAAAACCAAACAAUGCGAGUACUUUUCCUUCAAAUCCAUAAUCAAAUACCUAUGUCUCAGAAUCAAAUUAAUUAACAUUGCGGCUAGUUGAUCCAGUUUUCUUUCAUUUCCCUAUUUCUAAGCUCUCUGAUUUCUUCAGUUUUAGAUUUAUGUUAGAUUUCCGAUUUUAAAAUUUGAAAAUAAAACGUACUUAAUAAUUUAUCAAACCUAGUUAACUAUUUGGACGGUGACAUUUGAAGGACUCCAUGAUUGAGAUUGACGACCCCUCAAGGAUGAUCAAGUUGGGCAGUGAAUCGUGUGACAUGGAGCGUUGUGGUUCAUGCAUGAUAUUGGGCAAAGCUUUGAUUUUGACAUGCAUAUUUUCCUUUUUCUCAAUUCUCCUACGGAUUGAGGAGUUAUUUGCUGACUCAUCAUGUCUUGUAUUUUUCAGGAUCGAUCGAAGCUGUCAAGAAGCACCCAACUUUCGUGCCAUGACAGCCUUCGCUUGCACCAAAUUUGUAUUCAUCACCGGAUUUGGCAGCCAAUCAUCUGGCUCGAGAGAAAAGGUUAAUAUCAGGUAGAUUAAAUUUGUAAAUAAAAUUUACAAAAUAAAUAAUGUGUCAAUAAUAAGAAUGAACAUGUUUAUCAUCGCUUAAGUAAUAAAUCAAUCAUUAACUUCUAUGUCCUUUAGUUUUCAAAAUUUUAUGUGCAAAUUUAAUCUCUCCAAUGUUAUUGAGAAAAAAACUUGUGUAGGUCAUCAAGAUUGCGUCAUCACUUAUGUGUAAGGUUUGUCUCACUAGAUAUGAGAAAGUUGCCCUUAUAAAAAAACUCUUAACAAGAUUUUCCUUUAUAUGCAGUGUAAUUCCACCCAAAAAUCUUUAAACGGCCAGGAUUGUUUCAACAAAAACGCAGGAAAUGGCUUCGACUCUUUACAUACGAUGACAUAUGUAUCUGCUUGGCUCAUGAAAGGGACAUUCCAUUUUUUAUUUAUUGCAACAACUUGGAAAUUUGUCACUUGCCAGUGGAGGCUAGCAAGAAACCAACUUUAUAAGAUAUUCUUGAAGAUUGGAUAACAACAAAUCUAUGAUGAUUGUACGUCUUUUAAUUUAAACAACAAUAUAUUAAUUAUGCACGUUGGACAUGAAAUAAGAAUAGUAGUUCAAUUACUUAUAAGCAUAUGCAAUGUCUAUUAUUUCAUCGAUUAGGGAUUGAUACUCUCAAAAAGACCUCCCCGUGUGAAGCAAGUUGAAGUUUCACAAUAAAACCAAUUGGCAAUAUGAAGAAUAAACCAACUACUUAUAGGCAUAUACAAGGUUUAUUCUUUUGCCGACGUGGGAUUGAUACUCUUAACAAGGAAUUUGUGAAUAAGUGGAGCCAAUGCAUUUUUCUUCUAUUCUUAGUUGUUGGAUUGAGAGUUGUAGUGUUAGCAUGAUUUCUUUACUUCGUGCACGGUUUAGCCUACUAUCUGAUCAUGAUCUUUGUUUUAGGAGAAGACCUGAUCUUGGUUAAUUAGACCCCAAAAAAAAUAAAAAAUCCCAGCUCCUAGUUUCGUCAUAGAAAGCAUACGAUUAUUGAUUUUUUUCUUCCUGCAACUUGACUAGUCUUUGAACACCAGCUAGGAAGUAGGGUUGAUCAAUUACGUACAGCCUCUACUUAAUUGACUAAUAUAUCAAACUAUUCAUAGUUGAGAGAAAUUAAUAUAAUCUUCAAUGUCUCCUUUUACACUUAUUGGUCCGUUCCCUCGUCAACUUCAAGUGUAGGUUGAACUCCGACAUUUAGUCAGUUAGAAAUUUUAAUAAUUAAUUUCGUGAUGUUCAAUAGCCGGAAUACAAAUAGAAUCAAAGGGAAAUUUAAUAUUCAUAUGAUUCUCUUAAUCAUAAUUUAAUUAACAGAUAAGAUUAAUUAACACCAUAAUCCACAAAGAAAGAAUCCGAAUCCGGCCAGUAUAUACAAAAGAUCAUAAAAUUCCUACAGUAACCAGUGUCCGGAAAAUUCAUGCCAAACCCGGCGACCGACAAAUAAUUAGGUUUGACGAGCAGGAAACGAAUUCUGAAUCUUAAAAAAAGUUGAAGUUCCACCUUAAAUCCACCGACAACAUAUUAGUAUAGAGGAGCAAGUGGCCUUGAUCAAUUAGCAGAGAAUAACCCAAGUUAAUUACCCAGCUCGUCCUUGUAAGCCCUUGCAAGAUUUCUAAACUUCCCCACGACGGAUUCUUCAUAUCCUCACGGUAUCUUUACAGACGAACGGAUGGGUCAGAAGCUGAGCGGCGGACCACCUCUUGCCAGACUCCUUCUGCAAGCAACACUCCAUGAAGCUCCGAAACUCCUCGGACACCCCCUCCGGCAAGGUGGGUGGCUCUCCAAAACAUAUGGCGCACAUGAGGGUGGCCCAGUCUGGUCUCUGACCUGGAGGCAAGAACGGGAAGUGACCCAUGUAGAGCUCCAUCAGGGUCAGCCCCAAACUCCAUAUGUCACUGGCGUAGCCGUUGUAAUUGCCGCCGUAAGUAUCCGGGUCGAAUCUCUCCGGGCUCAUGUAAGCGCAAGUUCCGACGUAGGAGUUGCAGGCGUCCAAAGUUCGGCACAUGAUCUUGCUCACUCCGAAGUCGGCGAUUUUUACUUCCAUGAGACAGUUUACUAGAAGAUUUGUUGGUUUGAUGUCGCGGUGGAUGAUUUUGUGGGUGUGGAGGUAGUUGAGGCCGUUAAGAACUUGCCGCGCCACGUAGGCAAGUUUUAGCUCGGAGAAGGUGCCAUUGGAUUUAAGCAAGGUCUCGAGGGUGCCGGAGUCCAUGUACUCCAUGAGAAUCCCGAUGUCACCGGAGGGCUGUUCGAAGAUUGCGUGGCAGUGGACGACGUAGGGAGAGUCUGUGCGGCGGAGGAUUUCCAUCUCGCGGAAGAGCUGACGGCGGACAGUGAGGUCGGAGUCACCUUGGACGAGUUUGUAAGCGUAGUUGGCUGAAGUCCGCUUGUGGCGGACCUUGUAGACGGUGCCGCCGUUUCCAUGGCCGAGGACUUCGAGUCUCUCGAGGUCAGCAGCGGAGAUAGCGGCACAGGAGGAGGUGUUGGUGGUGACGGCGGUGGUGGGGGCGGUGGGAGGGAGGGGGAGAGAGAAACAGGGGCGGCGCUCGGAGAGGUCGGGCAGGGGGAGGCGAAGGUUGAGCUGGCGGCGUUCACGGAUGAGAGCCAUUUGGAUUUGCGGUGGUUGUGUUGGUGGAGUGCGGAGUGGAGAGUUGUAUUGAGAUGAAAUGAAAUGAAAGGAGAACCCUUUCAUUUAUAAAGGGCUUCGUUUUUUAAUGUAAGGGGGAGUGAAAAGCACGUGCGGGCCAUGCAGCCGGCGGAGGAGGGUGGAGGGAGUAGUAGUACGAACUACGAAGGUGGAAGGAUAGAGAGGAUGUGGUGUCCAAUUGGGGAUUUUUAAGUGCUACUUGUUGAGAUGAUAUAUCGACAUGUGAUUAAAUGGCAAGUUGACAGCAUGCCACUUCAUUUUUUAAAAGUAAAGAAAUGAAGUUUUAGCAAAAAUUCUGAUGAAUUUGAAAAAUAAUGCAAAGCCAAAGCAGCCUACCACUCAUCAUUCAUCAAUGCUCACUAUAGCAAGUGGCCUUUGGCUUACCCUCUAGCUACUCCAUCACCCUGCAAUAAUUCUCAUUACUUUUUUAAAACUAGAUCACAUAUUUAGUCUGGACAGUUUGCAAUAAUUCUCUCUACUUAUAGAAUGUUCAUGUUUUCCAUCAAUGAAAUUUGGGGAAGUCGUCAAUAGAGGCUUAAAAUACAACGAUAUAUUUACUAAGAAAUGCAUAAUUUAAGUUAAACUACAUAAUGAGUAUGUCAUAAUAAUUAGAUCUCGUGCUCUCAUUUAAAUGAGAAUGAAUAUCAUUAAGCCGUAUUAUUAAGUGCAAAUAUAUACACAUAUCUUAAAAAAAAAAAUCUCAUGUUUAAACAUUGAGUAGGAUAGCCCAGGAAUAAAAAUUCAUUAGUCUGGCUUCCAUCGUGCUUGAGUGUGACGCUUAUCGGAUAGAGAAUUAUGGCGAGAAAAAGCAAUAGCAACCACCCCAAAGAAAAAACAAAAGAAAAUUAAAAGGUUUAAGUAGUUUCUUUUUUUCUUUUUUGAGAAAAACUAAUGAAAAAGAUUUGAAAAUUUUGAGUUUUAAUGAUAAGAAAAAAAUAAAAGGUAAAGUAAAUAGUAGUAGGAUUAACUUUUUAGUGUAAAAAUAUGAUUUUUCGUUAAUGUGAACAGUAACAUAAGCUUUUCGUUAAAGUUUUUAUUUUUUAUUUUUUUUUAUGGUUGUCUGUGAAAAAACAAAGGAAUCAUCCACAUGUUAACAUAAACAAAAAGGGUUAAUCUCAAUUUAUUACUCUGAAGUUUCUUGAUUUUCAACUUUUCAUACAUCAAGUUUUUUUCAUCUCAGUUUGGUACCUAAAGUCGUAAUUUUGGGACACUUUCAUACAUUUGUUAAGUUUUCUGUCAAAAUCUCUAUUAACUGAUGACGUAACACCCACAUGAGCAGCGACAGGAUGCUAGAUGUCAAUAUAAGUCCACGUGGAUAUUCAAAAAUUAAAAAAAAAAUUAAAAAAUUAAAAUAAAAUUAAAAUAAAAUAUAAAAAAAAUUUGUCCACUCCCUUCCUCUUCCCCCGCACCCUCCUACUCCUAUUCAAUUUCCCAAAACCCACUUCCUUCUGUAAAAUCCCCCAAAACCCACCUUCAAAUGCGUCAUCUUCACCCUCGCUUUCCUACGCCUACUUCAUUUCCCAACCUCCACUUCCGACACCCACCUCAAAAAAUCAUGUGGUUUGUCUCCAGAUUCCACCAUUUCUGCUUCCAUGAAGCUCCAGUUCAAACCCACAGCCACCCACAACCUUGACUCGGUACUGAGUCUGUUCAGAGCUCACGGGCUGACUUGGAGCCACAUCAAAAAGCUAUACCAAACGUCUGAGUUGCUUUUGGCUGAUUUAGACAAUAGAAUAAGACCCAAUUUGGAGUUGUUUAAGGCAUUCGGGGUUUGAGGCGUCAAUGCCGUUGGAUUUGAACAAAUCACGUUUUGAGUCAUCGAUCGGAGGUCCAGAUCGAACACCCGGACCCACAAACGACGCCGUAUCCUCCUAUUCUCGCUCUUCCAUUCUUUGUCGCUGCUCCUCUUGACGUCAGAGCCAGAACCGCUGCUGAUGGUGUUGCUCUGCCAUCUUCGGUUUCGCCUGUGUGUUAUAAUUGUGAUUAUCUUAAUCAUAGUUUAGCAAUUAAAUAAGUAUUUUAAUUAAGUUGUUAAGUGAUUAGUUAUGCCAGCUGGCUUUAAGUGUUUGGAGAACAAUAUAUGUAGCCAAUUGUGAAAGAAAAUGAGUAACGGUUAUAUUCAAAAAAGAAAAAUAUUACAAAAACAUCUCUCUCUAGCUCCUCAUUCCUUGCUAUUCUGCCAUUGGCAUUGCUGCUUGCAGGUUGAGUUAGGAAAUAUGAGAUUUGGUGCAUAUCAAUUGGUAUCAUCAUUCUCGAUCCUCGAUUCCCUCUUGUAUGCCCCGUCAUGCUCCGAUGACUUGAUUAACCACUAUAGAUCCCCGUCUCACUACUGUUGAAGAAACUCUGACAGACCUUCCCAAUUUCCUUCGAUCCUUCAUCGCUACCGCGAAUGCUAAGCUCUCGGCUAAACUCUCUGCUGAUUUUGAGGCUAAGUUAACUUUCUUCUUUGAGCAACUUUGGUGCGAACAAUCCUUUUUGGGGGGUGCCGAAUCUUCCAAUCCAGCACAGAUCAUCUCCGAUUCUGAUUUAGAGACUCUUCGCCCACUUCGUCAUGAUCAGUUUGACACCGGAGGUGGAGCUCUGAGGCUUCCUUGGAAACAACGAGUGGAUUUUCCCCAAUUUUUCAAUGGCGACAAUCCUCUCAUUUGGAUCUAUAAGGCUGAACAAUACUUUUCCUAUUACAACACUCAAAAUCCUCAUAAGGUCCUUACAGCAUCCUACUUGGAGAACGAAGUGAUGUUGUGGUUCAAAUGGCGUAAUUACAUCCUUACUACUCAUUCUUGGGAGAAAUUUACCAGUGCACUUAGUAAGGAGUUUUGGUCAUCCGACUUCGAGGAUUGUAUUGAGGCACUCUUCAAAUUGCACCAAACAUGUACUCUUAAGGAUUAUGUGACCGAAUUUCGUAGGCUUGUUAAUCAUGCUUUAGAUGUUGGUCUUGUGCUCCUCAAAAGCUACUUCCUUGGAGGUUUAAACGGGAAUUGAUUUAUGAUGUCAAAUUGUUGAAGCAUGUGUUUGUUCAUGAUGCCAUAUAUAUACAGAGAGCUUAAGGGGAAGGAUCCCCAUUUUUUGAAAAAAAAAGGGAUUAGGUGUGGGGCCUACUUCACAUCAAAUUUCAACGAUCCGAACCGUCUAUUUUGUUAGUCUCGAUUCAUAGAUCAUCCUUGCAAAAAUUCAAUUCAAUCCGAAACCAUUUGCCUAUUUAAUUAUCAAUAUCAAAUUUCAUAUUUUCUUAUAUAACAAAAUAUUCGUUCAUUUCCUUGAACCCAAUUAGAUGUCUUAAACAUUUCCAAUUUAGCUAAUAUUUUGCAAGGAUGAUCUAUAAAUUGAGACUAACAAAAUAGACGGUUCGGAUCGUUGAAAUUAGAUGUGAAGUGGGCCCCACACCUAAUCCCCAUUUUUUUCAAAAAAUGGGGAUCCCUCCCCUUAAGCUCUCUGUAUAUAUAUGUUCAGGUUGAUGCUAAACUUUAUGAGUUGCGUGUCCUUAAUCUUAUAACCCUUCCUGCAGCUAAAAUCACUCCACUGCCCAUUCUGCCUCCUAGACCUCGAACCACUAAUUUACCAUAUCGUAAGCUCACUCCUAAUGAAGUCCAAAGAAAGAAAGAUAUAGGGGAAUGUUGGUUUUGCACUGAGAAAUGGGUCUGAGGGCAUAAAUGCAUGCAUAAACAGUUGCUUUUGUAAGAUGUGUGUGAUGAUGAGGACUUGUGUGAGGAGAAUGAUGAGGUUGUGCAAGCUAAGUUGCAAGGAAUGACACUGAGCGAAUGUGCAUUUUAUGGCAUGAAUGCUGAACACUCCCUACAAACUAUGAACGUUUUAGGCAAUGUUAAUAACCAACCUGUGCGAAUCCUCUUAGACUCAGGUAGUACCCAUAACUUCAUUGAUUAUAGGUUCACUAAGAAGUUCGGAUGGUCUUUACAAACAACCAAAACAUUUGAAGUAAUGAUUGCAGAUGAAGGAAAAAAUCAAAAGUCAGGGUUGUUGUAGACACAUUCCUUUGGAAUUAGAAGGAUACCAUUAUCAUACUGAUUUGUUUGCAUUGCCUUUGAGAGGUUGUGACUUGAUGUUGGGAGUGCAAUAGUUGUCUACUAUGAGUCCGGUACAUUGGGAUUUUCAAUUGGUUACAAUGGAGUUUCAAGUGGGCAAAGACAAGUUUAAACUGUCACGUAGUAUACCAUCACAGCUUGCUGUCCAAGAAAUGUAAUUAUAGCAGCUCAAUAGGGAAUUCUAUCAUUCCAACUUGGGGGUCUUAUUGUAUUCAUUAGAGUCUAAACCAAAGGAUACUAACACACUAAGUGCCCAACAGAUGGAAGAGUUGCAGGCAGUCUUAAUGAGAUUUGAGGCAGUGUUUCAGAUUCCUUCACAAUUGCCUCCACAUAGGGCACAUGAUCACAAAAUCCCACUUCUCCAAGGUACUAAGCCUCCAAGCAUUGGGCCUUACCAUUAUGGCCCUGCACAGAAAGAUGAAAUUGAGAAAGCAAUACAGGAACUUCUCAGUUUAAGGUUCAUCGGGCCAAGUCAUAGUCCAUUCUCAUUCCCAGUGUUGUUGGUGAAGAAAAAGGAAUAGACAUGGAGGUUAUGCAGGGAUGAUAGAGAAUUAAACAGCUUCACAAUCAAGGAAAAGUAUCAUAUUCCACUGAUUGAUGAUCUUUUGGAUGAAUUAUAUAGAGCUAAAUAUUUUUCUAAGCUUGAUCUCAAGUCCGACUACCACCAAAUUCGAAUGCAUAAGGAUAACAUUGAAAAAACAGCUUUUAGAACUUAUGAGGGACAUUAUGAGUUCAUGGUUAUGCCAUUUGGCCUCACUAAUGCCCUUGCAACAUUUCAAAGCCUUAUGAAUGACAUCUUUAAGCCUCACUUAAGAAAGUUUAUCCUUGUGUUCUUUGAUGACAUUUUGAUCUAUAGUCAGUCUUGCGAGAAACACCUAGUGCAUUUGCAAAAAAAUUUUGGAAUUAUUACAACAAUAUCAACUGUUUGUCAAGAAACAAAAGUGUUCCUUUGGGCAACACCAAGUGGAAUACCUAGGCCACAUAGUAUCCAGUGAGGGAGCCUUUACAAAUUUUGCAAAAAAUCCAAGCAAUAUUGGAGUGGCAUGCUCCUAAGAAUGUGAAGGAAUUUAGGGGAUUUUUGGGUUUAAUAGACUACUAAAGAAAAUUUGUACCUAGUUAUGGCAAAAUCUGCCAGCCAUUGUACAAAAUCACUGGAAGUGAAGGGUUCAUUUGGACACAAGCAAUUGAGGCAGCCUUCCAGCAAUUAAAACAAGCCAUGACUUCACUCCAACUGCUAGCUUUACCCAACUUUGCAGAACCUUUUUAUAGUUGAGUGUGAAGUUUUUGGUUUAGGUAUUGGAGUUGUUUUGCAAUAACAUGGGGGACCUAUUGUUUUUGCUAGCCAAACUUUAGGUCCAUGAAACCAGGCAUCGUCAACAUAUGAAAGAGAGUUAAUUGCCAUAGUUUAUGUAGUUAAAAGUGGUAAAGUUACCUCCAAGGGCGCCAUUUCAUUAUCAAAACAGACCGCAACAGUCUGAAAUAUUUCUUGAGUUAAAGAACCAACACCCCAUUCCAACAAAAAUGGGUAUCCAAACUGUUGGGGUUUAAUUAUGAGGUGCAAUAUUGACAUGGCAAGGAAAAUAUUGUGGCAGAUGCUCUAUCUCGGCUUCUAGGUUCACCACUUCUCUCUGAGCUACCUUUGGAGAAGAAAAGAGAAUUACUAGCAGUCACUUAUCCAUAUUUCGGUUGGUUGGAUGACCUUAGGAGAGAUUUAGAACAAAGAUCAUUGCGUUAGAUAAAGAAGAAAGAAGUAGAGGCACAAGAUAAAGCUUCUGGAAUUAUUGUCGCUGCCUCUAAGUAUCACGUGGAUAAUGGCUUCUUGAAAUACAAGCAUAUGAUUGUCUUAGGGGUUUAUUAUACUUGGAGGAGAAAAGUUUUCGAGGAGCAUCACUCCACCCCCAUAGCAGGUCAUGACGUGGUAUUGAAGACUUACCAAAGACUGAAAAGAGGUUUUUAUUGAGUUUGGAUGAAAAAAAGACAUAAAACCUUGGGUGGUUGAAUGCAGGACUUGUCAACAGAAUAAGUAUGAAACAAUAUCACCACCUAGGUUAUUGCAGCCUCUUCCAAUACCAUAGCAAGCAUGGACAAAUAUAAGUAUAGAUUUCAUUUGUGGUUUGCCUUCAUGCAAGGGAAAAUUAAUGAUUUUGGUGGUGGUGGAUAUGCUUUCUAAGUAUGGGCAUUUCAUAGCCUUGGGACACCCAUACCCUGCUAAUAUAGUAGCACAAGAAUUUGUGGAAAACAUCUUUAAUUUGCAUGGCAUGCCACUGAGUGGCAUGGAUACCAUUUUCCUUAUGAGGGAGUUUUUUAAACUAUAAGGAUCGAAGUUAUGCAUGAGUUCGGGUUAUCACCCCCAAAGUGAUGGGCAGAUGGAGGUGGUCAAUAGAUGUUUAGAAACAUAUCUGAGAUGUUUUACUAGCUGCCAACCCAAGAAGUGGUUCAAAUGGCUUCCUUAGGCUAAUUGAAGCUAUAACACUUCAUUUCACAUUGCUUAUAAGUUCACACUUUCAAAAUUGUCUAUGGCUUUCCUCCUCCACACAUUGCCUAUUAUGAGCUUGGUUCUGCUAAAUUGGAGAACGUUGAACAAGGAUUGAUUGCAAGAGACAGGUUGUUGACUAUGCUUAAAACCAAUUUGACCAUUGCUUAAAACAAAAUGAAAGUGUAGGCUGAUAAACACAGGAGUGAGAGAACUUUUGAUGUGGGAGAUUUGGUCUACUUGAAGCUUAUUCCCUACCAGUUGCAGUCACUAGCAACUUAUGCCUUCCAUAAACUUCACCCUAAAUUCUAUGGCUCUUUUGAAGUAUUGGACAAAGUUGGUAGCUACCUGAGACUUUUAAGAUACAUCAUGUUUUCCAUGUCAGUUGCUUGAAGAAACAUGUGGGUCCUGAUGUUAAUCAUGUGCCACUGUUACCACUAAUGACUGAUGAUGGACUACAAGCUCAAGAACUAGCAGUAGUGCUACAAAGAAGGGUCAACAAGAAGAACAAUGCAGUUGUAUCCAGUAGAAGGACAAGAAUGCUGAUGAAUCCACCUGUGAAAAUUAUGAUGAGUUCACUGCAAAAUUUCCAGAAUUUAAGUAUUUAAACAACAACCUUGAGGACAAGGUUUAAUUGAAGGGCGGAGGCAAUGUUAUAUAUGUGAUUAUCUUAAUCAUAGCUUAGCAAUUAAAUAAGUAUUUUAAUUAAGUUGUUAAGAGAUUAGUUGACACGCCCCGAUCUCGAUAUUCCCCGAAUAUGUUGGCCGACACUCGAGGGUGACGAAAGCCAUUUGUUGAGUGCAAAUGCUGAGAAUAAGGAAUAGGUAAGACUUAUAAAUAUAAAAGAAUCAAGAAUAUGCAUUUAAGGAACGUGUUCAGAGCAUACGACUAACUAGAACACCGAAAGAAAUAAUAUAAAAUUGAAUGAAACAAAGGAUGAAUCUUACACCGAGAGGACUCGAAGAUACUAAUGCGGAAGUGCCUGGAUGUUGGGAUUUUAUGCAUUGAUUCUAAGUUCUGAAGGGGGCGCAAAACAAACAUGAGUGGACCAAGUUGAUAUAUAUAUAUAUAGUAUAACAAUUAUCAACAUACUAACCCCUAGGUUUUAUAAAAACACAUAUAUAAUGAUAAACAUGUUUUCCGAACCUAGCAUGUUGUGCAAUGUCUCAGAUCAUAACUUGUAUAUAUAAUAAUCACUGGUGAAUGUCCGAUAAUCCCCAGGCCCUAUGCCAACUCCCCUUCUCUGAGCAGACAGUCAGAGGAAAAUACACUUUAGGCCCCAUGCCGGCUCCCCGUUCCUGUGCUAAUAGCCAGAGGAAACACACUCCAGGCCUUAUGCCAACACCAAACCGUCGCCUGUGACGAACCAGGAUCUAUCCCUACGUCCCGUAGCGGAAAGGACCACUAGGUAAGUACAAAACUAUUGAACAUAUAUAUAUUGAAAAGCAACUUCAUAAUAUAAAGUCAUCCAUCAUCUAUACUAUAAAAAGGUGUUCGAAACAUGUUAUAAAUAUCAUAUCGUCAUCCAUCGGAUAUUCUAUAAGAACAUGAGUUAUAGAAAAAAUAGUAAUAAUUCAAACUAGCCUCAGUAAGCAUGUUAUCUCACAAAACGAUUCAUAAAACGUAAUCAUUAAAUCAUGCUUUUCAUGUAUGCAUUUAUAUUAUUAAAGCAUGCAUUUUUAGAAGGGGUCCACUCACAGUACUUCGCGGUCGAAUAGCCACGCAACUAGCAAAGACAGAAACACCACUAUAAUUGCAAUUGAAUUUGGGAAAACGAAUAUUGGAAACGAAUUCAGAACGUCGAAUUACCCUAAGAAGGGUCCCGAAUAAAUUUCGUAAACGUCAAUAGAAUAUUUCCUAAUAGAAUAUUCCCUAACAGAAUAUUCUCCAUAAAGGGUUUUGGGUCGACUAGGGUUUAGGGUUAGGACUUGGGUUAGGUUUAGGUUAAUGGGUUAGGGAAUUAGGUUGAUAAAAGGCCUAGGGUAAAUAAUUGGGUUUAGGGUUUUUAAACUAAAAGGGUUUAUUGGGUUAGAGCCCUAGGUUUUAGAGCUUAAAGAGGAAAGGGCUUGAAGCCCUGGUUCAAAAGGCCCAAAGGCUUUUAGCCUAAGGGUUUCUGGGUUCAACAAGGGAACGGGCCGAAGGCCCUAAUUUAAACACAGCCCAAAGGCCUUUAUAAUUAAACAAUUAAAAUGAAAACAAAAUAAAAGGAAAAAGGGUUUGGGUUGGGCUCGGAUCUAAUGGGCCUAAAGCGCCAGUUCUAAAUGGCCUAAAAGGCCUGGGUUUUCUGGAAUGUGGGUCACCGGACCCAUUCGAAAGAGAAGGCCGGAUUCGGCUGGAAUUUACACAAACUUUAAACGGCCAUAACUUUGUCAAUACUUAACAAAAUCAAGUGAUUCAAAAAUGGAAAUCAUAGCCCUCGAAGAGAAGAAGAGAAUGGUAUCUUACACAACGUCUAAAUCGCCGUGGUUUGACCGGAAAAUGCCUCGAAAGCUUCGGAGGUCGCCAUAAACUGGGUAAGAUUCAAAUGAGUAUAACCUCUUCAAUACUCAACGAAAUUGGGUGAAAUAAAAAGGAAAGUUGAAGUACUCAGCCAGACGAAGAGAUUGAUACCUUACACGCUGGCCAAAUCACCAUGGUUUAGCCGGAAAUUGCCUCGAAAGUCGCCGGAGUUGUCGGGGGAGACUUGGGUGUCCCGGAGCUUCACCGAGACGGAGGAGAGAGAAGAAAGUUCCAGAGGUGAUGGUGGUGUCGUAGCUAGGUGGUUGUGGUGGUGGGUGUGUGUGUGGGUUUGACGAUGAGGAUGGAAGAGUGAGGUCGAGAGAGAGGGAGAGUGAGAGAAAGAAGAGGGCUGAGAAAGAUGGAAGAGUGAUGGGAAUGGGGGACACAAAACAGAAGGUGGGCCCCUUGGGCACACCAAUUAAGAAUUAAAAACCAUUUUAAAAGCAAGAUAAUCUUAAACUUAGUGAAAAUACAAUUUAAAUUAAGGAUGGAUGUAACAUUAGUUAUGUCAGCUGGCUUUAAGUGUUUGGGGAACAAUAUAUGUAGCCAAUUGUGAAAGAAAAUGAGUAACGAUUAUAUUCAGAAAAGAAAUAUAUUACAAAAACAUCUAUAUAUCUCUCUCUAGCUCCUCUUCCUUGCUAUUAUGCCAUUGCCAUUGUUGCUUGUAGGUUAAGUUAGGAAAUCUGAGAUUUGGUGCAUAUCACUAUGGCAGAGUUUUGGGGUUCAGAGGAUUUGAUGGGGUUGGGAAAUGAAGUAAGAAGGUGAGGGUGAAGAGGACGAAUCUGGAGGUGGGUUUUGGUCUGGGCAUGGUUUUGGGGAUUCUACUAAGGGAAAUGGGGUUUUGGGGAUUCUACUAAGGGAAAUGGGGUUUUGGGAAAUGGAGGAGUAGGAGGGUGCGCGGAAGUGGGGGGAGGGGGAAGACAAAUUUUUUUUUAAAAUUAAUUAAUUUUUUAAAUAUCCACAUGGACUUAUAUUGACACGUGGUGUCCUGUCAUUGUUCAUGUGGGUGCCACGUCAUCAGUUAACUAAAAUUUUGAUGGAAAACUUAACAGAUGUAUGAAAGUAUCCCAGAAUUAGGAUUUUAGGUACCAGACUAGGACGAAAAAAACUUGAUGUAUGAAAGGUUGAAAAUCAAGAAACUUCAUAGUAGUAAACUGAGAUUACCCCAAACAAAAAUUACAUCACAUGAUUCAAAUCUUCAUCUUUGUAUGGCUGUCUGUGAAAAAAAUAUUACAAGGUACUUUUAAAAUUUUUGUUUAUGUUUCUCAAUAUGAAGUUUCCCACCAAAUAAACCGAUUAUAAGCAUUUGUUUUACUAAAUACAAGAAGGUUUGUAGAUUGAAGGUAUAAAAGAGCCAAACAAAGAGUAUAAAGAAAAAGGAAGGCAGACAUCUGCAAUUGGUUGAAGAAUGGUGAUUCUCUAUAACCGGUUAAUUCGCUCUUCAAUUGGUGCUUAAUUGCAGAAUUUGUGUUCGUCCCUUUGGUGCUUUUCAGGUAUCUGUGUGUUUGCUUAUUAUAAAUGGUGAGUUUCUCAACUUCUGUAUGGAUUUCCUCUUUCAAUUGGUGCUAAAUUUUCGAUAUGAGAAUAUUUAUUGGUAAUUUGUGUUUGCAGAUUGCCUCUUUCAACUAACCAUGUCUGUUUUCUCUAAUCCACUUAAUCUCUGCCUAACCAUCUUUGUUUCUCAUAUUUGUACAAUAUUUACAAAUUAUAUGGAAUUCCCCGUCUGCACCAGUUCCAUGCACCCAAUCGAUCAGGUCAUUUUUCUCUAACCUUUUCCUAAUUUGAAUUUUAAUGAUGUGGGGUUUUGUUUAUGUAUUGGAAAUUUGUUGCUUGCAUUUUUUAAAGUUAUCUAUAUUUGUCGUUUUAUUCUAUUGGCAAUUUGUUGUUUGAUUGGUUUUGUUGUUUUCCUCCACAUUUUGACUUAUAUACGUUGUUCUACCAAUUUUAUUUGGGUGCUAAACUGCCUCUGUUUACCAAGGUUAUUUUACUUUUAGUUAGAUUUUUCUGCAAUUUUCGUCUGAUGAUGCUUUCAAUUCUCCUCUUAUCUCAAGCUACAUUAGUUUGAAUAUAUGCGUUUUAAAUCUUCCUUUUUAUCUAGACUAAUGGUUAAUGGUUAUUUAUUUUUAUCAAUCUUUUCUUGCAGGAAGGGAAAAGGUGAACGCUUCAUGCAUGAAUUUUCACUGCGUUUCACACACAAAUGUGACUACAAAACCAGAGGGCUGCUUAAAUAUUAGUCACCACUAAGUUAAAAGGCCAUCAUUGUUUCUUUGUUCCUGCACCGUACACAUGCAUGCAUAUGUAUGUUUUUUUAUUUAUUUAAGCUUUUCAAUUCUUUUAUCAAACAUCUAUAACAAUAUUUGGAAGUUAUAUCGAUUUUUUUUUCUUAAAUGCUAUAUAUAAUUGGUUUUUGAGGGAUUUCUUAAUUAAUUUGGUUAGCGUCAGGAAACAGUAGUUUUUGGAAGUUAUGGCUGCCCAAUCCAGUUUUGUAUUUUCAAUGUCUUAAUCAUUUUUCUUUUAUAGCACUUUGUUUUGGUUUGUAAAUGAACUAUAUACUUUAUCUUGGGUCACAGUAUAACGUUUAAUGAUUAAAUUUGUAAGACGGUUUAGCACUUUUUUUUUCUUUUUUUCUUUUCUAGAAAGUUACUAUUCCUGCUAGAUGCUCAAGUAUUAUGUCUUUUACUCUUCUACUUUCUCUUUUCUGUAUCUUCCCCCAUGUAGUAUGCUGAUUACUUGAAACUAUAAGUAUAAUACUGAUGACGCAGUACGAUCUACAAAUCAAAUGGUUUCUUAUAGGAUGCAUAUCCAUAUAUAGAAAGCAAAGUUUUAAAAGUUUCACUUCAUUGGUUCUUAGGUACUACAUCGUGAAGGAUUCAAUUCGUCCUCGAAUUGUACUUUGUUUUCCACUUCAAUGCAUUUGAAUAUUUAGCUUUGUCCGUAAUUUGCUCAGGUAAACUUUGUCUAUUAGGGUUACUAGGUGUUGUUAUCCAGAUUUUGUAUAUUUCUCUGGAAAUGAUUCAUAGUUGUUGUGGAUUAUCGUUUCAAAACACGCAGCAGAGUGCGGGCAGUUUUUCUAGUACUCGUACUAAGAAUUUGGUCUAUUAUUUUAAUUAGGUUUAUUAUUUAUUGUAUAACAUACAAAAAUAUCAUAAUUUUUUCUUUAGUAUUUUAGUGAAUUUGAUGGUAUGAAUAUGAGAUAAAAGUUCAAGUGAUUACAAGUUCGUAGUCCUUUACGAAAUACUUUUAAGAGAUCGUAUGAAUUUAUAGUGAAUUUUAAGAGAAAUAAAGUUAUUAAAUAUGUGAUAUAAAAAAAGUAUUAUUUGAAUAAUACAUCAUUCUUUUAUUAAUUAAAGUGACACAACUUGAUUGGACAACAAUUAAAAAAAACACUAGUACACAAAUACCUUUCCACACACAUAGGAUGUGUGUUUAUUGCUUUAAUACAGACCAAUUGAAGUUAAAUUAAGGAGUAAUUAGGUUUUCAUCCUUAUUUUUACUACUCUAUUGAUUAAAACCUUAUUACUUUUCAAUUUUUGAUCAAGGUCCUUUGUAUUAAUAAUAUCAUUAAUUAUUUCAAUAAUAAAAUAUUUUUUAUUUCUAAAUAUAUUCAUUUAAUAUUAAAAAUGUUACAAUUAGUAUAUUUAUACUUAUGGCUAAAUUUUUUAUCAUAUAUUUUUAUUUUUAGUUUGUACCCAUUUUUAAUUUGCAACCCUUUUUUAAUUUGUACCAAUUUUCCUUUCAGUUUUAAUUUGUACCCAUAUAUUAAAUUCUUUUUGUGCCCAUAUUUUUUUAAAGUUUUAUUUGUAUUGUACCCAUAUUUUUUUAUUUAUUUGUACCCAUUUUUAUUUUUGCUAAAUGUACCCAUUUUGAAGAAUGUACCCAUGUUUUGAUACAAUAAUUUUUUGGUUAUUUUUAUGAAUGUACCCAUGUUUACACACACACACACACAAUAGUAUAUUUAUAUUUUAAUAUUUUUAAUCCCACAAAUUAUGGUUUUUUAUUUAAAAUCUCAUUACUAUAAACAACUAUAAAUUUUUAAUUUUUAAUUUAAAAAAUAUAGUAACGUACAUAGAAAUAAAUUAUCAAUUAAUUUCAGGGACUUGGAUCAAAAAUUGAAAACCAAUAAGGUUUCAGUCAAAGAUUGUUCAUAAUUAGGGACCGCAUCCAAAGUCUCCCUUAAAUUAAAAACAAGAAACAGGAAUGAAACUAGUGAUAAAAUGAUAUUAUCACUUUCACAAGGAACACGACGCAUGUAUACUGUAGCACAAGGAAUAAGUUUUUAAACCCAUAGGUGACCUUAAUAAGAAGAGUGAAGUUUCGUGAGAGUUUCUAAAGACAUUACCCACAGACACCAAAUGAUAAUGAUGAAUCAUUAUCAUGGAAGGCUGCGGAUGGCUGUGUAGACAUCCCACUUCAUGGGAGUCAUGUUUUUCGUCGCUGAGGCUUAAUUCGAAUCUAUUCUCGACGAAUGGCCUUGUGUAGAGGCCGCUUUGCACGUGGCGCCAUCGGCAUAGCAUGUUGUGGUUUUUGCUGGCCUGUCCGACACGCUCAGGCUUGAACAACGUGCAACCCCAACUUUUUGUGCUUUCGUCUCGUCGGUCAGCCACUGCCAUGAUCAAUUGCUUGUCUACGUCCAUCCUUCCGUUGAUAUUUCUUGAGGGUUAAACCCCAUGCCGCAAUGUUUUGGGCCUCCUUACUGUUUUUCACUUAUUUUUUAGAUUUCGGCUGAAAUAUUCUAUUGUGAACAUAUUUGUGGUUCAAUAAUUGGUAGAAUCACUUCCAAAUGUUUUAUAAAGAUUUCUUAAUUUCAUAGAAAAUAUUUUGUGAAAAUAAAAUAUUUACUUUUUUCACAAAAAAACUGUCGGUGUCAUGUUUUUAAGUCGGUUUUGUAAACACGCAUAAAAAUCAUCAUUAAAUCUAUUUGUUUUCACUUUCACCUCACUGUGAGGUAUUUAAAAUUAAUGUAUGACUUUUUUUCGAUAUUCUUGAGUAUAUGCCCCUGUUUAGCCAAUGAUUUGGACCUCACUACAAUUUUUUUCAUUUAUUUUUAGUUUUUGGCUCAAAUAUUUUAAAACUAAAUUUGUGGCUUAAAAUUUGGUAGAAUCCCUUCCAAAUGCCUUAUAAAUAUUUUAUUCAUGCUAACGGAAAAUAUUUUGCGAAAAUAAAAUAUUUGCAUUUCUCACAAAAACGUGGGUGCUCACAGUUUUUAGUUGGUUUUGCAAAUUUGUAAAAAAAAAAAAAAAAAUCAUCAUUAAAUCUAUCUGUUUUCACCUUCACCUCACCAUGAUGUUUCUAAAAUUAACGUAUGACUUUUCAUUAAUAUUCUUGAGUAUAGACCCUGUUUAGGCAAUGACUUUUCGGUUUCGGCUUAAUUAAAUCUUCUAUUAGAAAUACACUUGUGACUCAGUAAUUGGUAGAUCUACUUUUAGAUACUUUAUAAAGAUUUUCUUCAUGUUCAUGUAAAAUAUUUUGUGAAAUUAGAAAAUUUGCACUGUUCACAAAAAACGUGGGUUAACACUCAUAGUUUUUAGUCGGUUUUGCAAAUUGUACAAAAAUUAUUAUUAAAUCUAUUUGUUUCAACCUUCGCCUCACCGUGAUGUUUUUAAAACUGACGCAACACUUUCCAUUAAUAUUUUUAAGUUUGAAAUCCCAUGUUAGCAAUGUUUUGAACCUCACUACUAUAAUUUCAGUUAAUUAUUAGUAUUUGGCUUAAAUAUUUUGUUAGAAAUACAUUUGUGAUUUGGCAUGGCUAUUUAAUUUAUUUAAAAUAGGGUGAAAUGAACAACUGGUUAUUGAUUUGGAAAUUGGGAGAGAGCACAAUCUGUUCGGUAUUAUAUAUAGACAGCAAAGAAAGCAUGAGAACUGGGCAUAUCAGUAAACUGUGCGGCAGUGAGCCCAGUUUUUAUUUAUCUUUUGAGAAUCAUAAAAAUUUAUAAAUCAUAGAACAGAAUGACAAAGGAAUUAUAUUUUUGGAAAAAAAAGAAUUAUCCUUUUUCUUUUAUCUUGAAUUGUUAUUAUACAAACGAAGAAAUUAUUGUAUUCUAAAACAAGGUUAAUCCUACGGUUAAGAGGUUGAAACUCUUGUUUUAUCUCUUAGGUUUUUGAGUAAUACAGGCCGGCAAGAUUCAAGUAGCAGAACUGGAUUCUCCAGUUCAAUGCAAUCUCACCGGCACUUUAGCCUUGACUGGAAAGGUCUCAGAGCAUUGUGUUCUCCACUUUUAGCGGAUAUGUAAAUAAGAUAUCUGGGGUUCUUCAUUCUAUCCAUUAUGUUCUCCACUUUUGGGCAAAGCAAGAAAUUCUAAACUAGUGGAGUUUUAAACAUGCAGAGUAGUUAGACAUAAGAAUUACCAAUGUUUAUUAUUACUGCAACAAACACACGAUUACACUAUGAAUGCUAGUGAAUCAUGCACAUGCAAAUGACCUGUCUACACACAGAGAUACGGCAUGACAUUAUUAUUGCUAUAAACACACGGAUUACAGUGAAAUUCAAAAACCAAAAACAAGGAAAAAAGUAGUAAUGAAAACAAAUGCCACUUUCACGGGGAACACGAUUGCAUUCAAGCACAUGCAACAAGCCUUUUAAACCCAUAGGUGACCCAAAUGGGACGAGUGAAGUCUCGUGAGGGUUUCCAGAGACGUUACCCACAAACAUCAUGCGUAAUGAUAAUUAACAUUUACCGCAAGUGACUGAGUAAAUAUCCACACCUCCAGAGUCAGGUAUUUUUUUGUUGAGGCGUAAUUCAAAUCUGUUUUCAAUGAACGGCCUUGUUACAAGGUCACUUUGCAAGUGGCGUAAUCGGCAGCGUGUGAUUAGGUUGUUGCCGUCAGGUGGUCCGACAGGCUCGACCUUGAACAAUGUGCAAGCCCAAUUGUCCUUGGUUUCAUUUCGGUCGGCAGCAGCGGCCAGGACCAAUAGCCUGUUUUGGUCAACCCUUCUUAAGUAGUUGCCGUUGUAGGAGCAUUUGAUAUGCACAUAAUUCUUAUCGGCAUAGUCCUCAUUGUUUGGCUUCUCGGUGGUGAACUUUAUGAAUCGGCUGUUAGGAUUGUCUUCAGAAAACUGGACAAUCUCAUUAAGAUCGCUUUCUGCAUCAAGUUGAUAGCGCAAGUAUUUGUUGUUGGUCUCUGCUUUUAGCAGAAAGGGGCUUGGCAGUACAGGUGGAGCCAUGUUGUAUACUAUGGUUGGGAUUGGGAUGAUCUCUCUUCUUUUUUUUCUCCUCUCUUGAUGAUUUAAUUUGCUUUCUGUGAGUGAUCCUUGCUCAAAACAUGCUAUCCUAUUUAUAAGAAAUUAAGCACAAGCUAGCUCAAAGUUAUGGUCUUUAAUUAAUAUUUAUUUCCUCAAUCUCAUUUUCCCAUCUCUUUCAUAUCCAUGUGAACAUGGAUGAUCUCAUUGGUCUGACGCAAGAUUUAUUAAAAUAGCUGUCUGAUUGAUUUGUUUGUAUCUUUUUUAACCUCUUCUGCUAAUUCUGCUACUUGUGAAUAUAAUUCUCAUUAUAAUUUUUUUUUUAAAAGCCAAAAUUCAUAUAAGAGAAAUAAAGAUUUUUUAUAGCAUAUAAAUUAAGACUUUCAAACUUGUAUCCCAUCUGUACAAGAUUAUAAUUACAUGUUCGAACAUACUGAUGGGUGUAUCUUUUUCUUCAAUAUCUUCUAAGUGAGGAUAAAAUGAACGAUUGUCAACUUUCAUAAACCACGUAGCUAUAGGUGUGGAGUCCGUUGUUAAAAAUUUUGUUUGUAGGAUGUGUGUGUGUAGUUAAAAUGAGGAGUAAAAGCAUAUGGCUAUAGGUUUGGAUCACAAGAUGUGUUACCAAUAGAUAUAAUAAGCUCGUUAAUCACCAUUUAACUAGUAAGCCAAUCAUCAACAUCCAUAUUAUUUGAUUUACAAAAUUAAAUUUAAAAUUUUGAUCUUCCUAACAUUACCCUUAAAAUUUUGUAACAAAUUCUCGUGGUCUUCAUGAAAAAUAGAUAUAGAGGACGGAAGUACAAUUAAACUAGCAACUGUCGAACUUUCAACAAGCAAAUUGAUGUAGGUAUGGGAUCGUUAUUGGGAAUUUUGGGUAGCAAGUGUGUUAUGAUUAAGAUUAUAGAAAAAGACUUAACAAUGUGAAUUCAAAGACUUGUUAUAGAAUUGUUGUUCUCUAGUACAAGAGAGUAAACCAAUUCCCCGACACCCUUAUGGGUAAGCUCUCUAGUGCGAGAGGGUAAACCAAUUCCCCGACACCCAUCUGGGUCCACUCUCCAGUGCGAAAGGAUAAACUAAUUGCUUUACAGUGCUAGAGGGUAAACCAAUUCCCCGAAACCCAUUUAGGUAAGCUCUCCAGUGCAAGAGGAUAAACUAAUUGCUCACCAGUGCGAAACGGUAAACUAAUUCCCCGACACCUAUCUGGGUAAGCUCUCUAGUGCGAGAGGAUAAACUAAUUCUUUGACACCCAUUUGGGUCCACUCUUCAGCGGAAUGUGCAAAAUUGCCCAUGAAUUUCCACACAACUACUCAUUUUGAUGUGAUUAGUUAACGAUUUUCAUAUUCCACAGAUCUUUAUCAUGUUGUGGUGCAGGUCACACAGUUCAAAUAAUCGAAUACUCGAAGACUAGCUAAGCAGCAAAUGGUCAAAGGGUAGAAGCAGACGACGAACUCAACAGCUCGACGCCUAAUAAGCCAAAACUCACGACCAUAGUGACUUUUUGGGAUCGUUAGCCUUUUUCAAAGCAGUGUGCCCAACCAACGGUUCUAUGGCUAAAAACUUUGCAAGAUGCUUCAAGCAAGCAAAGUUUCAAGAAAAACGAAGCUGGAGUAAAGCAAAGAAAGCAGUUAUUUCUAGCAACUUGAUAAACUUAUACGAAGGUCGUCAAAAUCCGACACAAUCUAAACCAAUGUUCUAAAAGACGUUAGGUGCUAGUCGGGUGGCGAGCUGGGGCCUAGCACCUAGGCGGACUAGGCCGAUUGAGGUAAAUCUAUUGUAUUUCGUGUAAAUAAGUGUCUAUUUAUACCUAAAAAUAUAUAUAUAUAAUUUCUUCAUAAACUAGAAAAUAGACUGACAUAUAUAUUAUGAAGUAUUGGAACAUAAUGAAAACAUGGAGAGCAAACAUAUAAUGUGUGUUUAUUUAAGUGUUCAAUGAGUCUCUUACAAUUUAUUGGAAACAAUAAAAUGCAAAAGAAAAGUUAUCUAUUUUCUAUCUAAGUGAGUUGCAACCUAGGCAUGUGUCUAGUCAGGUCUCGGCAGUUAGAUGGGUGCCUAGACGGUCUAAGCGCAAUUUCUUAAUUUUCAAAUGUUUAGGCAUUAAUCGGGGCGGUAGUCAACCGCCUAGCGCCUAGGUGGAGCCUAGGCGCUAGGCGGGGAUUUUUAGAACAGUGAUCUAAACAGAGUAUACUACUUAUUUAGCAGCUUGGAUGACAUUAGGCCCUCCAGCAGCCAUCCUGCCCUUAACAGCCACUUCACAUUCAGCAGUUUACUCAUUCAACAUUUCAUCUUCAGAAAUUCUGAUCUUGGCAGCUCCGUUCUCGAUUGCUCUAUCUACAACAGCUGAGAAAUCAAACUCAAGCAAUUUCCUCAUUCUUAGCAAACAGUCCAAACCGUGGCCCAUGCCACGACAUUUCCUCGACCCAUUCCGAGCUAACCUUUGGCUCCAGCCAAGUUGUGGCCCUUGCCACACCACCUCAUCGACUCAUGCCGAGCUAACUUCUGGCCCUUGCUAGCCAACGUGUCUCACUACCCUGACGACUGCCCCGCAGCAGCACCACCCAAGAAGAAGACAAAGAAAAUUAAGUUUUUCUUACCUUGGUGCGGCGUGGAAAAGACAAAAAAAAUCAAUGGAAAACCGUUCUUUGCACGGACAAGGGAAGAAGAAUGCUAGGGGAGGGGGAACAAAUAUCCUCUAGCUUUCUCUCUUUCUUGUAGGGAUAAAUAAUCGUCCUCCGAGGUUGAUUUAAUCCCUUCCUUAAGGUAGGCUUAAAUAGGCUUUGGUGGUCAUUUAUUUCCCUUUCCUAGAAGAAUCUAACUCCAAGUCCAAGUGGGAAUCUAUAUCAAAGUUCGAGAUCUCUACACCUACUGCCCUUUCCUACUAGCAGCCCAGCAGGUGUAGGGGUAUUUGUGGAGCAAAAAAUAAUCAAGAAAAUUAUGGAGGUCACAUGUGGACUUUUGGGUUAAAAGGACAAAAUUACCCUUGAGGCACACCGGGAUUCUCACGCGCAUGCAACAGACAAUAACGACUCAAUCAAGGAAGAGUCAAAGGUGAUCAAAAUGGUAUUUAUUCAAAUCUCUCUCAUCAAAUCCUUAUUCAAAAGGUAACUCCCAAAUUUCCUAUUUAAUUUAGGAUUAAUUAUUCACAUAAUAUCUUGCAAUUAUUCUCCAAUUACACCAUAUAUGGCCGGCCAUUAGUCUACAAAUAGGGCCGGCCACUCCCCUAUAAAUAGCCCUAUUAUCCCACUAAAAAGGAAAGCCAUUUGCUACCCACAAACUCCUAAACACAUUCUUUUCAGAAUUCUAACUUUGACAUAAAAAAUUCUUUGGCCAAAGCCCCCCCUCCCAUUCAUCAUGGGCGCAUGAGACUCUUGACCUUAAUCUUAGAUGUUAUUAUUUUGCAGGUGCAUUUUCGUCAAAUGAGAAGAUGACGGAAAUUUGCAUGCACACUCCCUAUAUUGUCAAUUGGUUUUGUAGUGGAACCUCAACUUUCUUUAUGGUAUUCCUUUGUCAAAAAAAAAAAAACUUUCUUUAUGGUAUACGCACCACGUCGCCCCAUAGUGUUGUCCACGCAUCACUCGUGAAUAUAACUCUCAUUCUAAAAUAAAAAGCUAAAACUAAUAUAAUAAAGAAGUUUUAUUUUAAAAUUUUCAAACUCUCCCUCAAAUUAUUAUAAUAAUUUUGAACUCUCCACUCUCCGCCUAAUAAUAGUUCAAUUAAAAAAAGAAAGACUUUUUUUAAAAAAUAAAAUAUAGACAUAGAAUAUGAGAGAAUAGAGAAAAACAAAAUAGUGAUUAGAAGAAGAAAAUCUAAGUGUCUUCCUUUUUAUUAGAGUGCCUAUUUAUAGGCUUAAAAUUUACAUGAAAAUAUUUUAACUAAUUACAUAUUACAUAUUGACCGAUAAGCCAAAUUAAAAUCACACUAAUAAAAUGUUGCACUCCACCUGUAUAUGUCAAACUUGUACAAGUUUCUAAACGGGUGAAACACUAACAGAUUGGGUGUGCCUUUCCCUUCAAUUUCUUUUCUUUAAUGAAUUACGGUUAAAUGACAGAUUUGAUUGUCAACUAGCAUAGUACCUAUAUGGGAGCAUUUUUGCUCACCAACAUAAACUAUGAUGUAUGCUCACCAUACGCCUAAUCAAUUGACAUGUGUCAUUUCACUUAACUCGAGUUAACUUUCACAUUAAAUGUUAGUUUUUCAAUUUUGAAAAAAAAUUAACCAAGAUUAAGUGAAAUGACACGUGUCAAUUAAUUAGGUGUAUGGUGAGCAUACACUAUAGUUUAUGGUAGUGAGCAAAAAUGCUCUCGUACAUAUAUAUAGGUGUGGAGUCUUUUGUUAUAAUUAUGGAUUUAAUGUCAAGUCCAUCAAGGGAUUGGUCUCUAGAAGAACUAGAUUUAGAGACCGAAAGUGCAACUAAAUGAGAAAUAUAUUGUAGUCUUUCACAAAGGACAUGGAUACAUAUGUGGAGUCUUUGAUUAAAAAUAUUUGUAAAAUGACAGCGUAUGUCUAUAGGCGUGGAGUCUUUUGUUAGCAAUUAAAAGUUUUGUAACAUGUAAUUGACUUGGUUUCUUGAGAGCUACAUCUAAAGGAUGGGAGUAUAAUUAAAUAGGGACUUGUAAUAUAUAUAUGUUAUGGUCCUUAAUUAACAUUUAUUUCCUCAAUCUCAGUUUCCUAUCUCUUUCCUAUCCAUGUGAACAUGUAUGAUCUCAUUGGUGUGACGCAAGAUUUGUUAAAAUAGCUGUCUAAUUGAUUUGUUAAUUUGUAUCUUUUUUAACCUCUUCUGCUAAUUCUGUGAAUAUAAUUCUCAUUAUAUAAUUAAAAAAAAGCCAAAAUUCAUAUAAGAGAAAUAAAGACUUUUUAUAGCAUAUACAUUAAGACUUUCAAACUUGUAUCCCAUCUAUAAAAGAUUAUAAUUACAUGUUUGAACACACUGACGGGUGUUUCUUUUUCUUCAAUAUCUUCUAAGUGCGGGUAAAAUGAGCGAUUGUCAACUUUCAUAAACCACAUAGCUAUAGGUGUGGAAUCCUUUGUUAAAAAUUUUGUUUGUAGGAUGUGAGUGUGUAGUUAAAAUGAGGAGUAAAAGCAUAUGGCUAUAGGUGUGAUAUUAAAGUUUGGAUAAUGUUACUUUCAAACUAAAUUUGCAAAUUACAAGAUGUGUCACCAAUAGGUGAUAAACAUGUUAAUCAGCACUUAACUAGUAAUCCAAUUAUCAAUAUCCACAUUAUUUGGUUUACAAAAUUUAAUUUAAAAUUUUGAUCUUCCUAACAUUACCCUUAAAAUUUUGUAACGAAUUCUUGUGGUCUCCAUAAAAAUAGUUAUCAAGGACGUAAGUACAAUUCAAUUAGCAACCGUCAACUUUCCACAAGCAAAUUGAUGUAGGUAUGGGAUCGUGUAUUAGGAAUUUUGAGUAGCAUGUGUGUUAUGGUUAAGAUUAUAAAACGACUUAAACAUGUGAAUUCGAAGACUUGUUAUAGAAUUCAAAUUUUUGUAACGUAUGUGAAACCACAUUGUAAAAAGUCUUUGUUUUUAUUUUUUUAAUUGAACUCAAGCCAUAUCGUAUGGAAUACAGGGUUAAAAUUUCUUGGUCACCCUGUGAUGGUUGUAAAAAGUCUUUAUUGGUAAUUCAAAUUUUAUUAGAAUUAAAAAUUAUAAGAUUCCCUGUACACUAUUUACUUAAUAUUAAGUAGAAUGACUUUUUAUAGCAUAUAAAACAAGGCUUCUUUUUCACAAAAAUAUAAGGAUGGUAUGUAUUACUCUAAACCAUUUCAUUAUAGACUUAAUACGAUAAUAAUAAAAAAAAAGAUUUUUUUUCCAAUGGUUAGGUGGAGUUUUGAGGGGAGACGGAAUGGGGUGAGGCCCUGGGGAGCCUCAAAAUUGUGUGAGGGCUAAGGGUACUUAAUUUCCACUAUUGCGCGCCCUCCCUAAAGGUUUAGGAGAAAGGGGUGGCCGGGGAGGGAAGAGGAUCCGGUCCGGAUCUCUCCCAUCAAAGGCAGGCCUAGGAUUAAGUGAUCUGGAUAGUUGAAAUUUGAUCAAACGGUUGCAAUUAUUAUAACUUUUAGGGAGAUUCUUUGUUUGAAACCGUUGAAUCAAAUUUCAAUAACCCAGUUCACUUGAUACUGGACCUUUUAUGGAAGAGAUCCGAACCGGAUCCUCUUCCACCGGGGAGUUCAUAUGUGGGUAAGGAUAGGGCCCAAAGGUGCUUAACUUUCACCAUGGUACUAGCCCUCCAUAAUAAAAAAUACUUUAAAUACUGUAACUUUUAUUACCUGCCAACCGCUGUGUAUUUUGCUUCUUCGACAUAUUCUGUUCCAUCAGUAGCCUUUUCGGAGGAAGGUUUUGUAUUUGAAACAUAACUCAUCUGUACCAUAUUAUAGCUAGUUACACGAACAAAUCGACAGAUUGGGUAUGCCUUUGCCUUCAAUUUAAUCUCUUUUAGGAAGUGCUAUUAAUUGACCAAUUGCCAACUUUCAUAAAGCACAUGACGAGGGAUAAAACAUAUGGCUAUAAGUGUGAGGUCUUUUGUUAGAAAUUAAAAUUUUGGUAACAUGUGAAUUCAUUUGGUCCAUGAGAAAUAUUGAUUGAAUAUAUGCUGUGUAUUGCAUCUUCCACAUCUAAAUGACCAAGACUCCUUCAUGGAAGAUAUUGAUUCAUAUACACUAACACUGAUUUUGUUUUAAAUUUACUUAGAAACCUGUUAUUUGGGAAUUGGAUUCGUCAAAGUGUGGAAGGAUUAUAAUUAAUAGCUCAGGUUGUUGUAGUGGUCAAAUGUCUUGGUCUUGGUGUAUAGUUGUACUCGCUUAAUCUUCUAUAGAAGCAUUUUUGCUCACCACUAUAAACUAUAAUGUAUGCUCACCAUUAUAAAUUAUAGUGUAUACUUACCACCUUAUUUAUUACCGUUAGAUGAGUUUAAAUCUCGAGAUUUAUGUAGUGAAUAGGUACAAAUCUCAAAAUUAAAACUUAUCUAACAGUGAUAAAUAAGGUGAUGAGCAUAAAGACGCUUUGAACUUCGCUAGAGGGUAGGUGAUGGUGAGUCCAUUUUUCUUAUCCUUGGCUACCGUUAUUUUCAAACUUUUAAGUUUCUUCCCCUCCCAACAAAAUUUAAAUACUAUCACUUUCGUUACUUGCCAACUAUUGUGUAUUGCCUCUUCAACAUUAUUGUGUUCCAGUUGUAGCCUUGUUUAUAGGAAGGUUUUACUUUAGAUGAGAAAUGUUGUAGUCUUUCACAAAGCACAUGGUUAUGGAUGUGAAGUCUUUGAUUAAAAAUAGUUGUAACAUGACAACAUAUGACUAUAGGCGUGGAGUCUUUUGUUAGCAAUGAAAAGUUAUGUAACAUGUAAUUGACUUCGUUUCAUAAGAGCUACAUCUAGAGGAUGGGGGUAUAAUUAAAAGGGCACUUGUAAUAUAUAUGUUAACCUACAUCAAUGUCUUAAGUUUUAGGCGAUAGAAUUUGGGAGGUUUGCAUGAAACAAAAUGGACUUCAACAUAAUAGACAAUGACAACUUCACGAAACUAAUAGCCUCUAUAACGAGGAAAUGACAUAUAAAAAAAAAGCAAAGAAAUACAUUUAAGUUUUGAAAUUAUCAACUAUCAAAUUUACAAGACAGGUGACACUUUGAAGCCAAACUUCAUUUGCUACCUGAAAAUACUAUUUGCUCUACGAAAUUUGGCCCAACAAACAAUAUUUCGUCGAGUCAAGUGGUUUUGCUCGAUAAAAACUCCAGUUGGUCGGAUAGAGCUAGUCACCAUUAGGGUCUAGCCAAAGACUUUGUGCGGCAAAAUACUUUCAGAGGGCAAGAAUAAAUUUGUCAGGCAAAUAUUUGACCCCAACGGAAACAAUGGCCCGUAUUUUGAAAAGGUUUACCCGACGAAAUAUAAGUUCUUCAACUUAGAGUCCUUUACCCAACGACACAUUUCGUCGAGCAAAGUGUUAGUAAAAUUGCUUUCAAAUGCUUUAUAAAGUUUUCUCAAAUGCUCACAAAUUUUAAUUUUAAUUUUUUUGCGAAAACAAAAAAUUUUGCAUUUUCACAAAAAGGGUGAUCAAUCACGGUUUUUUUUUGUAGGUUUUGCAAAAUGGUAUAAAAAUCGUCAUUAAUCUAUUUGUUUUCACCUUCGCAUCAUUGUUAGGUUUUCAAAAUUAAUGUAGAACUUAUGCUGAUAUUCUUUAAGUUGAACCUCAUUUUGGCAAUUUUUUGGACGUUACUACUAUUGUUUUUCACUAAUUUUUUAGUUUUCGUGUUAAAUAUGUUGUUAUAAAUGCAUUUGUGAGAUAUUACUUGUUUUUCACUAUUCUUUAAGCUGCUAGACAAUGUGUAUUAUUUGUAAGAUAUUACAUUAUCCUUGAUUGAAUCCAUAGGACUUAGAGCAAUUAAUAGCUCUGAGAUGUUGAUGUCUUCUAACUUAGUUGAGUUUUAAACAUUCAUAGUAGUUAGACAUCUAAAUUACCAAUGUUUAUUACUAUUGCAACAAAUACACGGACUACAUUACGAGAACUAGUGAAUCAUACACAUACAAAUGACCUAUCCACAGACGGAGAUAGGACAUGAGUUUAUUUUUCUUGCUAUAAAUCCAUGAAUUAUAGCGAAAUUUAAAAACCAAAACAAGGGGAAAAAGUAGUGAUGAAAACUAAUGCUGGAAACACGAUUGCAUUCAGUGCAUGCAACAAGCCUUUUAAACCCAUAGGUGACCCAAAUAGGACAAGUGAAGUCUCGUGAGGGUUUCCAGAGAUGUUACCCACAAACAUCAAAUGAUCAUGAUGAUCAUAUAACGCUGCGAAUGGCUGUGUAGACAUCAACUCCUUGGGGAUCAGGUCUUUCGCCGUUGAGGCGUAAUUCGAAUCUAUUCUCAACGAACGGCCUUGUGUAGAGGUUACUUUGAACGUGGCGCAACCGGCAGAGCACGUUGUUGUUGUUGUUGCCGGCUUGACCCACAUGCUCGGGCUUGAACAAUGUGCAAGCCCAACUCUUUUUGUUUUCGUCUCGUUGGUCAGCCGCGGCCAUGAUCAAUUGCUUGUCUUUGUCCAUCCUUCUGAAGUAUUUGUUGUUGACAGUGCAUUUGAUAUGCACGUAAUGAUUAUCUUGGUCGUCUUGAUUGUUUGCCUGCUCUACUUGGAAGAUUGAGUACUCACUCUUAGGAUCCUUUCCGGAGAAUUGGACAAUCUCAUGAGUUUGGUUUUCUUCAUCAAGCAUGUAGCGCAAGUAUUUAUUGCAGAUGUUUGAUUUCAGCACAAAAGUGUUUGGUAGCGCAAGUGGAUCCAAGUCGACGACUGUGCACACAUCCAAAUCGUUUUGGGGGUUGGGGUCUGCUCUUUCUGCAAAGAGACAUUGAUGGAAGUCGUUAGAAGUGAGUGACAUUACAUAGUGCCCGAGUUGCACGUGGAGUAUUCGGAGGACUGCUUUGUUGUCUGCAUGGACAACCCGAGGCUCGAACAGUGUGCAGGUCCAAUGGUUUAGAUCUUCCUCUGGUCGGUCAGCCUGGGCUACUAUCCAAUGCUGGUGCUCGUUUGGCCUUCUCAAGUAUUUGUUAUUGUAACAGCAUUUGAUAUGCACGAGUCCUUCGUAACCGCCGUACGCAGGCUCCAUUUGGAACUUUGCGUUCGGGCUCUUGUCAUCCACUUCGGAGAAUUGGAGAAUCCCAUGAAGAUUCUCGUAACUUUGAUGUAUGUAGCGCAAGUAUUUUUGGUUGUUGUUUGAUUUCAGAGCAAAAGACCUUGGUAGUAAUGCUGCCAUGUUAAUUGGGAUAUGAUCUCUCUCUCUGUGCUCUUUCUUGUAAUUCUCUCACAUGCUCUUCUCCGAACCGCCUAUAUCCUAUUUAUAUAAGAAAAUUGCUACGACUGUAGCUAUCCUAUUUUUUAUUAUUCACGAGUUAGAUGAUAGUUUAGCAUAUAAGUUUUUUUUUUCUAUGCUCACAUGAUGUCCACACUAAUGACUCCAUUAAUAUAUUAUUUUACAAUCAUAUUGUUUAUAGCAUACAAUAAACUAUUUAUAAGCCGCUAUCCUCUUUACGGUCAUGAUCAUGUUUGUCCGGGCUUAUAUAUAAGUGUUUUUUUUUUUUGUCUUUUUAUAGCCAACUAGCAUACGUCCACACAUGGGUGUGUGAAAUGCUUUAUUUUUGUUCUUAAAAUUGAAGGAGAGAGAAAGAGCGUGAGAGAGAACGUGGUAGUGGGAAGAGAGGAAGAGAGAUUUAAUUUUUUUAAUUUUUAAUUUUUUUAAAUUAUAGAUGUUAAAAUCAUCUAUAAGUGAUGCUUAAAUAAAAAAUAAAAAGGCUUUAAUUUGUAAAAUUACGUUACUACCCUUAAUUUUUUUAUUUUGAUAGAAUAUUAAUUAGUCUUUUCACCUUAUUUUGAUUGAUAAAAAAGAUUUUAUUAAUCCGUAGUUUAGAUAUGUAUUAUCUGUAAUUUUACAUUAUCCUUGAUUGAAUUCGUAGGAGUUGAAGCACUUAAUAGCUCUGAGAAGUUGGUCUUUAAAUUUUUGUUAGAACUUCUCUUCUUUUUUUUUUUUUUUUUGGUCAUUUUUUUUAGGACUUCUUUUCCCUCUUUCUAGAUGAAUGCUACACGUACUCGCUUUCAAACCAGACUCUCUCUCCAUGGUUUCUACGUGGUUCAACUAAUUAUUUAAUUCACAAAUAUUUUUAUUUUUAACAAAUGAUAUUAGUUACACUAGGGAGAGGUGAGUUAAGUCUCAUAAUGAAUUAGCAAUAAUAUGUUUCAAAAUAGCAUUUGGCAAAAAUUGAACCUAAAACCUCUUACUUAUAAUGAACAUUGUGGAGCCAAAAAUAAUCGCAAGGCGACACGUGGAUUCUUGGGUAAAAGAGGACAAAAAUACCCCUGAGGCAUACUGGGAUUCCUACGCGCGAGCAGCGGGCAAUCAUCCCUAAACCAAGUCAAAAGUGCCCAAAAUAGGUAACAAUUUAAAGUCUAUUUCAUCAAAUCCUUUCUAUAAGGUAAUUCCUAAAACCUAAUUUAUUCUAUAUAUUUUGCAUUCCAUUAUUUAGCUAAUCAAUUAGCUAAAUGAUAUUUUCCUUUCAUAUUCCCUAAAAAUUGAUUAAUUAAGGGAUUAAUUACCUAAUCAAUCCCUUAAUUAUCAAUUAAAACACCCAUUCACACCUAAAACUACUAAGAGGUCGGCCACCUCCCUUUUCCUAACCUUUUUCACUUUUCUCCAUUUUAUUACCCCAUUUAUACAAAUAAUCAAUUUUGUAACUCCUAAUUAAACCUAAAUUAAACCCAAAAAACCCUAGCCACCUCCUAUCCCUAUAAAUAUACUCUCAUUCUCACCAAAAAAGCCAAUUCCAACACUUUGGCAAAAAUCCAAAAUACUCUAAACACUAUUUCUCUCUAAAAUUCUAACUUUGGCAUCGGAGGUUCUUCGGCCAAAGCCCCCCCAUUCAUCGUGGGCGCGUGAGGCGUUUGGCCUUAACCUAAGGUGCUAGUUGUUUUGUAGGUGCAAAAUCGUCCAAGAUCGAGGAGGAGAAAAUUUGCAUCCACAAACAUUGUUCUAAAAAUCCCGUAUAGGUGCUAGGCGGCUAGCCACCGCCCCGAUUAAUGCCUAGGCAUUUGAAAAUUAAGAAAGGGCACCUAGACCUACUAAGGCACCCGCCUAGACCGCCUAGCCCGCCUAGACACCUGUCUAGAUUGCACUAUCUUUGAUAGAAAAUAGAUAACUUUCAUUUUGCAUUUUAUUGUUUCCAAUAAAUUGUAAGAGACUUAUUGAACACUUAAAUAAACACACAUUAUAUGUUUGCUCCCCGUGUUUUCAUUAUGUUCCAAUACUUCAUAAUAUAUAUGUCAUUCUAUUUUCUAGUUUAUGAUGAAAUUACAUAUAUAUUUUAAGUAUAAACAAACACUUAUUACACAAAAUACAAUAGAUUUACUUAAAUCCGCCUAGCCGUCUAGGCGCUAGGCCCCAGUCAGCCGCCCGACUAGCGUCUAGCGUCUUUUAAAACCUUACAAGUGAAGUAAUACCACUAAACCAUUACGAAGUGACCCACAAAUGUUAUUAUCUUUAUAUAAAAAAAAUUAUUCUCAUAUAUCAAUUCUCUAUGGUGCCCUGAAGUUGAAUAGUGAAUGUCAUAAAUUAUUAUUCCUAAACUCCGAAAGCCUUCGUAUAGAUAUCCAUUAAGUGUACUGAGAAAUUUAGAAACGUAUUCAAAUUUAGACUUUAUAUAGAAUUAUAAUCACUAUUUUAAUUUAUGAUAAUUAUAACCAAAAGUUAAAAUAAAAGUAUUAAUAUACUCUUAAAAUGAAGUUUUCAAGAAGAACCUAAAAGCAAAAUUCUACAACAAAAACACUUGAGGAUUCAUACUUUUUACUUUUUAGGAUUGAAAAUAAGUGUAAGUAAUUGAUUCGGAAUUUCAGACCGAGCUCGAGAAUCAGAAGUUCAAGAAGGUCAUCAAAUUCUUCAAUCUUAUUUUUGGGAUGGAAUUCUGAACACAAAGUUUCUUUACACUAUGUUUGGAUGAGAAAAAUAAAUUUCGAAUUUUGACAAAAGUAGAAAUUUAUAAAUUGACACGUACCAAUUCUCUUAAUUGAAUUCAUAAACAUAGAAAAUUUAAAAUUUCCGUAUGAAGAAAACUUGUAAUUUGGGACAUCUAAUUCCCAAGUUUAAAUUUCAUAUAAAUACGGGUCAUUUCCAAAUUUUUAUGGGUGAAAGUUUAAAAAUAUCAAAUUUCGUAUUUAAAUUUCAUUGUUUUUUUAGAUUUUAACCAAACAAGAAAUUUACAAAUUAUAGAAAAUAAAAUUUUGUCAUUUCAAGUUCCGUCAUUUUAAAAUUCCUCAGUAAUUUUAAAUUUUCUCAUCCAAACAUAGUGUUAGGAUAUGAGAUUGGAAAAAUUUGUAAAACCCUACUUUUUUUCUGGUUUCUUCUACAAUAGGAAUCGAAAUUCCACCAAAAUAGUUUCGAAAUUCUAUCGAAGUUCAAACGAUAUUUCCAUUAAAAUCUCCAAAAUUUUAAAGAUAUUAAACCGAUUCAUCAACAUUAAAAUAAAAUUAUUGAAAUUUCGUGAUAGUCUUUAUAGAAAUACCUUGACCGGCGAUUUUUAAUCCAUUGUUAUGGUGCAUGAUGGAAACACAUGACUAUCUUUUUUUUUUUUUUUAAAGGGAUCAACUGGUGGAUUCGCCACAACAGUCCACUCUUUAAAGGGCCAAAAAGACUCACAAAAGAAUAUCAGCAUCCAUCUAACCACCAUCAUAUGAUUUACGACCACCAAGAAUCGAACGUAGAAUGUGUCAUAUGAAAACACAUAACUAUAGGACUGGGGACUUUGUUACCUGCCGUAAUCAAAGAAAAUUGUUGGUAAUAAUAAUAAUAAUCUAAACUACCUAUUAAUAGAAGAGUGACUUUGGAUGCGGUCCCUAUUUAUCAACGUUCUUUAAUUGAAACCUUGUUAAUUUUUAGUUUUUGAUUGGGGUCCCUGAAAUUAAUACAAUAUUCUAUGUAAGUUAUUAUAAUUUAAAUUAAAUUUGAUAUUUGUAGUUACUUUUAUUAAUGAGAUUUUAAAUAAAAUCCAUGAUUUGAUGGGUUGAAAAUAUUAAAAAAUAAAUUAUACUUAUAUAAAAAAGUAUAAUUUAUCUUAAUGACAUGAUGUAUCAUUAAGAUAUAUUAUAUUUAAAUAAAACCCAUUAUUUGUUAUUACUUAUAUUAAUGACAUUUUACAUAAAAAAAAUUGGUAAUUUUGAUGCUAUACAAUUUACAUACAAAAAGUUGAUACAUUUUAUACAAAAAAGGUGGUACGUUUUAGAUGAAAAAAUUGGUACAUAUUAUAUUGUUGACCCUAAAAACUACCAAGCCUACGUGGCGUGCAGACCGAGUAAUCUAUAAGCUAACUACGUCCUUCGGUGAAUGCGGGACGUGCUAACUCGUCGGCUGAGCUCGGCCGAGGAGUAAAUUUGUUGAUGUUACGUUGGGUGCGCGGCUGACUUCUGCGUCUUACGAUUGCGGCCGAGAAAGGAACAUGUCUCGGCCUCUUGGGCUCUCGAACCUGAAGACAAGGUUACUAUUCUUACAAAGUUCACGAAUCGCCGUCGUCGGAUUCGGUCACAGUGAUGUUAUUCGUCGGAGUCGGAUUCACUUCCGGGUUAUUGAUCUUGCCGAGACUCCUCAUUGCACCAGGAUUCGACUCGUCUUGUGGCAUGGCAUAACCGACCCGGAUUUGGAAGCCCACGACCUAACCGAUCCCUGAGAACCCUGUCGUAAGGCCUUCUGGGCCGAGAAUAACUCCAUACUCGGCCCAAACUAAUAUUUUGGGCCCUAACAUAUAUACAAAACAAUGGGUACAUUUUAGAGUAAAAAUAUAAAUACAUCUUACAUUAAAAAAUGGGUACAUUUUACAUAACAAAUGGUACUUACAAAAACAAAAUUGGUAUAUUUUACAUAUAACAAAGUGGAGCAUUUUUAAAGACAAAUGGGUACAUUAGCAAUAAAUUAUUGGUACAAAAAAAAUGUUAAAAAAAAUGUGUAAAAAUAAAAGUUUGAAAAAUAUGGACAAAAAAAAAAAGAAAUUACUGUAUGGGUACAAACUAUAACUGAAAAGAAAAUUGGUACAAUUUAAAAAAAGGGCUGCAAAUUAAAGGGAACUUCAAUGAAAAGUUCUUGGUACUGUUCACUUUAACGAAAAACCACAUUUUAACACUAAAAAGUCAAUCAUGGUACUAUUCACUUUACCCUUUAUUUUAUCCUUAUCGUUAAAACUCAAAGUUUUCAAGCCCUUUUCAUUAGUUUUUCUUUUAUUAAAACCAAGGGACCUUGAUCAAAAAUUGAAAAUGAAUAAGGUUUUAAUCAAUGGAGUUGAAAAAAGAGGGAUGUGAACCUAAUUUCUCCUUAAUAGAACCCCUUUUAUCAACCAAAAGAAGGUGAAAAUACUAUUUAGUUUUUUUUAUUGAAAUCUCACAUACAUGUGAAGCAAAUAUAUAUCUUGUUGAUGCACAAAACCGGAGGUCUUAGAACAAUGUAAAUCCGACCGUGAAUCUGCAAGAAAGUAAAGAACACAAGAUGUAUCGUGGUUCACCCCAAUGUUUGGGCUACGUCCACACUGAUUAUUGUAUUUCUCUGAGAGGGAGAGAGGGAGCCUCUGUAAUGAGAGUGAGGCUAUUCUAUGAAUAUGAGAGGGUGGGGGGAUGAGGAGGCUUAAGAAAUGGCCUCCGAGGGUGAGAGUGAGGCUCUCUCCAAUUGUGAGGGUGAUGGGUCCUUUUAUAGAAUAAGGGCUCCUCACUUAUUACAUAUUUGCCCAUUCCUUUAUUACAUAAUUACAUUUGAGUCAUCCGAGUAUUUAUACGAGAUCUAAAUACGGAGACCCUAAGUAUGGUAUAAACAUAUCUAAUAUUAAAAAAAAAAACAAAAUCUCCCACUCUCAUUACCUACCACGUUUCUAUUUCGCCUUCUCCUUUUCAUUUAAAAAAAUAUAAAUAUAUUCAUACACACAAUAUGUAGGCAUAUACUAAUAAUAAAAAUAACAACAAUAAUAAUAAUAAUUUCCUCGAUCGGUAUCCCAUCUCUUUAUAGAUAUGAACAUGGGUGAUCUCAUUGGUGUGACGCAAGAUCAUAAGACUUUCAAACUUGUAUCGCACAAUAUUAUAUGAACAAUAAUAAUAAUAAUUUCCUCGAUCGGUAUCCCAUCUCUUUAUAGAUAUGAACAUGGGUGAUCUCAUUGGUGUGACGCAAGAUCAUAAGACUUUCAAACUUGUAUCGCACAAUAUUAUAUGAACAAGAUGGCUGAUGUCAUUAUUGUCCAAGUGUUAGGCUUCAAAAUUCACUUGUGAAUAUAACACUCAUUCUAAAUAAAAAGCUAAAACUAAUAUAAUAAAGACGUUUUAUUUUAAUAUUUUCAAACUCUCCCUCAAAUUAUUAUAAUAAUUUUGAACUCUUAACUCUGCUCCUAAUAAUAGUUCAAUUAAAAAAAGAAAGACUUUUGUUGAAAAUAAAAUAUAGAUAGAGAAUACGAGAGAACAGAGAAAAACAAAUUAGUGAUUAGAAGAAGAAAAUCUAAAUGUCUUCCUUCUUAUUAGAGUACCUAUUCAUAGCCUUAAAAUUUACAUGAAAAUAUUUUAACUAAUUAUAUUGUAGUCUUUCACAAAGGACAUGGCUACAUAUGUGGAGUCUUUGACUAAAUUUUUUUGUAAAAUGACAGCGUAUGGCUAUAGGCGUGGAGUCUUUUGUUAGCAAUUAAAAGUUUUGUAACAUGUAAUUGACUUGGUUUCAUGAGAGCUACAUCUAAAGGAUGGGAGUAUAAUUAAAUGGGGACUUGUAAUAUAUAUAUAUGUUAUGGUCUUUGAUUAAUAUUUAUUUCCUCAUAUUAACAAAGAGGAAGAAAGAAAUAGCUUGUAAAAACUGGAAGAAGAAAGAAGCUACAGAGAAUGAUGAACUUUUCAAUAUAUGUUUUGGAAGAUGAAAAGAUCCCUCCAAAUGCCUUACACAUUUCGUUUAUGUAGAGAAAACUAACCAUUACAAAAGUACAAUACUACCCUUCUCAUAUUCUUUAUCUUUCUAACAACCCAAUACUACUUAACAACCUUACAACUGUCUAACCAACAGUUACAACUGUAUAACCAACUAACCAACUACUAUGGUUAUUACUCCCCCCUCAAACUAAGCAUGGAGCAACCAAGCUUAGUUUGCUGAACAAUCGGUGACAAUCCCAAACCAAGGAACCGGCAAUGCUUCAAGAAAACAGGUCUAUGUAAUCCCUUGGUGAAUACAUCAGCAACCUGAUCGUCGGUUGGAAUAUAAUGAACACUGAUGUCACCUUUUUGUACCUUUUCUCUAACAAAAUGAUAAUCUGUAUCAAGGUGUUUGAUUUUAGAAUGAAAUACCGGAUUAGAACUUAAGGCAAGAGCUAACAGAUUAUCACAGUGAAGAGCAGGAGGCCGAGGAAGAAACUGAUGAAUAUCUUUGAACACAGAUCGAAUCCAUGACACAUCAGCUGUGCAAUGUGCCAAAGCUUUGUACUCAGCUUCAGUAGAACUUCGGGAUACAGUGGAUUGCUUCUUGGAUUGCCAUGAAACAGGAUUAGAGCCAAUAUAGACCACAAAACCUGACAGGGAUCGUCGAGUAGUAAUGUCAGCAGCCCAAUCAGAGUCUGAAUAGGCAUUGAUGUGGAAAUUGUCACUUUUAGUAUAGCACAAACCAUAGCUAAUGGUUCCCUGAAUAUAGCGGAGGAUCCUUUUGACCAGAUGAAAAUGGGCAUCAGUUGGUGCUGUCAUAAAUUGACACACCAUAUUCACUGAAUAAGCAAGAUCAGGCCUUGUGAAAGUCAAAUACUGAAGGGCACCAACAAUACUUCGAUAUUGACUUGGAUCAGGUAAUAAUGUACCUUCACUAGCAAGAAUCUGUGUGUGUGGCUUGAAAGGAGUAGAUGUGGGCUUACAAGACUCCAUGCCUGCCUUUUUCAACAAAUUUGCGGCAUACUUGGAUUGGCUAAUAAACAGAGACCCAUCAUCAUUGUAAUGAAUAUGCAAACCCAAGAAAUAGCUCAAACGCCCCAUAUCUUUAAGAUCAAACACUGCUGCCAAGUUGUUGAUUAUGCCUUGUACCUUUAUGGAAUUGGAACCAGUAAGGAUGAUAUCAUCCACAUACAACAGCAACAAAAUAAUAUCUUCAUUAUCAGUCUUGACAAAUAGACUUGAAUCAGAAAGAGAAGGUGUAAACCCAAGGGCUGGAAGAUAGCUUGUAAACUUAGAAUUCCAAGCCCUAGGAGCCUGUUUUAAACCAUAGAGGGAUUUCACUAAUUUGCAAACAUGAGUUGGAUUCUCCUGAUCAAACAAAACCUUGGGGUUGCUGCAUAUAAACCUCUUCUUCUAACUCACCAUGUAAAAAGGCAUUUUUGACGUCCAAUUGGCGCAAAGACCAACCAAACUGAGCAGCAAGUGCAAGUAUAAUCCGGACUGUAGUAUGUCUAACAACAGGACUAAAAGUUUCAGAGUAGUCAAGACCAUGUUCUUGUGUAAAGCCCUGGGCAACCAAUCGGGCUUUGAAUCUGGAAAUAGACCCAUCUGGAUUCUUCUUGAUCUUAUAAACCCACUUACUACCAACUAUCAUUCGAUGUGAUGGAGGUGGAACUAAAAUCCAAGUUCCCUGAGCUUUGAGAGCAUCAAAUUCCUCCUGCAUAGCAAUCUGCCAUUCUUUCUUACUGGCAGCACCUUUGAAAGUUUUUUUUGUUCUUCAUGAUCAGAGACAUGAGCCAGAAAUGAGAAACCAGCAUGACAUGGAUUGAAACAUUGAUUAUCAGAACUACCAUCCAGUAGUUGUAAGGAAGACAGCUCAGGUAGGAAGGCCAGAUAGUUAGAAUAACUUUGUCUUAUGAUUGCACCUGAUUGUAACCUAGUCUGCAUCCCAUGAGAACGUAUCGGAACAUUAUCUGAUGCAUUAGAUGAAGAGGAAGCAUCAAAAGGUAGAACUACCUGUAACUGUGCAGGAUCAAUGACAGGAAGCAAGGGAAGUGUAUCAUUGUGAGAGGAAAGAGUAAAGCCUGGUGUUGAUGUUGAUUCAAUGGACUGAGAAUUCGAGACAACUGCAGUAUCAUUGUGAGAGAUAGAUGGAGACUGAUGUCGAUGUAUAUUGACCUCAGCUGACCUAGAAGCUUGUGCAAGCACCUGAGACUCAUGCAUUGGACUAUUGACAUGCUCUCUGUGAUAUAAAGGAACCGGUAUAAUCACUGGUGUACAUCUCUGUGAGUCAUGACUUUGUACCCCACUUGACUGAACUGCCUUAGGUAAUUUCCCAGGAAAGCAUGAUUCAUCAAACACAACAUGUCGAGAUAUAACACACUUCCGAGUUUGCAUAUUAAAACAGAUAACUCCUUUAUACCCCAUAGAAUAGCCCAAAAAUAUACACAUAGCAGAUCUGGCUUGCAAUUUAUUUGCUGCAUAUGGUCUUAACCAAGGAAACACAGCUGAACCAAAAAUCUUGAGUGAGUGUACAUCAGGGAUUUUCCUAUAUAGCAUUUGAUAAGGCGAGGACAAAGCAAGAAUCUUACAUGGCAUUCUGUUAAUCAAGAAGACAGAGUGUGCACAUGCAAAAUACCAAAACUCAGAAGAUAAACCAGCAGCAUUGAGAAGUGUGAUUGCUGUUUCAACUAUAUGGCGAUGUUUCCUUUCUGCCACUCCAUUCUGUUGUGGAGUGUAUGGACAAGAAAUGAAUGAACUUAUACCCUUGCUAGCUAGAAAAUCAGUAAAAGCUUUACUAACAUACUCUCCCCCACCAUCUGUUUGCAACCCUUUGAUGUGCACCCCAAAUUGAGUAAAGACAAAAUGAUAAAAUCGCACAAAGAUUUGAAAUACAUCUGAUUUAUUACUCAUCGGAAAAAUCCACACGUAUCUGGUAUAUUCAUCAAUUAGAGUUACAUAGUACCUAUAACCUUCUAAGGACUUCACAGCCCAAACAUCGGAGUGUAUUUUUUCAAAUGGAGAAGUACAAGUAACUGAUCUAAGUGGAAAUGGAGUUCUAGACAUUUUCCCUUGAAUACAAGACACACAAACACUAGACUUACUAUCUCUAUCAGCCACAAUAUUCGACUUUUGUAACAUACAACUCAUGAUUUCAGGAGUAGGAUGCCCUAAUCUCUGAUGCCAUGUAUCACAUUUGAUAGCUUUACCCACAUAAGCAACUGGACUACUUGUAAUCGACUGUACUCCUCUCUGCCUUUGCACAACCGGAAUCUGGAACAAUUCUUCAGGCUUACUCUUUCCUUGAUACACUAUUUCCCUUGUCUUCUUGUCCUGCACAAAGAAUUCAGAUUCAUCACAUAUAAACCAGCUCUUAUUGUCAGCACAGAGUUGUUUCACAGAUAAAAGACUACGCGCAAUAUGUGGAACAUGUAAUACUUUGUUGAGAAUAAGAGAGUGAUUGUUAGUUUGUAAAGUAGUUGACCCAAUAUUUUGGAUCGAUAGAUCAGUACCAUUGCCAAUGGUGAUUUUGUCAGAACCCUCAAAAGGUGUGACAUGAGUCAAGGAAUUAACAUCCGCUGUCAUAUGAUGAGAUGCACCUGAAUCAACAAUCCAGGCAUCUUGAGGAACAAAUGGUGUUGUUUGUUGAGCCUGCAUUGCAGACAAUGAUGAGGGUGGAAGCUGCCCUUGAUAUGAAUAAUUGCUUCGUUGAUAACAAUCAAGUGCUGAAUGUCCUCUCUUGCCACAGAUUUGGCAUUCAACAACAUAGUUUGAAGGAGAAGAAUUGAUGUUCCUCUGAUAACAGUUGGCUGCAGUAUGCCCCCUUUUGUUACAAAUCUGACACUCUAUCACAGCAUUUGUCCUUGUAGAAGUACUCCCAGACCAAGAAUUAUUACCAUUUGGCCGUGAGUUGCUGGAACCAUAUCCUCGUCCCCUGAAAGUGUUAUUAUUCCUGUAAUUAUUGCCUCUGUAUUGACCCCCAUGUGAUACUCGAGGCCCAAAUUGAGCUCCUACAUUAAGCUGUGCAGCAUGAUUAUGUGGAUCACUAGGAUGACCAAUAAAACCAUAUCCAUACGACUCACCAGGAUACAUAAGAGAUUGUGAUGGUGAAAGAUAACCUGCUGGAUAGUGUGAAGGAACAGGAUAAACAGGGUAUUGAAAUGGUGGUAAAGGCAAAGACUGAUGUCCUGCAGUUUGAGGACCCUGAGAAGUAGAACCAUAUAUGGCACCGCAGUAAUUGUUCCCGCAGUAGUACUGGCAGGAAUAUGAUUAUGAGCCUGAGAAUUUGAAGAUGAAGCAGAACUUGAACCAGUGCUUAAACCCGAACCUUGAACAUAUAACGCAGACAAAUUCUGAGACAAAGCAUUAAUCUCUCCUUCAAUCUCCCUUUCUGCCCCCAAUAAUUGUGCUCGAAAUUCUUUUAAAGAAAUAGAUGACUCUCUGGCCAAAAUGACUGUACGAAUAGUCCCAUAUUCCUUUGGCAACCCAGCAAGCCCAGCAAUUAUGACAUCAUUGUCAGAUACAGAUUCACCUGCAGCAGUGAGUUGAUCCCUAAUACCUUUCAACUUCAAGAGAUACUUAUCAAUUGUAUCAGAUCCUUUUUGAAUGGUAUGUAACUCAGUUUUGAGAUGGUUGACCCGAGACUUAGAAACAGAUGCAUAUCUAUCAACCAAAUUGACCCACGCCUCAUGAGCAGUCCUACAACCAAGAACAUACUCCAUCGCAUCAUCAGUUAAAGUGGCAAGAAGUAAACUAAGCAACGCCAUAUCUGUAGACUCCCAAUCCAUAAACGCCUCAGUAAUCUCCUUUGUAACCCCAGCCUCUGGAUUAACCACAUACUUUGAUGGACACACCGUUGUGCCAUCGAAAUGACCAAACAACUUAUACCCCCUCAAAACAGACUGAAAUUGAAAUGCCCAUUUGGCAAAAUUAUCAUCUCUUAGUUUGAUAGUAAGCAUACCCAAGAUUCCAUUGACUUUAAAAUUUGGACUACCCAUGAUUAUCUUCAAGCAACAACAACUAAUUACCAAUUGAGAUUAUGCACAGAGACUGACACUCUGAGAAGAAAGACUAACACUUUCUUGAACUCACAACUUCUUGACUUAGAAGGAAUGACACCUUCUUGAAUGCAUGAAAGAAUGACACUUCCAGCAAAAACAAUGCGUUCUAAUUAUCGCAGCAAAUCAACAUAUACAAAUCAACAAAAGAACCCAACUCUAUCAAAUCAUUACUCUGCUUAAACUGAAAAAACGAAAGAACCAGAAACCACCUGAACCGAAAUCGAAAAGAAAACCAAUCUUGCUCCAAUCGCACACCAAUGAAGCAACGAACAUCCACCAAACCGAACCCCCAAUGAAGCGACGAACAGCAGCGGAGCACACCAGGAUCACAAUCGGUGACUAACGCACACCGGCGAUGAUACCAUAUUAACAAAGAGGAAGAAAGAAAUAGCUUGUAAAAACUGGAAGAAGAAAGAAGCUACAGAGAAUGAUGAACUUUUCAAUAUAUGUUUUGGAAGAUGAAAAGAUCCCUCCAAAUGCCUUACACAUUUCGUUUAUGUAGAGAAAACUAACCAUUACAAAAGUACAAUACUACCCUUCUCAUAUUCUUUAUCUUUCUAACAACCCAAUACUACUUAACAACCUUACAACUGUCUAACCAACAGUUACAACUGUAUAACCAACUAACCAACUACUAUGGUUAUUACCUCAAUCUCAGUUUCCUAUCUCUUUCAUAUCCAUGUGAACAUGGAUGAUCUCAUUGGUGUGACGCAAGAUUUGUUAAAAUAGCUGUCUAAUUGAUUUGUUAAUUUGUAUCUUUUUUUAACCUCUUCUGCUAAUUCUGUGAAUAUAAUUCUCAUUAUAUAAUUAAAAAAAAAAGCGAAAAUUCAUAUAAGAGAAAUAAAGACUUUUUAUAACAUAUAAAUUAAGACUUUCAAACUUGUAUCCCAUAUGUAAAGAAUUAUAAUUACAUGUUCGAAUGCACUGACUGGUGUUUCUUUUUCUUCAAUAUCUUCUAAUUGCGGGUAAAAUGAGCAAUUGUCAACUUUCAUAAACCACAUAGCGAUAGGUGUGGAGUCGUUUGUUAAAAAAUUUGUUUGUAGGAUGUGAGUUUGUAGUUAAAAUGAGGUGUAAAAGCAUAUGGCUAUAAGUGUGAUAUUAAAGUUUGGAUAAUGUUAGCGAGAUUAAAUUUUCAAACCAAAUUUGCCAAUCACAAGAUGUGACAUCAAUAGGUAAUAAGCACGUUAAUCAACAUUUAACUAAUAAUCCAAUCAUCAACAUCCACAUUAUUUGGUUUACAAAAUUUAAUUUAAAAUUUUAAUCUUCCUAACAUUACACUUAAAAUUUUGUAACGAAUUCUCGUCGUCUCCAUGAAAAAUAGAUAUAGAGGACGUAAGUACAAUUAAAGCAACUGUAAACUUUCAACAAGCAAAUUGAUGUAGGUAUGGGAUCGUUUAUUAGGAAUUUUGGGUAGCAUGUGUUUAUGGUUAAGAUUAUAGAAAAAGACUUAACAAUGUGAAUUUGAAGACUUGUUAUAGAAUUCAAAUUUUUGUAACGUAUGUGAAACCACAUUGUAGAAGGUCUUUGUUUUUGUUUUUUAAAUUGAACUCGAGCUAUAUCGUAUGAAACACAGGUCUAAAAUUUCUUGGCCACCCUGUGAUGGUUGUAAAAAGUCCUUAUUGGCAAUUCAAAUUUUAUUAGAAUUAAAAAUUAUAAGAUUCCUUGUACACUAUUUACUUAAUAUUAAGUAGAAUGACUUUUUAUAGCAUAUAAAACAAGGCUUCUUUUUUCACAAAAAUAUAAGGAUGGUAUUAUUACUAAAAACCAUUUCAUUAUAGACUUUAAAUACGAUAAUAAUAAAAGAAGACUCUUUUUUUCAAUAAUUAGGUGGAGUUCUGAGGGGAGAGAGGGAAUGGGGUGAGGCCCUGGGGAGCCUCGAAAUUGUGUGAGGAGGGCUAAGGGUGCUUAAUUUCCACUAUUGCGCUAGCCCUCCUUAAAGGUUUAGGAGAAGGGGUGACCGGGGAGGGAAGAGGAUCUGGUCCGAAUCUCUCACAUCAAAGGCUCAGGAUUAAGUGAUCUAAACAAUUGAAAUAUGAUUAAAUGGUUAUAAGUAUUAAAACUUCUAGAAGGAUCUCUUGUUUGUAACUGUUGGAUCAAAUUUCAACAACCCAAAUCACUUGAUUUUAGACCUUUGAUGGGAGAGAUCUGGACCGGAUCCUGUUCGCCGGGAAGCUCAUAUGUGCGUAAGGAUGGGGCCACAAAGGUGCUUAACUUUCACUAUGGUACUAGCCCUCCAUAAUAAAAAAUACUUUAAAUACUAACUUUUAUUACCUGCCAACUGCUGUGUAUUUUGCUUCUUCGACAUAUUAUGUUCCAUCUGUGGCCUUUUCGUAGGAAGGUUUUGUAUUUGAAACAUGACUCAUCUAUACCAUAUAUAGCUAGUUACACAAACAAUUCGACAGAUUGGGUAUGCCUUUGCCUUCAAUUUAAUCUCUUUUAGGAAGUGCUAUUAAUUGACCAAUUGUCAACUUUCAUAAAGCACAAUAAAACAUAUGGCUAUAAGCGUGAGGUCUUUGUUAGAAAUUAAAACUUUGGUAACAUGUGAAUUCAUUUGGUCCAUGAGAAAUAUUGAUGGAAUAUAUGCUGUGUAUUGCAUCUUCCAUAUCCAAAUCACCAAGACUCCUUCAUGGAAGAUAUUGAUUCAUAUACACUAACACUGAUUUUGUUUUAAAUUUACUUAGAAAACCUGUUAUUUGGGAAUUGGAUUCGUUAAGUGCGGAAGGAUUAUAAUUAAUAGCUCAGGUUGUUGUAGUGAUCAAAUGACUUGGUCUUGGUGUGUGGUCGUACUCGCCUAAUUUUUGUUCACAAUUAUAAACUAUGUUGUAUACUCACCAACUUAUUUAUUAUCGUUAGAUAAGUUUAAAUUUUGAGAUUUGUAUAAUGGAUAGGCACAAAUCUCAAAAUUAAAACUCAUCUAAUAGUGAUAAAUAUGAUGGUAAACAUUACCACCACUUGAGGAUGGUGAACAAAAAUGCACUUAAUCUUCUAUUGCCUUUGCGUAUGCCCAAAAAAAAAGCACAAUAUUGUUGGGGGUAUUUAAAAAUAUAACCAUUUGAGAUACCAUGUAUUGAAAUAUAACCUACUUUUUAACUCUUACAUAACUAACCAAAAUUGGUAUUCAAAAGACUAAAUUGCCCUAGAACUAAAAUAUUCUCUUCAGCAACGUCUGAUUAUCUCUCGCAGUCAUGGGACUGAAUUAUCAGCAGCAUCCGUGGAGAUUUCAGAGUCGUUGCUUCGCGAUUCCGACGACAAAAUCAAGGACGUCGAGUCCGAGGACGACGACUGAGUCUCAGAAUGGAAGGACCGGAUCACCAUCAGAGGGUCGGGAUAACUCCUCCUUCAACGUCGCCGCCGGGAUGCUCGGAUUCUUCUUCGUCAAGUCAUGGACUGGAUUCUUGGAAAAAUUAGAGCUUUCAGUUCCCCCCUUUACCAGGCAGAAGAACACCUUCAACCAAACCUGCAUCGUUGCCUUGCUAUGGCCUCGAUUUUAGCAGUAAACCUAAUUGCUUUUGUUUCGAUCUUCACUACUUGGUAUUAAUCACAUCACUCAUUAACUGAUUAGCUAGUUCUUAGCUUUUAUUCUCUUCUUUUUUUGUUAGUUAAUUUUGAUGUUAGUCAUAGAAAAUUGGUGUUUCUCCUCUCCAAACCCCUCAUCUCCAUUUUAAUUAUUGAAUGAAGUGGAGAUAACAGAGUAAUGUCUGGUGGUUCAACAAUGGGAUGAGGCUGACAGUAAAAAAAUAAAAAUGUUGGGAGGAAGAGAGUUUUAAUCCAAGGGUAAUUAAGUCUUCUGAACAUCAAUUUUGGUUAGUUUUAUAAGAAUUAAAAAAAAGGUUUUUUUAUUAGCACCCCACAUAUUAUUGAAUGCACCCCACAAAAAAUUCAAUAUUAAAUUACUUAUUUAUUCUACUAUGCAAUGACAAUUUCAACCUUAUUAAGUUUAAAAAAAUAAAAAAAUUUCCAAAUACACCCACAUCACUUUUAGCAUAUUAUUUAUCUUCUUCAAUUAUCAAAACCCUCCCACCCUCCAUUGUUGAACAAUAUCCUAACUAAUAAAACUACAAAAACAUUGAUUGAGAAAACCCUAACAAAAUGUCUAUGAAUAUACCAAUGUUAUUGAUCACUAUGACUGCAAGAAAUUAUUUUCUCUCCAACCACACAUUUUAUCACAUCCCGGCAUUUACUAUGUUGAAAAACUUCAGAACUUAUGCCUUUGAACCAGCUCUGUGAAUUGCAAUGCCAAUAACUUGAAACUUUCGAUAAUUCUUUUUUAUUUUUUAUUUCUUUUGUUAUAGAAAAGUUACAUAAGAUCUUGAGUUUGGAUAAUUCUUGAGUUUGGAAGUGACAUAAGAUUUGCCAAUCUGCACAAAGAUAAAAAAAUUUAAGAUAAGUGUUAGCGUCCAAAUCGGUUAAUGAUAAUAUUCUCUCAAGCUGGAAAGAAAAAACAAGUCAAUCAUAGAAGUAAUUAGCCUGAGAAUAGAAGGGUAUCUAGAUUCAAUCCAUCAAAAUUAAAAAUAAGUAUUAGAAAAUUUGAAGAAAUUGGGGUGUAUGUAGAAAUAUAAUGUGUGUUUUGAGAAUGUGGGGUGUGAGGUUAUUAUGGAGGGGUAUGUGGGGUGUAUAAAGAUAAUUUUUAAUUGAAAAAGUAAAUGUGGGGUGUAUUAAGUAUGUAGGGUUUAUUCAACAAUUUGUGGGGUGUUAAUAUAAGGUUAUAUUUCAAUAAGUGCUUUUUAAAAUGGCUAUAUUUUCAAAUUUUAAGGCUCGAACUUUUUAAUCGUUAUAAUGGAAGACGCUUUGGACUUCGCUGGAGGGUAGGUGAUGGUGAGUUCAUUUUUCUUAUCCUUGGCUACCGUUAUUUUCAAACAUUUUAAGUUUUUCUUCCCCUCCCAACAAAAUUUAAAUACUAUCACUUUCAUUACUUGCCAACUAUUGUGCAUUGCCUCUUCAACAUUAUUGUGUUCCAGUUGUAGCCUUGUUUAUAGGAAGGCUUUGCAUUAGAAACUUGUAACUUUUUUUUCUUUUGGGCAGUUAACCAUUUUAAUUGCUUUGAGCUGGAGUUAGGUGUUUGUAGUUGUAUGUGGUGACGGUCAAUUUUGUUUUACGAGAGAUAUAAAAUGUGUAGGAUGACAAAUAAUGUCAUUAAAAAAUUAAUGAGGAUAUUACAAUAACUAAAAAAUAUUCAUUAAAGGCUCAACUCAGCUUAUGAAAGCAGUUUUUAAAAGCAAUUUAUAUCAACACACCUUCUUUUUACUUCUUACACACCCUUUCAAUUUACGAUUGUGGGAUUAGAUGAUUAGGAGAAGAUCAAUGGAUAAAAAUUAACAAGGGGUGUGUGAGAAGUAAAAAGGGGUGUGUGGAUAUCACUCAUCUUUGGUAAAAUAGCUUGAUCUAUUUGGUUCGUUUACAUAUUUUCCAAACGAUUAUGUUCCAGUAGUAGCCUGGUCUGUCAGAAUAGUUUAUUUUCCAAACAACAAAACGAGCAAUUGUCAACUUUCAUAGAGAACAUGGAUAGAUGUGGAGUAUUUUGUAAGAAAUUC